rnacentral:lncRNA from 1 species
UUGUUUUCAUUUGUGCUGCUUGUGUUUCUUGUUCGUUUGUGUGAUGGAGGUCCUUGGGUUGUAGAAAAGAAAGUGGAUCUAAGGAUUACCAAUGACUUGGGCAGUGGCUUAGAUCUUAAUCUCCACUGUCAAUCCGAUGAUGAUGACCUUGGCACUCAUGUCCUGGCCCCUGAUCAAUUCUUUGAAUUCCGUUUUCGGCCAAACUUUUGGGGCACUACCUUAUACUUCUGCAAGUUCUGGUGGGGAGGAGAAUCCCAUUGGUUUAAUAUAUACGUUGAGAAGAGGGAUACGAGCCGAUGUGAUAGCAAGUGCUGGUGGAUGGUCGGACCAGUUGGUCCUUGUUUGCUGGAUCGUAGAUUUGGAAUAUACGAUCUUUGCGAAAACUGGAAUGACCCUCAGUUUGAGGGUUCACGUAAAAAAGGGACAGAAAACGACGCAGCUAGAGUGUACAAUGACUCCAAAUAUAUGGAGGGCAAUGAGAAAAGAGGGAAAUGAUAUUAUCAAUUAUAUAUCAAUUGUUACUUGCGCUAUGUAUGAUGAAAAUAAAGAUAAUUUUCCUCAUUAAAUAAGAUCUACAUUGCUCAAGAAAAUCAGUCUAUUUCUUAAAAAAAAAAAAAAAAAGGGAAAUCUACCAUCAAUUUUUUGUUUAAAGAAGUGAAAAGACAGGUGUAAAACAUUUUUCAAGGCUAUGUAUGCCACAACAUAAAUGUUAGGAGGGUUGUUUCUUCACUAUUGGGACUGUUAUUAUGCGACAUUAACUUCAUAUAUUACUCCCAUUAAUUGUCCCUUGAGGUAAUGACAUGUAUCCCUUUAAGCUUUGAAAUAGAUGUAAAAAAGGCUUUGAGUUCAUAUCCCACUCCAUAUAUAGUUCUAGAAGGGAGUUUUGUACAUGCCUUAUCAAGUUUGAGACUGGUAAUGUGAAUGCUAUGAGUUCACAUCCCACUCCAUUGUUCAUACAAUAAAAUAUGUACUUUUUAGACGAAUUUGAUGUGCUUUUAUUGUGAGACUUGGUUUUAAAAAACAUGUUAGUUUCACUAAAUUUUUGGGUAAUUGAACAUUUUGGUGGACAAAGCAGGGGUUAAGAAAAAUUCUAAAAAUAUGGGUAAAGUAUUGCCAUUUUCUUCAACAAAUAUUACCACCGGAGAAAUAUCAUGGAAAGGGUUUGAAGAUGUGGCCUAAAAUAUGUCUUGACCAAAAAUAGGGUGUUUUCUCAAGAAUUUUCUUUUCUAUUUGAAUGCAUGUAUAAAAUAAAGAGAAAAUUACCAAAUAAGGUGGGCUAAAAGUGAUAAGGAGCAUAAUGUCACAACUUGGUCAAAUUAAUGACCCUCCAUUGAGCUUUUAAAGGAGAACAUGAAACCUUUAGAACCUCUUGGAGUCAUCUAUACUAGUGGAGGAGUGUGGAAGAUAAUAGAGAAAAGUAGAGAUAUCCACAUAUCUCUACACAAUGAUGGAAGACAAGGAAAGAAUGUGGAGAUAUCUAGAGAGUUUCAAGAGUCAUCUUGUACAUACUUUGUAGAUAGAAAGUGUGUAGGUAAUUCUAGAGAAUUCCAGAGAUGGAAGGAACCUUUGUGGGUUCUAGAGAAUUUCUUGGGUGCCUAUAGAUAGAGACUGGCCUCAUUUGGCCAAGCACCAAGCACUUGAGAGUAAUCUAGCCUUGUAAAGCAUCGUAGUGCAAAACAAGUUCCAUUCUUCCAAAAAAUCUCUUAAGUGUUGCUUCCUUUAGUGUUUUUAAGUUCCAAGUUGUGAGCAUAACUCAACAAAGAAAUCUAAGUAUGUGGAAAAGGCUUACUUAGCAACGUCAAGUGGCUUAAGUUGUCUAAGUGCCGCACAUGAGCUUAGGAAAACCUUAAGUCCAUGAUAGAGAGGUUCUUUAUUAUGAUAAAUUUUGUGAAGGUGUAGACCCUCCAUUUUGUCCUCAUAGCACAUGUUAUUCAUUAUACCUAGUCCCUUUUGCCUUGCGUUUUCGUGUAGUGUGUGUGAGAUACCCUUUUGCUUAGCUGUUCAUUGCGCUUCUUAGUGACUCACAUAUUACUAAGCUUUGACAUUGACUCUUAGGCCAAUUUUGGAGACCUUUUGGAGGGAUUUUUUGGAUCCAUAUCGUGACUUUAGAGGUACCCUAGGUGUUCCUAAAGUUUUAACAUGAUUAGAACUCAUUUAGGUACUUUUUGACAAUCCAAAACUCUUUUUGGCCUAUUUUAACUUGUCCAAGGGACGAAAAUAAUAGGAUAUAUUGGUGAUAUAUCAUGUAUCGGGAAGCUUCGACACGAAAUUUUCCAGUGAUAUAUUAGAGGGGAAAAAUUUCACCAAAAAUUGCCAAAAUAUCAUUGACAUAUCAAUUGGAGGCGAUAAAUCGCUGAUUUUUUCAAUUAAUCGGUGGUAGCGUAAAAAAAGUGUCAACCUUUCGCCGAUAAAUCAUUGAUUUUAUGGAAAAUUUGCUAUGCUUAUUUGAGCGUGAUCUGAUGGCCUAGAUCACGCUCACGUUGAUUUGACGUUCCAAACCAUGCCCAACCUUCCAAUGGUUAAAUUCCUAUGCAUUCGAUGACCCAAAUUGAAUCUAGAUGUGAUCCAAUGGUUGUGAGGGUAUUCCAAUGGCUAUAUGAUGAUCCAAUGACUAGAUUUUGCCCAUAAAAUGAGAUUCCAACAAUUAUUUUGACCCAAUUUUUAUUUUCUCCUAUGAAUAGCUCAUUCUUCACCAAUUUCAUCGUGAAAUUUCGGUGAUAAAUCAUUGAUUUUUGGAAAAAAUCGCAGCAUGAAGGGGAAACUUUAAAAGGAUUUUAUUUAAAAAUGAUUUUGACUUCAAUUCUAUCUUUUAAUUAAAGGUAAAAUUAUAAAAUUAUCUUAAAUAGACUCCUAAUUAUAAAAGGUCAAACGCGAAUCUCAUUUUUCCCUGGAAAUUUACAACUACCUUAUUUUAUCAUUUCUUGCUUAUUGUAGUAACUUUGAACCAUUCGUAAUUUAUUAUUCUUUCCCAUAUUUAUUUCAUUUUUCCUUCCAAGGAUUGGUCUUACCAUGUUGAUUGAUAUGAGGAGUGUAACUCUAUUGUUCUUUUUUCAUUUUCAUUACUUGAGCUAAAAUUGUGCGAUUAAAUUUUUAGUAAGUUAAAUUAAGGGUUGGUUUGAGAUCAUUUAUUAUUAUUUAUUUUACUCCAUACAUGAAGUUGAAGUUCAUAAUUUUUAAAAAGUAAUAUUAGUAAUUUUUUUUAUUAAACAUAAAAAUAUUUCUUAUAUAAGAUAAAAUAAAAUUUUUAUAAGAAGUAGCAUUUUUUUAAUUUUUAUAUUAAUCUUUUUAAAAAUUUAUAAGCUUGAAUAAAGUUAACUAAAUUAGUAUAAAAACUCUAAUUAAAUUUAUAAGAAUUUCUUAGAAUUGCAUCCAAACAUAACUUGAAUCAAUAUGUUAAAGUUAAAUUUUGAUACACUCAUUCGAUGAAGUGAUCCUUCAAGUGGUAGGGGUGCGUUCUUUGUCAUUUUUGUGAUGAUGACACAAUAAGACUUUAUUCCUUGUCAUUUUCAUGUAGCUUUAUAAUGAAUGUACACUUACAAAAUUCACAUUUCUAAUUGACUAGUACGAUAUAAUUAAAUUUAAUAUUGCAAAUCAUAUCAUACAUAUAUUGAAUUCUUUAACAAAAUAAUUUUAAAAUGUUUAUUAUACUUUUAAUUACAUUUCUAUUAGGUUUUUCUUACAUUUACAUGAGUUUUGAUCAAUUUUAGGCCUACUAAAUUUUUUUCCAAAAUAUCUGCCGAUAUAUCCGUAAAAUUGAAGUACUUAUAUAUCCAUAAUUACCAAUAUUUUCAUCCUUGGUUGGAAUUUUAGCUGCCCCUCAAUCGAUUGGUCAAGUUUUGCCUUUUUCUCACUCAUUUCGACAUUUUUGUGAGCAUUUUUUUUGUUCUUUUUUAUGGGGUUCCCAGGGGUGUUUUUGGGAGAUUUCUAAGAGCUUAACCCUUGGUUAUUGUUUCUUUAGGUUUGGGUUUAGUUUAAGAGAGUUUUUAAAGAGAAUUUAGAUUUGAAUGAGAUGAGGAUAAUUGUCCAAAUUUUCACCAUUACUUGCCCUAUAAAGAGGAGCCUUGGGAGCUUGGAUCAAGGAGGAUUCUCUGUGUAUUUUUAGAGGGGAAAGUGUCAUACUUUUGAGGAGAGCUCUUGGAAGGUCUCUUUGAUUUCAUUUUCUCAUUUUUUUUUUCAUUUCAUCUUCAUCUUCUCUUGAUUCUUAAGUUCAUUAAAAUAUUGAGUGUGGAUAUUAGAGGCCACACAUUUGAUUGUUGGUUAUUUAUUCAUGAUUUACGAUUGUUCAUCUUCUUUUCUUCCUUUGAUUCAUAUUGAUUGCUUAAUCUUUGGUUUAAUUUGUUGUACAGUGCUUUUGAGACUUUAUUUUUCUUUGAUUUUGGUUUCUUUACACUUCUUCAAGCCCAUUAAUCAAAUAAUGAUAUGUGUCUUGAGUUUUAAAAUCCUUGUUUUCCUUUUGAUUUCUCUUUUAGGAUUUAAUUUUUCCCUUUCUUUUUAAUGGAUUUUGGAAGCCUUUUUAACUAGUUUUAAAAUGAAUUUUGAGAGCUACAAAUUGUUUGUGUUUUUUGCCAAAGAAAUUUUCCAUAGAAAACGCUCUUUAAAGUCUCUUUUUGCCUCUUUGGGGUUUCUUUCAAAUCUGAUUGUAAGAUUCUUUUUCAAACCAUCUUUGGCUAAUUUUCAUGCAUCCUUUAAUGGCCAUUUUUGUGGCCAAGGAUAAAGCCUCUCACCAUAGGCUUUGAUCUUACCUUUAUGCUUGAUAACUUGAUGGUUGUUCUUAAUCUUUGUUUUUAUGAUUUUUGAAAACCUUUUCCAAAUUGAUUUUUAUAGGAUCAUUCUUAGCCCUUUUGAUCCCUUUUCAUGGUCAAUUGGGGUUUGAGAUUAUGGUUAUUUUAUGGUCAUUUAUGGUUGCCAUAUUGUGCUUGAUUUCCAUAGAUGUUUCUUUGUGCAUUUCAAGCCAUUUUUUCAAAUAUGAGUGUUAUUUGGGCCUGGGCCCUUCAUGCCUCUUAUGUGGUCAAAUCCAUACUUAUCUGAGAGUUGAGAAGGAGUGAAUGCCCUAUGGAUUGAUCCAUGGCUCAUUCAUUUAGCCUACAUCACCCAUAUUUCAAACUUUAUGAUUUUCAAAUUUUCUUGAUUUUUUUGAAACAAGGAUUAAUCUUGUAAAUCUUAAUUUAAUGAGAUUAUUUCUAGGCCCAAUGAGUUUCUUUCCAUGAUCAUUAAAGGGUUGGGGUAUGGACUAAAUCUUAAUUCUUUGAUUUUCAAAAUUCACCCACUUGUUGCCUUGUUUUUUGACACUCAAAGUGUUUUUAUAAAUUUGGACUUUUUGGCUUGUCCUAAAAUAUUCUUGAGGUUUAGAUGAUGUUUUAAACUUCUUAAAUACAUCAAAUAAUUUUAUUUUUACUAAAAAAAAUUAUUCUUUAAGCUUAUUAAAUAAAUAAGUUUUUCCUAAUGUCUAAAUUUUGCCUUGUUUUAGACCUUUGAAAUAUUUUUGUAAAUCAGUCCUAACUUGUUGGUUUUUAAUUACUUUUUUAUAUCUUUCAUAUAUUAUGGAUUUUUAAAUAAGGUUUUGGGCUUUAGUUUCACCCAAAAAUCAUUUUUUAAGAUUGAGAAUUAAUUCCAUCCUUUUGUACUUGCUAUGCUGAUCUGAAUUUGCUAUUGUGGAAUGUUCUUUAGAAUUGGGAUAAUUGUUGUAUGCAAGGGUGAAAAUAUCGCUAAACAUGGAAGUAUUGAUAUUUGGAUUUUACGGAUAUAUCAUAAAUAUUGGUAAAAUAUAGGUGGAUAUUUUGAAAAAAAUAUUGGUGGACGGAAAUUAUUUAAAAUUCAUGAAAAUGUUUAGAAAAAUUUCAAAAAAUGAUCAAAUAAGCAAGAAUAUACAUGUUAAAGUUAUUUUGUAAAUGUAAUUGACAUAGAUAUGAUCAAGGAUAAUGUUUAACAAUUUUUAUUUUUAUUUUUAGAAAAAAUUAGCUUCAAUUCCUUUAAUAUAUUUAUAUUCAUUUAUUUUAGAAAUUUUAAAAUAUUUUUAUUAAAACAUGUUUUAUUACAUUUUAAAUAAAAAAUUAAAUCGAUUUAUAUAAAAUAUUUCAUUUAAGAUUUAAUUUCUAUUUUUUUUUACAAAUUUGUGGUGACAACUUUUUGCUAUUAACAUUAAUUUAUUUAAAUAAUUAAAAUUAUUAAAAAUUAUAUUAAUAAUUUAUGUUAUGAAAUUAAUUUUAAUUAUAAAAUAUUAGAAUUUCAUUAUUUUUGUUUUAUAUUUUAGCAAAUUUUAAAUAAAUUGAUAUUUUAAAUAUUUUAAAACAAAAACAUUUAAAAUUAAAUAAAAUUAGAAGGAUAAAUAUAAAAAAAAUUAAAGUGAAGUGAUAGUAAUUUUUUAAAAUAGAAUUAAGAAGAUAAAUAUGAAAAAAUAAUUAAAAAUAAAAGGAAAUAAAAGGGUAAUAUAAAUUUAAAGAUAAAUUAGAAAACAAAUAAUUUUAAAAAACACAAAUAAAUAUUUAAAAAAUUGGUUUUUUUUUUUUGAAAAAUCAUCAAAAAAUAGAAGAUAAAUGGUUGAUAUAUAUGUGAUUUUAUUGAUAAUGUAUCACUGACAUUUUGAAAAAAUCAAUGAUUUUUUGGCUAUUUAUCGCUCACUUUCUUCCUUCAUGUGUGCGUGUCAUGCAACGCCUAGAAAUCGACAAUAAAUCGGUCUGUGACCGAUAUAUCAAUGAUUUCUCUAAUUUUUUGGCAACAUUUUCUCUAACCAAUAAUCGGUGACCAAUUUUGUAUCGACCACCAACGAUAUCCAAUAUUUCAACAAAAUAUCUUGAUUUUUCAAUCCAUGGGUGUAUGUUUAAGCUUCAUUGAAUUUUUUUUAAUGUGUUUUAAACAUUUUGAGCAUGCUUUAUAUAUAUAUAUAUAUAUAUAUAUAUAUAUACAUAUAUCUCACCUCUAUAUAUAUACAUAUAUCUCACCUCUAUGCUUGUUAAAUAAUUCAAUCUUUGCAUGAUGUGUUAUUUUGCUUUGUUUCUAAGUAAUAAAAUGUUUAGUAAAAUUUGGGGUAAUUGGUGCAUCAUUAGCUAUUUUGAAGUUUUUUUUUAUCAUAUUCCAAACACUUUGAACUUGUUGCAAAAUUUUUGUUUUGAUUUAUCUCAUCUCUAACUUUUAUUUGGAUUUAUUUUGUAAGUACCUACUUGCUAUUCAACUUCUAUAGGUCUUGAAUAAACUUACUCAUUCAAACUUCUUUUGCAUACUUAUAACCUUCUUUGACCAUUGAUUUGUAUUAUAGACAUCUUAUAAAUGUUAGACAGACCUUCUUUUGUAACAUGAUCACCCUCUUACUAUUUUAUUUAGAUUUAUUUUGUGAUUGUGUACUUGUGAUCCAAUUUUGAUCACUCACCAUACUUAGUGCGUAUUAGUCCAUUGUGAACCUAGUUUAGCCAUCUUUGACUCUUUGAUUUGAUUUUAUAUAUAUUUUAUAUGUUAGGUAGCUUUUGUUUUGAUAUCAAAUAUCUUAUUUUGAUUGUGAGCUAACCCUAUUUUCUUUAUGCAAGCACGUUGCCCUAUUUUGGGCAUUAUUGAGGUGUGCUUCAUUAUUUCUUUAUUCGAUUCCUUUGAUAUGUAUGUCGUGUUAUGUGUGUUCUUUAUUUCUUGCUCUUCAUUACCAUUUCAUUGUAUAUUUUUGCUUCUAUAUCUUAUCCAUUGGUCUAUUAGUUAAUUAUCUUAGUUCCCUUCACUUGCUUAGUAGAGACCUUUUCAGGGCUUAUAGAGGGUGCUAUCUUAUGGUACCAUUUUGAUAAGUAACCUAACCCCUGGAUUAAGAAUUAAUAUUCUCAUAUAUGAUUCUCUUUAAAAAAAGGAGUCAUUCUUAGGGUUUUAUUUCAUAUUUUGUUUUCCUUUUAAAAAAUAAACAAAAAUAAGUGAUAAUCUCAGCAUUUUCAAAAAUUAGUUUUUUAGAAUAAAAACGAGUCUCACAGUUGAGAGGGAAUGCACGUGAAAAAUGUGGGUCCUUAGAAGGGUAAGGGAAAGUAGAAAAAGUAUUUCAAAGGCCAUUCAAGAAAUGUUCUCAAAAAAUGACCUUCAACUACAUUAAAUAUAUAUAUUGAUGAGAUAGAAAGUUCAUAAAACUAAUUGACACCCUUCCUCAAACCAAGCUUGGAUCGAAACAACUUCAUAUUCUUCAAAUCUUAUAUUUGUUCUUGAAGAAUUAGAUAUGUCUAGUCCUCAAACUCAUUCUAAAGCAUGACAAUUAUUUUACACUACAAAAGUACAAAUGACUCAAAUAAGUUUUUUUAUCACUAGAAAGUUACUAGUUACCAAAUGAAUGUUUAGAGUAAGUAAAAACACAUUAAAUUCCUCAAAACUUAACUCCAAAAGUAAGGUUGAAACAACUAUCAAAUCUAAAGACGUUGAACACUUAGCGUUAUCAUCCAAAGCAACUUCAAACUUAAUAGUCAUUCUUUUUUAGCAUAUAAACAUGUCGUAAUAACAAAAUCUAAAUCAGAAUCUCAAUCGAGGACCAUUCCCAUUCUAAUAAUCACUCUUUUCCUAACUAAGAGUAACUAAAAAAUAGUCAAAAAAAAGAGAAUAAACUCUAAGCCCAAUAAUAAAAAUUGAUAUAGUUUCAUGGGUGGGAAAAUUUCAAAUAUGAAUACAAAUAAGGAGAAAUAAUUGAACAAACAUUUUCAUUAAAAGCCUUGAAGUUUGGACAUGGUAAGACAUUUAAUUUCCAAUCAAUAUUCUUUAUGAUAAUAACAAUUUCAUAUCAAAUCAAAUAAAAUCAUUUCAAAAUAUUUUUAUUUUGGUUAUCAAAUAACAAAUGGUGCCUAAUUAGAUAGGGCUUACAAAUGGGUGGGUAGCUUCAAAUAUUCCUUUAUAAGGUAUUCGAAACCAAACUCUACUACUGAUAACCUCUAAUAAAAUCAUAGAGUUUGGGGUUCAAUGCAAUUAUAUUUCCUAUCAAAGGAAUGUAAAGUCCAAUACUAAUUCCCUUUCUGACUAGAGCUAAACAAACUAGGAUCAAACAAUUUUGUGUCAAUUUAUUUAAGCUUUCAAAAAACAUAAUAUCUUCAUAUUUUUAUAUUAUAACUAAUAAGAGAUGAUCUAACGUCAUAUUUUUUUUUUUAUGAAAAAAUAUAUUUUGAUCCAUGUAGGGUAACAAAAAUGACCUUUUAUAUAAUUCAAAAUAGUAUACAAAAAAAAGAAAUAAUUUAUUUUACUGAAUAUGUAUUCAUUUCCUUUACCUUGAAGAAGCACUCAAAUGUGUUGUGUCAAAAGAAACUAUUACUAUUGGAUAUUUAUCUAAUACUAUAAUUUGACGUUCCUAAGAAUUUUAUAUAUUAAUUAUUAUUUCUAAUAACCAAUGUUAAUUUUUAAUUCUUAGAAGUUCAUUUUGUAAUAUAUAACAACUAUUUAAGACCUAAUGUAACUCAUUUUCAUCAAUCAAUGAAAUCAAAAUUACUCAAAAUAUUCUUUUUUUACGAUCUUUUUAAAUCUAACAUGGUAUCUUCCUUAAUGUCCACCAUUGGAGCAACUUGAAGAUUUGCUCUAGUUGCAUUCAACCACUCAAUUUAUGUUUGUUUAGAUAAUAAUAGUUUCUUGUUAUGGAGGAAGCAAGUUCUUUCUAGAAUUCGCAGUUACAAACUUCAUUAUUUCAUCUUUGGGAUAAGAUCUCCACCAUUGAAGUUCCUUGAAGUAGGGGAUGAAGAAAUUGAUAAUGUGAAUCCCAAGUUUCUUGAUUAGGAAUAGCAAGAUCAACUUUUAAUUUCAUAGCCUCUCAUCAAUGUCAAAAAGCAUCCUCACUCGUAUAGUAAAUUAUAAAACCUCAACUCAACGGUGGCAAACUCUGGAGAUAUACUUUUCUAAUCAAAUUAAGGCUAAAGUCUCUCAAUUUAAUACUAAAAAGAAUUCUUUGACAAUGAAUGAUUAAUUGUUAAAAAUUUAAAGUCUUUUGCUCUUUUGGGGUUAAUUGGUCAUUCUUUUACUAUUAAGGAUCAUGUGGUUGCAAUCUUUGAGGGUCUACUAUCUAAGUAUGAUAACUUUAUCACUGCAAUUAAUUCACGCAUAGGUAGUUGUUUAGUCGAUGAGAUUGAAUUGUUUUUUCUUGCUCAAGAAACACAUAUAGAGAAUCACUCUAAAAGUCUUAAUUUUGCCCAACCUAGUGCCAAUGUGGAAAUGAUUGGCUAGAAGUCUCAACAAGGGAAGAAGAAAUUUCUUAAUGGUCAAUUCUCAAUUUUCAUAAGAAUAUUAAUCCUAGUAACCAACACUACAAUCCCAACUUCUUUUAGAAUUUCUUGAGUGAUCAAGACAACUUUUGUAAAGAAAUUUUUUAGAAUAGAAGUGGUUUUGGUAAACAACUCUUUUAGUGGACGAAGUUACUAGAACUCUAACAAGCCUUAAUGCCAACUUUGUGGAAGUUUGGCUAUGUGGUUAUGCAAUGCUAUUAUAGAUUUGAUUAUUCUUUUCAGGGACCAUCCUAGUUCCAAGGUCAACAUAACUAAUUUAUAGGGAACUCUUAGGGAGGACAACAACACAAAGGAUCGCAUAUUACUACCAUGUUUGCAAUGCCUGGAAUAAUUAGUGAUACUAAUUGGAAUCCUGAUUCUAGAGCAUCUAAUCAUAUUACUCUUGAUAUUGGUAAUCUCAUGACAAAAGCUGACUAUUUUGGACCAAAUCAUGUGCAUACUGGAAAUGGUAUGGGUGUUACUAUUAAACACUGGUUAAUCAAGUUUUCCCUCUUCUUGUUUUCCAACUCUUAAACAUUUGCUCAAUGUUCCUGAAAUAACAAAUAAUUUAUUCAAUGUGCCUAAGUUUGUACAAGAUGGUAAUGUCUUUAACAAAUUCCAUCACAUUCGUGGUUUGUGAACGAUUAGGUCCCCAAAAUUGUCCUUCCUUAUGUAUAGGAUAAGGCAUUCAAAUGUACUUUUAAGAGUAUUCCCUUUAUAUCGAAAAACUUAAGAGAAAUAAAAUAAAGAGGAAAAAUAGAAUAAAAGAAAAAAAAUGAAGAAAAAUAAUUUCAAUUACAUUUAAUUUUAUUUCAUAUUGUAUAUAAAAACCAAAUGUGAGGAAACCAUUUUGCUUAACCUUUAUUUUUUCUUUCCUUAAUAUUUUCUUGGAUCCAAAUAUAGGAUUAGUGUUUUCAUUUUUCUUUUCUAAACAUACUCAUUUUUCAUAUUAAUUAUGGAGAAAAGUGUCUUAUAAAAACGAGAAUUGAUUUAUUUACAAACACAUUUAUCUUCACAAAUUUCAAACUAUUUAAAAUUUAUACAUUAUGACAUUACUUCUCAAUAUAUCUCUCAAAUCCCCCCGCCACCCCCCUUACACUAUGGCAAUUAUUAUCAAGUAGAUCCCACAUACAGUAAUUCUCCUACUUUCACUUUCUUUAGGAUCCUAAGAAAACAUAUUUGUUGUCUUCUUUCAAGGUGAUCAUAUGUUGCAUAUAUAGUAAGUUUAAGAAGAAAUCAUGUUGAAUAAAAUUAUAUUGCAUUUAUUUCAUUUUUUUAUUCCUAACAAAAAAAAAAAAACGAUUAUACAUAAAAAAAACAUAUUGUUAAUUUUGAGUGUAUUAUGUUAAAGAAGUUUAAACGUAAACUUAAUGCUUUAUAAAUUCCAAGAUCUUGACUAUCAUGAUUUUCUUAACAAACAUAAAUAACAUACUGGAAUCCAUAGCAAUUUCUUCAGUAAAUUCUUGAUAUGAAAAUGUAGAAUUCUCCAGGAGAUAGAUUUCUCUCUCUUAGCCCUUUCUCUUAAAUGAAAAAAUUACAUUCACACACUAAUGAUGGAAACCGUACAAUGCUACUUAAAUGGGUAGAGAGAGGACCUAUUUCCUUUUGGUAACUGCCAGCGGUUUAGUAACCGCCACUCCACUUCCCAUCAAAGUAAGGAGUGAAAAUAGGAAACUACUUCUCUAAUUGUAUAACCAAUAUUUUAGGGAUUAGAUAAGAUAAAUCCAUUUUAAUAAAAGACUAAAGCCAUACACGUGUCAUGUGGGACAUUAGAAAAAUAUCUAACAUUCUCCCACUUGUCCCAUAUGACUAACUUUAUUUUAGCCCCAAUGAAGUCAACAUUAUGCGCAUAAAAAAAACUAAUCCAUUUUUAACUCAAAUUGGUCAUCAUAAAUACUAUGGUCAAAUGAAUCACUAGUAUGAGUCAUGGCGGUUGUACAUUAAUAAGGCGACAUAGUCCCUUCCAUGUACUACAACACUAGCAGUCCAAUCAACCAUGGUUCAUAAAUGAGUAGUAUCCAAAAUUGGUCCAACAAAAAUUGUCUUUGUAAAAGACUUCCUGUUAUCAUUUAUCCAAUCUCAUAGAUGUAUGUACAAAAUGGAAAACAGGAAAAAAUCAGAAACAUGAUUAAUGAGAUCUCAAAAUGUCUAAUAACAUAAACAAACAUUUGCAAUCCAAACAUAAUAGGCAUCAAGGGUUACAAUCAAGACCCAUCCUUUUAACAUGUUCUUUAAGGCUAUGUUUGGUUCUCAGAAAAUUUGAGGGAAAAUGCAAGGGAAAGAAAAUACAAAGGAAAAAUAGAAGGAAAGAAAAAGUGAAGGAAAAUAAAAAAUGGAUUAAAAGUUGAUACGUUAUUUUUAUUUUUUACUUCAAACUCAUUUUAUUUAUUUAACUCAUUAAUAUAAAGAUUAAAUAAUUUUAAAAUACAUAAGUUUUUAAUUAGUUUUAAUUAUAUUUGAUUUUCUUUUAUAUUUUUCAUAGGACAACCAAACAUGAAAAAAUCAUUUUCCUUUGCAUUUUUUUUAUUUCCUUAGUAUUUUCUGGGAACCAAACAUAACCUAAAUGUCUUUGGUGGUAACCCUUUAGUUAGUGGAUCUGCAACCAUGAGCUCAAUAUUAAUAUGUUCAAUACACACCUGUUGUUUUCGAACUUCCUCCAUAACGGAAAAAUACUUUAACUCCAUGUGUUUAACACCAUUAGAGUAUUUUUUGUUCUUGGAGAAAAAUACAGUGGUAGAAUUAUCACAAUAAAUCUUCAGCGACUUCUCAAUAGUGUCGACAAUAGCAAGCCCUGAGAUAAAAUUUCGCAGCCAUAAACCAUGAAUCGUGCCCUCAAAGCAUGCCACAAAUUCAGCUUCCAUUGUGGAUGCAACAAUAAUAGUUUGUUUAGCACUUUUCCAUGAAAUUGCUGCCCCAGCCAACAGAUAUACAUAACCAAAAGUUGAUUUUCUACUAUCAACACAUCCAGCAAAGUUUGAAUCAGUGUAGCCAAUCACCUCCAAAUUAUCAGACCUCUUAAAAGUAAGCAUAUAAUGUUUUGUUCCCCUCAAGUACCUCAUCACUUUCUUUGCAGCUUUCCAAUGAUCCAUUCCAGGAUUACUUUGGUAUCUGCCCAACAUACCAACUGCAGAACUAAUGUCUAGCCUGGUGCAAGUUUGUGCAUACAUCAAACUUCUUACAACAGAAGCAUAAGGAAUUCUUUCCAUCUGUUUACGUUCCCAUUCAUUUUGUGGACAUUGCAUGAGACUAAAUUUGUCUCCUUUCUAAAUUGGGGCUACACUAGUUGAACAAUUUUCCAUACCAAAUCUCUCUAAGAUUGUUUCAAUAUAUCAGUUUUGAGACAACCCCAAAAAACCACUUGAGCGAUCACAAAAUAUUUCUAUUCCAAUCACAUAAGUUGCCUCACCCAUAUCUUUCAUUUCAAAAUUCUCAGAGAGGAAUUUAUUGGUUGUGUGCAAUAAACCAAGAUCACUACUGGCAAGCAAAAUAUCAUCAACAUAUAAAAUCAGAAAUAUGAACUUGCUCCCACUAACCUUUAGGUAUAUACACCGGUCAAUGGUGUUUUCCUUAAAUCCAAAGGAAGUAAUAGUAUCAUUGAAUUUAAGAUACCAUUGUCUAGAAGCUUGUUUAAGUUCAUAUAUUGACUUAUUUAAUUUGAAAACCAUUUGUUCUUUUCUCUUUAUGGAGAAACCUUUAGGUUGAUCCAUAUAAACCUUUUCUUCUAAACUCCCAUUAAGAAAAACAGUUUUCACAUCCAUUUGGUGUAGCUCUAAAUCAAAAUGAGCAACUAAAGCCAUAAUGAUUCUAAGUGAGUCUUUCUUGGAUACAGGAGAGAAGGUCUCCUUAUAAUUAAUACCCCAUUUUUGAGUGAAACCUUUGGCCACAAGUUUGGCUUUAUGUCGUUCAAUAUUGCCUUUUGAGUCGCGUUUGGUCUUAAAGACCCAUUUACAACUAACUGCAUUAUAUCCUUAAGGCAAUUCGACAAGUUCCCAGACUUUGUUUUGAUCCAUUGAUUUCAACUCAUCAUUCAUGGCAUCAAUCCAUUUAUUAGAAUCACUACAGCCAAUGGCUUGUGAAAAUGAAACCGGGUCUUUACUUGUCCCAAUAUCAUAAUUAGAUUCUUGUAAAUAAACUACAUAAUCAUCAGAAAUAACAGGUCUACAUUCUCUUUGAGACCAUCUUAAUGUUGAUUGUUGUGGUUCUUCCAUAAUUGGUUCAAUUGUAAUAAUCUCAUUAGAGAGUGAUUGAUCAUUAAUUUGUUGUUCAACAUUGUAAAAAGAUUUUACAAUUGUAGGAACAACAAUUUCUUUAGAAGUUAUGGGUAGUGGGACUUGCACCUUAACUUCUUGAAUAUUUGUUUUUUUUGUAAUUGAUCACUCCUACGCAUUUCACCAUUCUCAAUGAAUCUGACAUUACCCGUUUCAACAAUUUUCGUACUAUGAUUAGGACAAUAAAACCUAUACCCUUGGGAUUUCAUUGGAUAGCUAAUAAAGUAACCACUAAUGGUUUUGAAAUCCAAUUUCUUUUCAUGUGGAUUAUAAAUCCUAACCUCCGCUAGGCAACCCUAAAUGUGCAAGUGCCUUAAACUUGGUUUCCUUUUUGUCCACAGUUCAAAAGGAGUCUUUGGAGCUAUUUUAGUAGGAACCCUAUUCAAUAAAUAAACAACAGCCUUAAGGGCUUCCAUCCAUAAUGAAAUGGGUAAAGAGGAAUUACUUAACAUACUCCUAACCAUAUCCAUCAAUGUACGAUUACGCCUUUUAGCCACUCCAUUUUUCUGAGGCAUACCUGGCAUAGUGUAUUGUGCACAUAUACCAUGCUUUUCUAGGAGUUUAGCAAAUGGGCCAGGGCGUUGACCCAAUCCAUCAUAUCUACCGUAAUAUUCACCACCUCUAUUUGAUUUGAUAAUUUUCACCAUUUUAUCUAAUUGCCUUUCAACCUCAACAAUGUACACCCCUAGGGCAUCCACCGUUUGAGAUUUUUCAUGCAAUAAAUAGAUAUAACAAUAACGUGAAAAAUCAUCAAUGAAAGUGAUAAAAUAUUUUUCUUUACCAAAAGGGGCAGUUUAGACGAUUUCAAGAAGUUUUCCACUUCUUGUAGCACCCUUCUUUGUAUGUUUGGUUUGUUUUCCCUUAAUACAAUCCAAACACACAUCGAGAUCAGUAAAAUCUAGGUUAGGCAAAAUCCCAUCUUUCACUAAUCUCUUCAUUCUUUAUUUGGAUAUAUGACCCAAACGUCUGUGCCACAAGUAAGAAGAACUUUCAUUGAUCAGGUUACGUUUAGUUCCAACAUUAUGAUACAGAGUUAGAAGGCUUUCAACAAAACGACUAUUAAGAUUCAAUUUAUACAAACCAUCACAUAAACUAUCGGAACCAAUAAAAGAAGAAUUUUUAAACAAACUAAAUCUUCUAUUACGAAAUGAAAAGGAAUAUCCUUCAAGAUCGAGUUUAGGCAUAGAAACCAAAUUACGAGAAAUAGAAGGAACAUAAAGAGUUUGAAACAAAUCUAGAUAACAAUCAAUGUCUAGAAAUAAAUGAAAUGUCCUAGUAGCAACCACUGGAACUUUGACUCCAUUUCCCACAACUAUGGAACUUUCAUUUUGGUUUAAAGUCUGGAUUGCAAGGAAGCCCUGCAUCGAAUUAGAAACAUGAACAGUGGAACUUGAGUCAAUCCACCAAGUAUUAGAAGGAACUUCAGUAAGAUUUGAUUCGAAACAUACGUGAGCUAAAGGCUCACCUUUCUUCUCAAACCAUGCCCUACAUUUGUGGCAAUCUCUCUGAACAUGCCCAAACUUCUUACAGAAAUGACACUUGAUAUUGUUUUAUCUUCUUUCAUGAGCCUCUAUUCCUUGAGGAGGCCCAUUGAUCUUAGGUGGUUCUGCCCUUUUGCCCUUCUUAGGUUUCUUCCACUUGUUACUGGCUCCUUUACUUAUAAGGUGAAUUGAAUGAUGUCCUUGUUGCUUAAGUCUUGUCUCUUCUUGAACAAGCAUACUGGCCAAUUCAUUUACAUUCCACUUGUCCAUAAUAGUGUUGUAAUGAAUUUGAAAUGGCCCAUAUUGAAGAGGCAAGGAGUUCAAAAUAAAUUGAACAAGAAAAGACUCAUCCACAUUUAUCCCAAGAGCCUUCAGUUUAGCAGCUAGAUUUGACAUCUCAAGGAUGUGCUCAUGCAUCCCAUGAGUACCAUCAAACUUCAUGGUGGUGAGUUCAACCAUUAAUGUCCCAACAAGAGACUUGUCAGCUGAACGAAAACGUUCUUCCAUGGUCUUAAAAAAUUCCUUAGCAGUGUCACGUUCAGGAAGUGUUGACUUAAUGUUGUUUGCUAUACUCAUUCGCAUAAACAUAAUGCUCAAUAUGUUCGAUCUUUCCCAAGAAUGACUUAAAGUUUUUUCUUCCGCGCUACUUUCCUCAGUAAUAGCAGGUGGUUUCUCAGUCCGAAGUGCCAAAUCAGAUCCAGUACACCUAGGUGAAAUUGGACUUGCUCAGACCAGUAUGAGAAAUUUGUUCCAUUAAGGAUUGGAACAGAUGAAGCGUGCGAAUGAAGCGAAACAGGAACUAAAACUGCAAUUAAAUAUAUGCUCACACAUUAAUUCUUUGAAUUAAAUAAUAAAUAAUAAAUAAUAAAUAGUACUACUAUAACACAUCUUUGGAUGAAAAUUACAGCAUACAAAAUUAAACUUUUGACUAUUAUGGUGAUUCCCUUUCACCUAUCAAAAAAUAAUUAAUAAUGUAUCCAUAAUCCGAUAGGUCCGUUACCUUUGGGUAUCCGAUUCCAACUCUCAAUUAAGGGUACACAUUAAUUAUUUUACCUCAGUAUAUUAAUCACAAGAAAAGUGGUGCUUGUUUGGGCCAAGCCAAAAUAUUCUCAUGAUCAAAGAUAUAGGUUUGGAUGAUCAAUGUGCAAGUCUCUGAAAAGAGAGACCGACCACUUUAUUCCACAUGUCUCAUUUGACAUAAACCUAUACUCAGCUUCAGGGGAGAACCUAGACGUUAUGUGUUGUCACUUUGAUUUCCAAGACACCUAGGAGUCUCUAAUAAACACAUAGAAGCUACUAAUAGAUUUUCUAUUAUUUGGACAAGAAGCCUAAUCAAAAUCUAUAAAUCCUUUCAAAUCAACUAAUGAUGUACAUGCAUGAAAAGAAAAGGCCUUGUCCUACAUUUACUCUUGACAUAUUGAAGUACAUAGUGAAUUACUUGAAAAUGAGGUGUCUAUGGCUUUGCAAGAAAUUGAACUAGGUGAUUCACAAAGUAAGAUAGAUUAGAUCUGAUCUUGUUAUAGUGUGAUCCAAGAGUUUUCCAAUCAUUUGAUUGCAUCAAGAUGGGUGAUUAAGUAGUUUUUCUUGUUUUACACUUGAGAUAAUCUAUGUUUAAUAAAAGUUGCAAAACAUAACCUUGUUGGCUAAGAGAAAGUCACUUAUUGGAUCUAACUACUUCAAGCCCUAAUUCUUUUUUGUUUUUCUUUAAAGUCUCUACUUCUUUUGGAUCAUUGUUUGCUGUAACAAUGUCGUUAAUAUAAACUAAGUAAUGAAUGAAUUACCAAUGAACUUGAUGAACAAUGAGUUGUUUACAGUAGAUUGUUUAAAUCCUCUACCAAUCAACACACUAGAAAAUUUAGACAAUUGUUGUCGUGAGGCUUGCUUCAAACUAUAAAGUGAUUUAUGAAGCUUGUAAACAUUAUAAAUAGGUAGGGACUCCCCCUCACAGUGAUAAGUAGGAGGCAAAGACAAAUAAACUUUGUCUAUGAGAUGAUUGCGAAGAAAAACAUUAUUCACAUUGACCUGAGUAAGACUCCACCCAUAAAUUGUUGUCAACGCAAGAAGAACCUUAAUGGUCACCAACUUAGCUACAAGGGAAAAAGUGUGAUUGAUGAGGUAAACCAAAGUAAGGACACAAUCACCCCAAUAAGUUAGGGGAAUAUUAGGUUGGAAAUGAAGUGCUCUUGCAACAUUAAUAUAACUUGAUGCUUUUGUUCAACUAUAGAGUUCUAUUAUGGUGUGUCAAUACAUAAGUGUAAGGGAAGGGCACAUUUAGCAUGGAAAAAAUUAGGAAAGGGCAACUCAGGAACAUGGUUAGAAUGAACAUGUUAAUUAAUUUGGGUACCAAAUUGAGUUUGAAUUGCUAAGUAAAAAUUAAGAAAAAUAGAUAUGACAUUAGAUUUAACAUGCAAACAAUAGACCCAACUCAAACAUGUGCAAUCAUCAACUAUAGUGAGAAAAUAUUGAUAACCUUUAGUAGUGGGGGAGUAAUAGUCCCCAUAUAUCAUAGUGAAUUAAUUGAAACAGUAAAUCAUAUAAAAAAUUAGAAGAAAUAAAAGGUAAAUGACAUUCUUUUAUUGAAUGACAAAUUGAAUAAUGAGAUGGAUGGUUAGAAAUAUGUGAAAUUUAUAAUUCAUUUUGCAAUUUAUGAAGUUUAGCAUAAGAAGGAUGUCCCAAAUGAUAAUGCCAAAGUUUUUUUGAAGACAAAUAAACAAUUUACAAUUAGCAAAAACAUGAAAAAAUAGGAAGAAAAUGGGUCAAGUCCAAAAGAUAGAGGUUAUCGUGACUUCUAUCCAUCCCAAUCAUUUUGCCCUGUGAGUGGUCCUAGAACACACAAGAUUCAAAAAGGAAAUUAAUGGAGUAGUGGUGGAUUGUAUAAGUGUACUAAUGGAUAGAUGAUUAAAAUGAAAUUAUGGAACAAAUAAAACAUGGUCAAUAGUGAGAUGAUCAGAUAAUGUCACAAAACCUAUUUGACUAAUAGGAAUAAUUUCCAUUAGGUAUAGUAACAAACGAAUUACUUGUUGAAACAAAAGGUUUGAAAUAAGUUAAGGAACAAAAAAUAUGGUGUGUAGCACCUAUAUCCAAAAUCCACGAGGAAGAAAGAAUAGAAAAAGAAUGUGAAGUGUGAAAAAAAUAAAAGAUACCAUUGAAGCUCGAAAUGGAUGGUUCAGGUGCUACGGUUAUGAAAAAACAUGAGAGUUGUGUUCGAUCUACAAACUUAAAAGGGAAAUAAGCUACUAGAACAAAGUUGGAGUUAGAGUACCUAGAGGAGAAUCAAGCAAGCCAGUACUAGAUCCUUCAACAAUGAUAAAAGCAACUUGAUUCACUAGAGCCUUCAGUUGAGAUUUAGAUUUGAACUAGUAACCAUGGAGUUUGUAGUGUUUGUCAACAACGUGACCCUAUAAACCAUAAUGAGAACAAAGAGGACGGUUGCACUUGGGCUUAGGCUUGAAAUUAGCUUAUGAAAAAUUGACAAAUGUAAGAAGUAUUUCAUUAAACACUAGAGGAUCUAAAGGAGACAUCCCAUGGAUCAUAGCACAUUGUCUCUCUUCUUGAACAACCAAAGUAAAGACUUUAGCAAUCAGAGGCCAAGGACCUAUCAUCAAGAUUUGAGCACAAGUCUGAGCAUAGGACUCAUUUUAACCCAUCAGAAAUUGAAGGAAAUCCAUCCAAGGUUGCAUACCACCACUGUGACAAACAGGAACAGGCUGGAAGUCCUUAAGCUCAUCUUAGACAAUUUUCAACCGAGUAUAAUAAGUGUUAGCAUUAAAAGAGCCUUGAUGUAAAACAAUAAAAUGUUUCUUAAUCUAACCAUUGCUCUAAUUGAAAUGAUUGGAAAGAUUAAGCCAGGUCUUAAAGGCAGUAUCAAUGUAUAACAACCAUCAACAAUUUCCCUAGCUACAACAUUAAGGAUCUAGGAAUUACCAUACUAUUGUAGCGAGUCCAAAGCGAAGAAUAUCGCCAUCAAAGAACAUAAUCAUGUUCUUGGCUAUUAGAUCCACAAUCAUAGCAUGACUCCAAGUGUUGUAAUUAGAGCCAAUGAGAUGAUGGGAGGCAAAAACCAAACCAGGCUGAUCCUAAUUGUGAAGAAAAUAGGGUCUUUACUAGAAUCUUCCAUGGGUGUUGGCAUGGAAGGUUCAACAAUGGUACGAGUGUUGUUGUUGUGACCUUCACAAGUCAUCAAACAUAGAAAAAAGAUAGAAACAGAGGAUAACAGAGAAAAUAUGUUGUAAUACUAUAUAAAAAAAAGGGAAAAACAAAGGAAGAAGAAUGUUCUGUUGGAAUUUUUUAUGUGUGGACUUACAUAGUCAAUGUGAUAAUGCCAUAAAUCAAUGUUAUUUUAUUUUUGCAUUGUGGUCCAUAAUGGGGUUGGACACAUAUUGUUGCUUGAUUUUUUAUGGGCUCACCCUAAUUCACUUGACUGGCCUAUUAAGUCAAGUGGUCCAAAUAAUGUGUGUAAUGUGUGAUAUAUAUAAGUGCAAAGAAAGGCUUCUUCUUCUUGGGCUAAAAAAAGGGCACGCAUUGCACACUCGUCUUGAGAGCACACACGGACUGAAUCUUGGGUGUAGAAAGGGAAGAACUCAUUGAACCCAGAUUUUCAUACCAUCACGGACUGAGCAUAUUCUUGGACACCAGUGGAGCACAAAAAUGGCUUUCUAUGACAUUAAUCAAGGUAAGCAUUUCAUUUAUUGUCAUUUAAUGCAUGCUUUAAUGUCUACAUGUGAUCCUAUGUCGUUUAAAAUUUCAUCAAUUGGUAUCAGAGCUAUACAUGGAUGACAUUUGAGUUGCAUAUUUGGGUUAUUUUGGGUUUCCCAUUUUCUAGUUUGGAAGCCACUUUUUGGAGCUCAUUUAACGGGAUUUAAAAAAUUAGGGCUUAUUUUGGUUCUUAUUUUUAUGCGUUUUUUGUGUAAUUUUUGGGUUUAGAUUAAAGGAUUGAUGUUUAAGGAUGGAAACCUAAGUGUUUUUGUCGGAAAAUGCACAAAAUUUUGGAUGAUUUUUUUUUUCUUUUCCAGAAAAACCAAGUCGUGUUUAGUCCGAUGGAGAAGAUGAACAAUGCAUGAUGAUGUCAUCAUGACAUCAUAAAAAUAAAUAAAAAUAAAAAAUAAAAAAACUUUUUUUUUGGUUGUCUUGCUAUUCUUGGAAUUAUUAUGCAUUUGUUAAAUUUGGUUUUAUUGGGACAAUUAAUAUUAUUAUUAUUAUUGUUCUUUAUGGUAUAAUUUUUUAUCUUAUGCCAAUAAUGUUGUCCUAGGCCUUUUUUUUGUUAAAGUUUUAAAUUUAUUAUGGCAAUAAAGAACACUUGUGUGAUUGCCUAUCGCAAUUCCAAGUGUGUCAAGUUGUGCAAAUUAAAUAUUUGAGUUUAUCAUGAAAAUAGUGAACAUAUAUGUGGUUGCCUAUCGUGAUCCUAUAUGUGUCAAAUUGUCUUUGUUGAGAUAUUUUAUCUCCUACUUUUGGUUGCUUUAUUAUUGUGAUUGCUAAGGUCCAUAACAGUAUUGUAAUUAUCUUGUUGAUGAUUAUAAUACUUGGUAGGAUGCUUAGAUUGGUGAAGGAAAUUAAUUAUAUUUUAUAAACCGUACUAAUUUUCUUUUUUCCUUUUCCGUAAUAAAAUUAGUGCAUCUUGGUUGUGAUAUUUAAUUAGUUGUCCUUACUACUAUGGAAUUUCAAAAUUCCAAGCUAUUGCUAAAUUGAGAAAUUUUGGAAACUAGCAAAUAACAUGAUAUUGUAGUAACAUGCAUAUUGUUUAAUUUUUCUAUUUUCCAGCUAUUAGCAAUCCUGGAAUUACUCUGCAAUUAUUUGCCAUCAAGCCUCUUACUGGAAAUAACUUUGAGGAAUGGUAUGAGUCUUUCAAUGUGCAUAUGACUUUACACAAUUUGGACUUGGCUUUGAGAGUUGAUGAGCCAAGUAAGCCCACUAAUGUGAACUCUGCUAAUGAAAGAUCCUUUUAUGAGAUAUAGGAGCACUCCGAUAGGAGUUGUUUGAUGGUGAUGAAGUAUACUAUGGAUAAAUCUAUUAAAGAAUGUGUGCCAAAGACGCAAAUGGCCAAAGACUUUUUGGAAUAUGUAAAGGCCAAUUAUACCAAGAUUGAUAAGGCAAAAAUGACAACUUAUUUGAAGCUUCUCAUAACCACUAUGUAUGAUGGAGUAAGUGGGGUUAGAGAUUACAUCAUCAAUCUAAAGCACUACUUCAACAAGGCAAAUGAGAUGAAAGUGGAGUUGAGUGAGAAAUUCUUGAAAUAGUUGAUACUUGAGUCUCUUCCUACUUCCUUUGAUACGAUGAAGUUGACUUAUAAUGCCUUAAAGGAAUAAUGGACUUUGGAGGAGUUGAUGUCCAUUGUGGUGCAACAUGAAGUCUCACUAAAGAAAAAUGAGACUCACUCUCUUGCUCUUGUUACUGACCAAGUGAGCAAUAUGAAGAAAAAAAGCUCCACAUAAGAAUUUUGGAGGCUCUAAACAAUUCAAGAGGAAAAGGAAUUCGAGUCAAGGAAUCUCUAAUGCAUUUGCUUCUUCUAAUGCUACAAAGAAUGAGAGAUUCAAGGGGAAGUGCAACUUUUGCCACAAGAUUGGCCACAAGCAGGUUGAUUGCUUCAAGUUUAAAAAUUGGGUAGAGAAGAAAAAGAAAUGUGAAAUUGUGGUUGUGGUUAAUUUGAAUGCAAACAUGAUUGAGACUAAUAUUGUUGAUGUUCAUGCCAAUUCUUGGUGGUUAGAUACUGGUGCCACUAUUCACGUCACUAAUUCUUUGCAGGAGAUGACAAACAAAAGGAGGUCGUCAAAGCAUGAAGAAUGUGUGUAUAUGGGUGAUGGAAGCAAAGUGAAAGUAGAAUUUUUUGGCAUGAUAAAGCUAAGAUUGACCAUAGAAAGUUUUCUGUUGUUACACAAUGUUGCUUACAUACCCUCACUUAGGAGGAAUCUGAUUUCUGUAUCUAUUUUAGAUAGACAAGGUUGCACUUUCCACUUUGGAGGAGGAAAAGUUGAUGUAUUUAGCUACUCAGUUCUAAUUGGCAAUGUUGUUUUGUUUGGCAAUCUUUAUAGUCUCAGUUUGCAUCAUGGUCCUUUAUGUGAUUCAUCUUCUGUUAAUUCUGUUGUUGGUUGCAAACAUGCUAGAAUGAAUUUGAGUUCUUCCAUGUUGUGGCAUAAAUGCCUAGGUCAUAUUUCUAGGCAAAGACUAGAGAGAUUGGUUAGAGAUGGUGUGCUUUCUAAUCUUGAUUUCUCAGACUUCAAGACUUGUGUUGUUUGCUUAAAGGGGAAGAUGACAGCUAAGACCAGAAAAGAGAAGAUUGAUAAGUGUGGAAGUACUUUAGACUUGAUCCACACAGAUACAUGUCGUCCUUUGACACCAACUGCUUUAGGGGGUUAUAAAUAUUUCAUCACUUUUAUUGAUGAUUUCUCUAGAUAUGGUUAUGUUGAACUAAUUCAUGAGAAAUCUGACUCCCUAAAUGUGUUUAAGGCCUUUAAGGCUAAGGUGGAAUUGUAGUUGGGAAAGCCCAUUAAAGCUGUGAAGUCUGAUAGAGGUGGUGAGUAUUAUGGGAGAUAUGAUGAGAUUGGACGGAAUCCUGGACCAUUCGCUAAGUUUCUAUUGGAAUGCGACAUUGAUGCUAGAUAUACAAUGGCAGACACUCCUCAACAGAAUGGGGUUGUAGAAAAGAGGAAUUGCACAUUGUUGGAUAUGGUAAGGUGCAUGUUGUCUAAUUCCUCCUUACCAGAAUUUAUAUGGGGUGAAGCCUUAAGGAUUACGACAUAUAUUUUGAAUCAAGUGCCUAGUAAGUCUGUGCCUAAGACACCUUAUGAGCUAUGGUCAGGGAAGAAACCGAGUCUUAACCAUUUUCAUGUUUGGGGAUGUAAGGCUGAGGUUAGGCCAUAUAACCCACAGUCAAAGAAACUUGAUCCUAAAACCAUUAGUGGUUUCUUUGUUGGUUAUGACAUUGGAUCAAGGGGUUAUAGAUUUUAUUGUUCAUCUCAUACCACCAGGAUCAUUGAGUCAAAAAAACUUGUAUACUUUGAAGAUGAAGUUAAUGUUGAUCCCAAUUUUGUGCCUCGUGAGAUACCUUUUGGAGAAGAGCAUGUUAUAAUUACUUUUCUUACAUCUCAUGUUCCAGAUGCGGAUGUUCCUAUUGUCCAACAACCGACCACUAAUCAAGGAGAGCAUGAUGAUCAAGUGGAACCUGGCAUUCCUGUUGAUGGUACUGUUGUUGAUGGGAUUCUUUUGAGAAGAUCACAGAGGGUUCGUAGGCUAACUAUUUCAGAUGAUUACAUGAUUUAUUUGCAGGACCAUGAGUAUGAUGGUUAUGAUGCUUUUGAUCCAGUCACUUAUCAAGAAGCAAUUCAUUAUCCUCAAUUCACUUCUUGGAAAGAAGCCAUGGAUGGAAUUUGGUCGAAUUGCCACAUGGUUGUAAACUAGUUGGAUGCAAGUGGGUCCUUAAGACCAAACGUGAUUCUAGCGGGCAAAUAGAGAGAUAUAAAACUAGACUUGUGGUUAAAGGUUAUAGUCAAAGAGAAGGAAUUGAUUUUAAAGAAACCUUCUCACUUGUGUCGAGCAAGGACUCUUUUAGAGUGAUUAUGGCCAUAGUAGCUCAUUUUGAUUUGAAGCUACAUCAAAUGGAUGUCAAGACAGCUUUCUUGAAUGGUGAUCUGGAUGAGGACGUUUAUGUGGAGCAACCUACUGGUUUUGCUGAAGUUGGAAAGAAAAAUUUAGUUUACAAGCUCAAUAAGUCAAUUUAUGGUCUUAAAUAGGCUUCGAGGUAGUGGUAUAUGAAGUUUGAUAGGAUUAUCACUCAAAAUGGUUUUAAAGAGAAUACAGUUGAUAGAUGCAUAUAUUUGAGGGUCAGUGGGAGUAGUUACAUAUUUCUUGUUUUAUAUGUUGAUAUACUACUCGCAUUAAAUGAUUCUGACUUGUUGAUUGAGACAAAGCAUAUGUUGUCAACCCAUUUUGACAUGAAAGAUCUUGGUGAGGCUUCUUAUGUUUUGGGCAUAAAUAUUCUUCGUGAUAAGGCUAAUGGGGUGAUUAAAUUGUCUCAAAGAACCUAUAUUGAGAAAAUAUUGAAGAGGUUCAAUAUGCACAACUGUAGUUCUGCUAGAGCGCCAAUUGUGAAGAAUGAUAAGUUUUCAAAGGCCCAAUGUCCUCAAAAUGAUGCUGAGAGAAAGGAAAUGAGAACCAUUCCUUAUUCAUCUUUGGUUAGCAGCCUUAUGUAUGCUCAAGUAUGUACACGCCCUAAUAUUGCUUUUGUUGUGGGCAUGUUGGGAAGGUACUUGAGCAAUCCUGGGAGUCAACAUUGGAAAGCUGCUGAGAAGGUCCUUAGGCAUUUUCAAGGAACUAAGGAUUUAAUGUUGACAUAUCAGCGCACCAACAUACUUGAUGUAGUUGGGUUUUGUGAUGCUGAUUUUCCUGGCUACAUAGAUGAUAAGAAAUCCACUACGGGUUAUAUUUUUGUGAUGGCAGGAGGAGCUGUAUCUUGGAAAAGUGUCAAGGAGACACUUACAACAUCCUCAACUAUGGAGGCAGAGUAUGUGGCAUGUUAUGAGGCUUGUUGUCAUGCUAUAUGGAUGCGGAAUUUUAUUUCAGUUUUGGGAGUUGUUGACUCCAUUUCUAGACCGUUGAAAUUAUUUUGUAAUAAUUCCGCAACUGUUGCUUUCUCUAAGAACACUAGGAGUACUUCUCGCUCCAAACAUAUUGAUUUAAAGUUCUAUUUUGUUAAGGAGAAAGUGAUAGAGUCUCUUAUUGAUAUUGAGCACAUGUCAACAAAAGGUAUGUUGGCGGAUCCACUAACAAAAGGCUUACCCCAUAAUUGUGUUUCAUGAACAUGUAUCUCAAAUGGGGUUGUUGCGAGCCUAGGUUGCAUUAAGUUAGUGGGAGCCAUUUUUGGUAUUGUAAUAUUAUGCUAUUGUUGGAAGGAUUGCUAUUAUUGUAUAUUUCCCUAUGAAUCAAGCAAUGAAGCAUGUAUGAUUGCUUUUGAUUAUUUGUUUUGAUGAGAUUCUAUGCAUUGAUUUAUGAUUAUGUAUAUGUUGUGAUGUUUGAUUAUGUAGUCCAAGUGGGAGAAUUGUUGGAAUUUUUUGUGUGGACUUACAUAAUCAAUGUGAUAAUGCCAUAAAUCAAUGUUAUUUUAUUUUUGCAUUGUGGUCCAUAAUGGGGCUGGACACAUAUUGUUGCUUGAUUUUUUAUGGGCUCACCCUAAUUCACUUGACUGGCCCAUUAAGUCAAGUGGUCCAAAUAAUGUGUGUAAUGUGUGAUAUAUAUAUAUACUUCUUCUUCUUGGGCUGAAAAAAGGGCACGCACUGCACACUGCACACUCAUCUUGAGAGCACACACAGACUGAAUCUUGGGUAUAGGAAGGGAAGAGCUCAUUGAACCCGGAUUUUCAUACCAUCACGGACUAAGCAUAUUAUUGGACACCAGUGGAGUACGAAAAUGACUUUCCAUGGCAUUAAUCAAAUUAAGCAUUUCAUUUAUUGCCAUUUAAUGCAUGCUUUAAUAUCUACAUGUGAUCCUAUGUCGUUGAAAAUUUCAUCAGGUUCUGUAGAAAAGAUUUUGUUUUAUUAAUUUGCAAAUGGAAAGGAUAAAAACAUUUUAUAGUGAUUGGAAACAAUAUGUUAUAAGAACAUUCCAGCCAACCAAAAGAGCUAGAAAAAGGAAAAGGAGAAUAAUAAAUUCUGUUAUGAAAUCUUAGCAUUAUUACAAAAAAUACCCCAAUAUUCUAAUGGUUGGAAAUGUCACUUUAGAUGGUGGGAUAUUUCCCACAUUUUGUAACAACUAUAAUGAAUCCACAGAAUUUCAUAUCUUAAUAUUAUAAUAAUAAUAUUUAAAAAAAAAUUAGGGUUCUUUUAUUAUUCAACUUUUCCCAUUUAUGUUGAAUAUUUUAAUUCUUAUUAUAAAAGAUUUAAAAUAAUUUAUUUAUUUAUUACUUUAGAAGAACAACUCUCUCUCUAUAUAUAACAUGAUAAAGGAUCCAAUUAACAUAUUAAAUGCAAUUUGGAGUCUUCAUUAUAUUGGCAAGUUCAUCAAUACAAAUUUACUAGCAAGCCUUUUUUUUAUUGCUCCAGAUAUAUUCAACUCAAUAAACCACUAAAUUAUUAAUUAACUUAAAAAUCUGCUUUGAUAUUAUUUCCUAACCAAAUGAAGGAGUCCUUCAAUUAGUUUCUAUUUAAAUUACAUAACAUGGGAAAUGAUCCACCUAAUUAAUACAUUGAAUGUAAUUUGGAGGCUUCAUUAUAUUGGCAAGUUUAUAAUGAAAAAUUUAUCAUCAAGCUUUUUAUUGCUCCAGAUAUAUCCUACUUACCAAACCUCUAAAUUAGACAACUUUAGUUUGGCAUGGCAAAAUAUUAAUUAACUUAAAAAUCUGCUUUGAUAGUAUUUCCUUCUAAGAAUAUGUUUUUGCUUAUAGCCUUGUAAGAUGUUGGUUGUCAGAAAGCAUGAUAACCACAAAGCCUUGUAUAUAUAAAUGAAAGAAACUAAGCAUCAAUUCACUCCUGGGAAGAGGAUUACAACCAUGUUUCCAUUCAGUAGAUGUUUGUUUUCAUUUGUGCUGCUUGUGUUUCUUGUUCGUUGGUGUGAUGGUGCGAUUAUAGAAAAGAAAGUGCAUGUAAGGAUCAUCAAUGACUUGGGAAAUGGCUCAGAUCUUAACCUUCACUGUAAAUCCAAAGAUGAUGACCUUGGGGUUCAUGUCCUUGCCCCUCAUCAAUUCUUUGAAUUCAGUUUCCGACCAAACUUUUGGGUUACUACGUUGUACUUCUGUAGGUUCUGGUGGGGAGAUGAAUCCCAUUGGUUUGACAUAUACGUGGAGCGGAGGGAUGUGGGCCGAUGUAACAAGCAGUGCUGGUGGACGGUAGCUGCAGUUGGUCCUUGUUUACUGGAUGCAAGAGUUCAACGAUACACUCUUUGCGAAAACUGGAAGGACCAAAAGCCUGAGGGUUCAAGUCAAGGACCAAAAGCUAGAAUGUACAAUGACAACAAACAUUUGGAGGGCAAUGAGAAAGAGGGAAAUGCUAUCAUCAUUUAUUAAUUGUUACUUGCGCUAUGUAUGGUGAAAAUAACUCCAUGUAGAUAAAUUUCCUUAAUAAUAUCUACAGGCUCAAGAAAAUCAUUGUCUAUUUUUUCUUUUUUCCUUUUUCUUUUUUAAGUCUGCCAUCAAUUUUUUUGUUUAGAGAAGUGAAAAUCUAGGUGAGAAACAUUUGUCAAGGCUAUUUGUCAUAAUAACAUUUUCUUAUGUCAACAUUUUCUAACAUUCAAACCAUAUGUCAUAAUCACACAAUCUAAAUCAAAAUUUUAUUAAAAAUGAUUUUCAUCUUAACCUUCACCUGAACUUAAAAGCACUGAAAAAUUUUCAACAAAAAAGAAUGAACUCAAAACCUAAGAAAGAAUAUUGAUGUAGUUUCAUGGAUAAAUUUUUAAAAAAUAUAAUAAGGAGAUAUAAUUUAACAAUAAUUUUCAUAAAAACCCUUGAAGUUUGAACAUGUUAAAACAUGGACUAUUAACAAUUUCAUAUCAAAUUAAAAUAAAUUUAUUUUAAAAUAUUUUUACUCUAGCUAUCAAAUAAUAAAUGGUGUCCAAUUAGGUGUAACUUUAUAAUUGGGUAAUUAGCUUCAAAUUUAUUUCUUUUUAAGGUGGACAAAUUUUUUUUUUUAAAUUUUUAGAUAUGAAUACAAAUGAGGACAUAUAAUUUAACAAUAAUUUUUUAUAAAAAUCUUGGAAGUUUGAACAUGUUAGAACAUGCAAUAUUUUCAAUUAAAAUUAUUUAUGCCAAUAGCAAUUUUAUAUCAAAUCAAAUAAAAUUAUUUUUAAAUAUUUUUACUUGGGCUAUUGAAUAAUGAACGGUGCUUGAUUAAAUAGGACUUUAGAAAUGAUCGACUAGUCUUAAAUUUAUUUCUUUUUAAGGUGAAUAGAAUCAAUGUCUAUUAGUACUAGUAACCUCUAACCAAACCCUUAAAAGUUGGGAUUCAUUGCAAUCACAUUUCCUACCAAAGGAGUGUAAAGGUCAACAAGAAAUCCCUUGUUGACUAGGGUCAAGCAAAUUAGAGUCAAACCAUUUUAUUCCAUUAUAUUAGAACGUAUAGAAAACAUUUUUGCAUAUUUUAAACAAUCAAGAUGAUCUAACAUAUUUUUCAUGCAAAAAUGUAUUUGAUCUAUGUAGCGAAACAAAAAUAACAUUUUAUAUGAUUUCAAAGCAACAUAAAACAAGAAAUAUUUUCUUUUACAACAAAUAUAUUAAUUUUUCAUACCUCAAAAAAAUCACUCAAAAUCUUGAAGAACAUACUCCUCACUUGAUGUAUCAUAAUUCAAAAGCUACUAUUACUACGGACUAUUUAUCUAAGGUUAUAAAUUUUGGCAUUCAUAAUAAUAUUUUGUGUUAAAAUUAUCAUUUUUUAUAUUUCAUUAUUUUUAUCAAUUAAUUUUAAUUUAAUUAAUUAGUUUUCUAAAUUCCUAAUUUAUGUAAAACUCUUGUUCAUAGAACUUGUUUCUAAAAUUCUUUCAUUUUUUCUUAUUUAUUUAAACUAAAUCCCUCAAAAAAAACAUAUUCCUUUUAUUUAAAUAAAUAUCUCUUCCUACUAUUAUUAUUAUAAUAUUAUAUUAUCUUUCCAAAAAGUUUUUACAACCACCACCAUCCUAUGCCUUCUUCAAUUAUUAUUAUUUUUAUUAUUGUAGUAAUUUUUUUCAGUUUCGCAUGUUACAUUCGUGCACUUAAUUUCUUCUUCCCUUUCUUUGUUUUUUUGUUUUUCCAACACUGUCAUCACAUGCAUACAUUUUUUUUUUUUUCAUUUUUUGUUACUUACAAUCAUCACACACGACACACUUUUUUUUCUUUUUCUUUCAUCACAAAAAUUGCAUUCCAUCACAAAGAUCACUUCCUUGGCGUUUGACACCCAACUCAUCGGGUGUUUUUUAAAAGCUAAAAUUGCACCAUAUGCUUGGAGAACCGCAAGCUAAAAUUGUACAAUUUGAUUUGAUCAACUCUUUUACAAAAAAUUGAUGAAUAGCAUCCAUGAGAGAUUUGAUUCCAAACAAAAUAAUUCAUUAAUGUAUAAUGUAUUACCCAAUGGUCUUACAGAAACAUUUAACAAGACCUUUUGCAACUUAUUGAAGAAAAUUGUUGAUGAAUAAAAAAGAGAUUGACAUGAAUAAGUAGGAGAAACACUCUAGGCAUUUCAGAUAACAUAUCAAACACCCACACAAACAACCGCUUACUCCUUCAUUUAUGAUGUAGUAGUUGUACAACCCUUUGAGUAUUAAAUCCCUUUAUUAAUGAUUGCUAUACAUGAAUGACUAACUAAUAAAGAUAAUGUCAUGUUAUGUCUUCACGGAUUCAUAACGAAUAAAUUGCCAUGAGCAAAAAUAACCUUAUAACUCAAUAAUCCAUUUAAGUUUUAAAUAUAUCCAAUAUAACCAUAUACAAACAAUUAAAUAAACAAAAAGAAAAGGAAAAAGGUUUUUUUUUUUUUUUUUUACAAUUAAUUCUAUAUAACUUUACAAACAAGAGAUGGGCAUCGGUCUUCUCUUACAUGAAGAAGGGGGAGACAUAGAAGGUGAGUUGGAAGAAUAGUUAGGGAUAAUGAAAAUGCAACACAAAAUAAUAGGAAAUGAAUCGUUGGGAAUUGAAACAACAUCAUCAACAAUUGGGGGGCUUUUUAGCUUACUAGGGACUAUGAAAGUUUUAGAAGGGGAUUUUCGAUAGAAAAUAUUUUAAAGAGGGUCAUAUUUUUAUCCAUGGUAUAGAUAUAUGAGUUUGAAGAGUUAUUAGGCUUUGUUUGGAUUCCGUAAAAUUUAGAAAAUGUAAGAGAAAAUAAAUAUAAAGGAAAAAUAGAUGAAAAGAAAAAAUGGAAAAAAUAAAUAAAGUUAAUAAAUUAUUUUUAUAUGUUACUUCAAAUUCAUUUAACUUAUUUUAAAUUUUUUAUAUAAAAAUUAUAUAAUAUGAAAAUGUAUAAAUUUCUAACUAAUUUUUCAUAUUGUUUGUAAUAAAACUAAAUAUGAGAAAUUGUGUUCCUAAACAUUUUUUUUCUUCCUUAUUAUUUUCUUGUUCCAAAUAUAGAAUUAAUAUUUGCAGAUUUUAAUUUUCCAAAAAUACUUUUUUAUAUUAAUUAUAAAGAAAAGUCUCCUAUGAUUCCCUAUCUAAAUCUAAAAAAUAAAAAAAUAAAAAAUGAGAAUUUAUUUAUUAACAAUCAUCUUUAUCUUCACAAAUUUCAAAAUAUUUAGAAAUUUAUACACUAUGAUAUUACUUCUCAAAAGUUUUCCUAAAAUUCCUAUACAUUAUCACAAUUAUUACCAAGUAGACUCCAAGAUUUUUUUAUUCUCCUACUUUCACUCAUAUCAUCAUAAAUGAUAUUGUUACAUAUUAUCAUAUUUUAAGAAAAAUAAAAUAUCUCCACCCAUGUUACAAAGGAUCCUAACUCGAGAAGGAAGGUAACAGGUCAAGAUAAUCUUCCAUUCAAAACAAAAGACUUCUUAUCUAUUCAAAAAAAGGUGAGAUAACAUGUCAUAGAUUCGAAAAUAUGUUAAAUCAAUUCUUUUCUAAAAAAAAGUUAUACUACUUUAAGUUAGAUAUUUACAUGGAUAAGGAUUAAAAAGCUAAAUUUUACCAUCAUUAUUGAUAUUAGUUUUACAUAAAUUUCAAGAAGAUUAAAAGCAUAAAUUAUAUUUCACUUAGUUUUAAAUUUUAUCUUAAAAAUCAAUUAAAAUAUUUUAAUUUUCUUAUUUAUUUUUAAAAGGAAAUUAACAAUAUAGUUUUCCAUAUUUCACAUUUUUUAAAUGAAAAUUUUAUGUAAAUUAGUUGACAAAUGAAAAACUUAAAUUUUAAGUCAAAAGAUUUUAAUAAUAAUAAUAAUAAUAAUAAUUAACCAUUGUUUUUUAUUUAAUAUUUUAAAAAAUUAAACAUUCUCCUUUUUAUUUCCAUUACUAGAAGUAGAAGCAUAAAUAUAAAUUUUCUAAGUGAAUUAAAAUCAAUAAUUUGUUUAUUGUUAUAAAAUAUGAGAACCUAGUGGAUUACGAAGACUUCUAGAUGAUCAUUUAUAUUGAUAUAUGACUCUAUAAAUGAAGGAGACUGUUUAAUGAAUUUUAUAUUGUAUUUUUCUCUCAAUAUUCCCAUUUAUUCUCUUCUUGUUUCUUCUUCCAAUUCUUUUAUUUACAAUACACUAUCAACACAAGACUCUAACCAAUGGUUUGAAACAUCAUUUAAUAAUAAACCAUUAUUUUUUAUUUAAUAUUUUAAAAAAUUAAACAUUCUCCUUUUUAUUUCCAUUACUAGAAGUAGAAGCAUAAAUAUAAAUUUUCUAAGUGAAUUAAAAUCAAUAAUUUGUUUAUUGUUAUAAAAUAUGAGAACCUAGCGGAUUACGAAGACUUCUAGAUGAUCAUUUAUAUUGAUAUAUGACUCUCUAUAAACGAAGGAGACUUGUUAAUGAAUUUUAUAUUGUAUUUUUCUCUCAACAUUUUCAUUUAUUCUCUUCUUGUUUCUUCUUCCAAUUCUUUUAUUUUACAAUGCACUAUCAACACAAUACUCUAACCAAUGGUUUGAAACAUCAUUCAUUAAAUUAUUGAAACAAACCAUGAUGUAGGCUCUAGUUUUAACCUUGCCUAAUUUCCAACUUUUAUUUGUGGUGGAAUGUGAUGCAUUGGGGAAUGGAUUAGGAGUUGUCCUAAUGCAAGAACAAAAACAUAUUGCUUAUUUAAGCACUGCCUUGAUGGUAAAACACCUUUUGUUGUCCACUUAUGAAAAGGAACUUAUGGCACUUGUUCUUGCGGUAAAAAAAUGGCAACCUUACUUUCUUGGGCGUCAUUUUGUGGUCCGAACUGACCAACCAGCCUCAAAUUUCUUUGGGAGCAACGAAUAAGGAUAGAACCAUAAUAAAAAUGGCUGCUCAAAUUAAUGGGUUAUGACUUCUCCAUCGAAUUCAAGAGGGGUAAGAACAAUAUGGUAGCAGAUGCUUUAUCAAGAAAGGACACACAAUGUGAAUUCAAUGCAGUCUCUAGUCCCCUACCCCAAUGGUUGGAAUCCACCAAUGUCGAGAAUCAAUCACACCCGGAGCUGAAACGAAUUCAUCACUUGCAUGAGCAAGGAGAGGCUAUUGGACCAUGGGAAAAUCUAAAUGGUGUAAUAUUCUUUAAGGAGCGUAUCUAUCUUUCAUCAAACUCAGAACUUAUCCUAAUCAUUCUCCAAGAAAUUUAUGGCACUGGGCAUGAGGGUCUUUACAAAACUCUUCAUCGAGUGAAGGAGGUAUUAUAUUGGAGGCAAAUGAGGAAGGUUGUAUUGGAUUACAUCAAGCAAUGUGAUGUUUGUCAACGCCAUAAGAUAGAUCACCAAAAGCUAGCAGGUCUUCUCUAACCAUUGCCUAUUCCUACACAGGUCUGGACAGACAUCUCUAUGGAUUUUAUUGAUGGCCUACCCUCUUCUAAGGGGAAGACAGUACUCUUUAUGGUAGUGGAUCGGCUGUCCAAAUAUGCACAUUUUAUUCCAAUGUCUCACCCUUACAUUGCACCAAAAGUGGCUCAAACAUUCUUUGAAAAUGCGUUUAAACUCCAUGGCAUGCCAAGUUUAAUAGUAUGUGAUCGGGACUCCACUUUUAUAAGUGCUUUUUGGAAAGAGAUUUUCAAAUUACAGAGCACUAGCUUCAAUUUCAACUCAUCUUACCACCCCCAAACAGAUGGCUAAACUGAAGCAAUGAAUCAGACUCUUGAGAUGUACCUGCUUUGCUUUACUAGUUCAAGACCAAAGGAGUGGGUUCAAUGGGUUCCUUGGGCUGAAUUAUGUUACAGCACCAGUCUAUAUGCUUCUACUCGCAAAACUCCCUUCAAAGUGGUGUAUGGAAGAGAGCCCUCCCAACUUGCUUUCCUAUGUUCCUGGUACAUCAAAAGCUGAAGUUGUAGAUAACAUGCUCCAAGCAAGAGAUAAAGUUGUAAAAGACCUAAGAUGUUAGCUCCAACAAGCACAAGCUAGAAUGAAAACUGCUUAUGAACAAGGGAGAGUUAAGAGAGAAUUCGUUGUUGGUGAUUGGGUAUCUGUGGCAACAACCUUAUUGGUAAACUUCGUUGGCUUUGAGACGGUCACAUAAACUCUCCCCACGAUUUUAUGGGCCAUACUAUGUGCUAGAACAAAUUGGUUCGGUGGCUUAUCGACUUGAUCUCCCUCUUGGAAGUAAGAUUCAUCCAGUUUUCCAUGUGUGGAUCCUAAAAAAACAGCUGGGUACAACUGAUAAAACUGAUUCUCCUCUUCCAUUAGUAUCAGAAACAUCAGGUCACUUGCAACCUCAGCCUAUAGCAGUUCUAAAUUCUCCCAGCAACGGGCGUAAACGGGAACUACUUAUUCAGUGGCAGGGGCUCCCAACAACAGAUGCUACUUAGGAGGAUGAGUACCGACUUCAAAACAAAUUUCCAGACUUUGUGUAUCCUUGAUGACAAGGACGAUUCCAAGGGGGGAGGAAAUGUCAUGUGCAACAAUUUUAAUUUAUUUAUUUCAGAUAUUUUGGUUUAUUGAGUUAGUUCAAAUAACUAGCAGUAGUGGGCUAGAGAGUGGUUAACGUGAGCUAUUCUUUAGCUAGGUAUUUUUUAGUAAUUGUUGUUGUUUAAUCUCUAAGUUGUUGAGUCUGUUAAGUUAUAAAUUCUUGAGCAAUAAAAUCAUUAGAUGAAAAACUUCCAAAAACUUGUCUUUGUUUUUUGCUUUCCAAAUUCUUUCAAUUCUGCUCAUAUUUUGUCUUAGCAACAUAGCUCGAGGGAGAGGUAGGGAGCGAGGAAGGGGACGAGAUCGUGCCAUUAACUUAGAAUGUGACAUUAUGCAAUUUCUAUUUUUACAUCUUAUUAUUUUAUAUGGCCUGAAACUAUAUAUGAAAACAAACAUGCAGAUAUGGUUUACAUAUUUUUAUAGUAAAAAAAUCAAUAUUUUGUAGGUGAUAAGGUAUGCCUAGAAGUUAUAUAUCACAAUUUUCUUUUUUAUAAUUACUAUGCAAUAUUUUCAUUUCAUUAUAAUAAAAAAAUUUCAUAACCUGAUCUUAUGACAAAAUUGGUGUCUUUUACUUUUAUUAUUAGUUAAUAUUAUGAACUUUUUGUAUAACUUCUAUUCUUAAUUUAGUUUUUUUUUAUACAAUUUUGAUUAAAUAAUAUAUACAAAAUUAUAUAAAGAUACAAAUUCUCUUAACCUAUGACUAAGAAGAAUUAUAAACAUAUGAUAAAUUUUUAUAGCUUGAAAUUAUUAUUAUUGUAUAUAUUCUUAUUAAAAUAACUGUAUAAUUUAUAGUUUGAAGCUAUAUAAAUUUUAUAUGUAACCAAGAGUUAUGAAGGAAAUAUCCACAUAUUUCCUUUUUGAAUCAUUGAAAUUCUUAAUUUGCUACGAUUCAAAUUUGAUUUUAUUGUAUCCUCAAUAUUUUUUUUAGUUGUGGAGGUUGAAAUUUCUAAAAUUUUACAUUUCAUAUUAUGAAGAAAGCUAAAUCGCUCUUUUAAUACAUGCAUAUGUUGUAUUUAUUAGUGUGUACAUAUAAUAACAAGUGUUUAAUAUAGAUUUCUUUCAAGAUAUUUGCCUUAUCAAUUGUACAACAUAUAUAACAAUUGAUGUUAAUCUAUAUCAAGUAAACUUGAUUGGAUUCUUUAGAAGAUAUAAAAUUAUGUCACUAAUGACAUGCAAUUCCAUGUGAAUGACAUUUUGUAUUAUGCUAUAUUUAAAAGAAUCUUGCAAGACCAACUUGGUCCAUCGGNNNNNNNNNNNNNNNNNNNNNNNNNNNNNNNNNNNNNNNNNNNNNNNNNNNNNNNNNNNNNNNNNNNNNNNNNNNNNNNNNNNNNNNNNNNNNNNNNNNNUGUGAUAAAUUUAUGCCUUGGUAUGACAAGAAGCUAUGAUAAUAAUAAAUAAAUCUAAGGUAUGCCUGAAGUGAGGAAGACUUAUUGGCUCAAAUAACCUAAUUCCUUAGAAGUGGAAAACACAAGGAAAAUAGUUGAAAACUUGAUACUCUUAAAGAGACUACAAAAUGAUUGAUCAAUUCCAAAUAACCCUCAAAGAGGCACAAAUGUAACAAAUAACCUCUAGAGAGGCAUAUAUUGAAUAAGUAGUCAUUGCAAAGGUACAAAUUGAAUGAAUAACCCCCAACGAGGCAUUGAUAUCUAAAGAGAUUGCUAUUAGUUAUGUACAUAAUAUGAGAAAAAUAUAUAUCAAAAUAAUGUUAUCAUUAACAAUGCCUAUCUUAUUUUCAAAUGGCCUUUGAUAUCAUGAAGAAUUAUAAAGAUUCCAAAUCAUGAAUAGUACAAGAAUGUCAACAUAAAAAAUAAAUGGUCAAAAUGGAAUAUGAAAUACAAAAAAGCUAGAGUUGUUAGCCAAAUAAGAAGCAUUUGGACUUGUAGUCUAGAUGCUAGAAGAUGUCAAACUUAUUGAAUGGACCUAAAAUCUAAGUAUGAAGGCAUAAAAAUUGUUUAAUAACAAUGAGUUAUUAUACAAUAGUGUAUUUAAGACAAUACAAAAAUUUAUAGCAUAAAGUUUCUUGUAGAAACCUUAUAUCAGCUCUUGUAAUGACUCAAUCAUAUUCUUAACUAUCAAAAUUGAUUGUCCCUUAAGGACUUAACAUUAUACUAUAUAAUGUAUAUGGAUUGAUAGGUAUUUUAAAAUCCCUAAAGAAUUCAAAAUAUAUGAAGCAACCAAGUCCUUGAAGGAUUUAAAAUGUUAAAACAAAUAAAUCCCUCAAAGAUGUAAGAUGCUUGUAGCAUAUAAUGUGAAACUUUGUAGCAUGUAUUCAACAAGCUACAAAGAUCCUUGUAUUGAUUAAGCAAUCCAAAUGCAUGUGGUACAAUCGCCUCAAUGAAUAUUUAUUGAGGGAAGAAUAUAUGUAUUAUCUUAUUUGCCCAUUUAUAUUUAUUAGGAAAUCAACAAUUGGAUUUGCAAUUGUCUAUGUAUGUUAAAGAUUUGAAUCUUGUUGGAUUUGCCAUUAAAAUAUAUGAUUAUUAAAAUCUAAACGACUUUAAAAAAGUAAAAUCUUAUUUUACCUUAAUAAUUUAAAUAUAUUUAAUAAAAUUAGAAAUACUAAUAAUUUAAUAAAUCUUUGUGUUAUUUUUAUCAUAAUUUUAACUAUUAAUAUUUAUGAUAAAAUGAUGAAAUGCAUUUAAAAUUUUAAUAAUUUAUAUUUUUUCAAAUUUCUUAUAAUUAUUUUAAAUUUUAAUAAUAUAUAAAUUAUAUAUUUAUAAUGUCAUUGGUUUGAUCGUGAUUCAACCCCUACUUUGAUCAUUGAAUCAUGAACUGGUAACUUUUUUGCUUGAAUGAUGACUUAUCCGAUUUUGAAAACAUUACCUUUUCUUGAUCAUAAAACCAAGAAACAACUUACUGACCAAAUGAAUUAAGUAUUUCAAUUAAUUUCUAUUUAAAUUUUAUAACAUGAUGAUCCACUGGAUUAACGUAUUAAAUCUCAUUGGGAGGCUUCAUUAUAUUGGCAAGUAUAAAAAGAAAUUUUUUAUAAUCAAGCUUUUUAUUGCUCCAGAUGUAUCCUACUUAAUAAACCUCUAAAUUAAACAACUUUAGUUUGGCAUGGUAAAACAUUAAUCAACUUAAAAAUAUGCUUUGAUACUAUUUCCUUACCAAAUGAAUAAGUAUUUCAAUUAAUUUUUAUUUAAAAUAACAUGAUAAAUGAUCCACCUAAUUAGCAUAUUAAAUGUAAUUUGGAGACUUCAUUAUAUUGGCAAGUAUCAAAAAAAAUUUAAACCUCUAAAUUAAACAACCUUUGUUUGGCAUGGUAAAAUAUUAAUUAACUUAGAAAUAUGCUUUGAUGGUAUUUCCUUUUAAUUAUAUGUUUUCUCUUAUAGCCUUGUAAGAUAUUGGUUGUCAAAAAGCAUGAUAACCACAAAGCCUUGUAUAUAUAAAUGAAAGAAACUAAGCAUCAAUUCACUCCCGCAAAGAAGAUUACAAUCAUGUUUCCAUCCAGCAGAUGUUUAUUUUCAGUUGUGCUGCUUGUGUUUCUUGUUCGUUUGUGUGAUGGUGUGUUUAUAGAAAAGAAAGUGGAUCUAAGGAUCACCAAUGACUUGGGCAAUGGCUUGGAUCUAAACCUCCACUGUAAAUCCCAGGAUGAUGACCUUGGGGUUCAUGUCCUUGCCUCUCAUCAAUUCUUUGAAUUCAGUUUCCGACCAAACUUUUGGUCUUCUACGUUAUACUUCUGUAGGUUCUGGUGGAGAGGCGAGUCCCAUUGGUUUGACAUAUACGUUCAGAACAGGGAUGUUGGACGAUGCAGCAAGAAGUGCUGGUGGAUGAUAGAUCCAACUGGUCCUUGUUUACUGAAUGAUAAAGUUAAAAGAUACACUUAUUGCGAAAACUGGAAUGACCAACAGAUUCAGGGUUCAAGCCAAAUAGGGACAGGAAACAGCACAGCUAGAAUGUCCAAUGACCCUGAAUAUUUGGAAGGCAAUGAGAAAAGAGGGAAAUGAUAUCAUCAUUGUUACCUGCUCUAUGUAUGGUGAAAAUAACUUGAUGUAGAUGAUUUUCCUUAAUAACAUCGACAGGGCUCAAGAAAAUCAUUGUCUAUUUUUACUUUUUGUCUUUUUUUCUUUUUAAAGUCUGCCAUCAAUUUUUUAUUUAAAGUGAAAAUCUAGGUGAGAAACAUUUGUUAAGGCUACUUGUCAUAAUAACAUUUUCUUAUGUCAAACAUUUUCUAACAUUCAAACAAUAUGUCAUAAUAACAAAAUCUUAGUAAAGAACAAUUUUCAUCCUAACCAUCACUUUCUUGUGAAUCAAGAGUAUUUUAAAAAUAUUCAAUAAAAGGGAAUGAGCUCAAAACCCAAUAAAAAACAUUGAUGCAAUUUCAUAGAUAAAAGUUUUUUAGAUACAAAUACAUACAAAUACAACUAAGGAGGUAUAAUUUAAUAAUAAUUUUCAUAAAAACCUUUAAAGUUUGAACAUGUUAAAACAUACAACAUUUUCAAUUUAUAUUAUUUAUGUCAAUAACAAUUUCAUAUCAAAUCAAAAUCAAAAUUUAAUUACUAAAUAUGUAAUAGGAUCCAAAAGGGAAUGGGAAAAUUUUAAUUAUUUACUUGAUUAUAUUUGUAUGCUUUUUUUGGUAUGUGUGUUCUAGCAUAGAAUAAUAUAUUUUGGUAUUCUUAAUUGGAAAUUAAUUUUCAUGUACUUUUCAAAAUUGGAAAGCUGAUUUAAAUUGGACUAUAGAUGGUUAGAAAAUUUUAUUUUAAGAAAUAGAUAAGUUGAAAAAAAAAAUUAAGAACUCUCUUUCCUUUUAAAAUUAGUUCUUAGAGAUUUAAUUUUAUUUAAAAUCUUCUCUUUUUAAGAUCUCUAAGAAUAAAAUCUUUUAUUUUUUAAAGAGCUUUUAUUUUUCCAAAUCUUUCUAAAAUAGUUUUUUUUUUUCUUUUGUGCAAGAUUCGAAUUAAAGAAAAUAAGUUAAUUUUGAGAAUUAAUGAUAGAUAAUUUAUAAUUAAGACAGUUAUCAAAAUCAAUAUUAUACAUAAAGUAUUUUUUGUGUUCUUAAUAAAUUUUCAUAAGAAGUAUCAUUCUAGAUUUUAUUUAUUUAGAAUUGGAUGUUACUAUUUUUUGGUUGCUAUUUCUUUUUGGAACUUUCCUCUUGAUUUGGGAUAUGCGGUUCUCUAGGAUCUCUCCCACCUUGGGAGAAGGAGAAAAACACGCAUGAUCAUCCUCUAGGCUUCCCCUCGAGAGGAGGAGGAUCGUACCAAGUUCUUUAGACUCCCCCAUCCCUUGAGAGAAGAAGGACUAUUUAACACAAACAUUCUAAUUCAAGUAAUAAAUAAGGUUUUGUAAAAUUUCAUGAUAGAGACUUUAUGAUAAGAAAAGGUUAUCAAAUAUUUUUUUAGGGUCAAUCUUGGAGGAAUAACUAGGGGUGACAAUUCAUGUUGGUGAGUCAUGUUCAUGUUGUGUCAAACCUAGGUAUUAAUAUACUACAUAACUCAACCCAAACCUGACACGAGCAAUAAUAGUGUAAAAAACAUAAAGCCAAAUAUUACCUAAUUAUUAAUCAGGUAACUUGUGUAACCCAUUCAACCCAUUUACUAAUCAAGUCCUCUUAUUUAAUAAUCAAGUUAAGUCUUAUACAUGUCUAUAUGAUUAAUGUCUCAACCAUACAUGCUUAUGACUUAAUUGACUUAUUUAUUUAAAAACAAAUUUAAAAUAAGUCAAAUAUGGAUUAAAUAGUUUAAAGAUAUAAUGAAAUUAAUACUGAGAUUAUUAGAAAAACGAUAAAAUUUUGGUUACAAGACGGUAAUUAGAGCAACCAGUAUGAUGCAAAAAUACUAUAUUAAGCCAUGAAGAAAGACAAAUAGCCAAAGUUUGGACUUCAAUGGCAACAAGUAGUACAACAUCCAAUAUUAAUAUUACUUAUUUUUCUCUUGUUCAUCGCUAGCCUCUCAUUUUUUCUAUGAAUAAUCUUGGAUCACUUGGCUACAAUAACCUGGAUUACUAACACUUGGAAAACUAUACUUGGUCUCUGUUUCCUCCCUAGGUCAUUGUUAACAUCCAUUGCUUUAACUUAGCUAAGAGAAAUGGAUGUUUUUUCUUGAUUGGUUUUUUGUUUGAAGUUCUUCCUUAUCCUAACAUAAAACUUAGAAUGGUUGUAAGGGCAAAGUUUCAAGGUGCCUUUUAAAUGUAGGGUAUAUUGAUAAAAUAUUCUGAGUUAGACUUGUGCUUAGAAUAUAUUGUUGUUUUAUGCUAGGUCUUCCUAGCGAUUCUUGUUGCUUCACCAAUCAGUAUGUAGACUUCUUUGGUCCUAAUUUUGGGGUCAGCCUACAUGUUCUUAAAGAUGCUGCUGAAAAGGCCUUUGAUUAGUCCUUGGAAUAUGGAACAAGAUAUCUAUUUCUUUUUUGCUAGUAGGGCUUAUUGUUAUGUUUGUAGUUAGAUGAGGAGCCAUUUUGGCACUGCUAUAAAUAGUUAGAAGUAUACCUCAUUGAUGAGACCAACUUUGUCACAAGAAAGGAAGUUGAUGAUGCCUUUGAAGGUCAAUACCUUCUUCCUCAACUUCAUCACCAUCCACUCAAAUGAGUUGUCUAUCAUCAUGCAUGUCACAUUCUUCUGAUUCUUGGUCACUUCUUGCCUCCAACUCCUCAUAAUUUCUAGUUAACAAUUUUAAUCUCUAGUAUGAUAAAUCCAUGGAUAGUUUACUUUUCAAGGGAGUAAUCACAUAAUGUUAUACAUAUUCUAUAUUGUUGAGGUUUUAUCCAAGUUCCUCAAUAAAUUGAGAUCAAACACCAAUUUAAGAAGACAAAGACAAACAAUAUCAGAAAUAAGAAAAAAUAGAACAAAACAAGCAGAAUUUACGUGGUUUGGAUCCAAGAUUUGAAUCCUACAUCCAUGGAUCAAGAUCACCUCCAAAAAUCCACUAGGAUUGAACCAUUUUACACCCUCAAGAAUCUCUAAGAAUUAUCAAGCUCUCUCUACAGUACAAUGAAGAAGACUAACACUCUGAAAUCCUCUUUUUUUUUUUUUGCUAUGUAAUUAAAAAAACUCAUACUUUUUUUUUUCACACUUUUAUACAAGUACAUGGAAAAAGCUAAGCAAACAGAUAUGCUUUCAGUUAGUUAAUCAACUAACUUUACUUACUUGACCAAUCAAUUUUUGGACCACCAAAUUCCACAUUCUCCACCUUGGUUCGAAAAAUUGAAUUUGGAUUUUUUGGAUGAAGAUCUGACUUAAACAUGAGUUGCACAUUACCUGUACCAAAUCCAUGCAAUACUUGAAUUUGCUUACUAGUAGAACUUUAGUUGCCAUGUUGGCUGGAUUAUUAGGUGUGGAAAUCUUCUACAGUUUUGCUGCUCCUGAGCUUACAGUUUCUCUAAUGAAGUGAUAUCUAACAUUGACCUGUUUGGUCCUUUCAUGAAACACAGGAUUUUUACACAACUGAAUUACUCUAUGACUGUCUGAAAAUAUAUCUACUACACUAUUUAGCACUCCAAGCUCCUUAACAAGCCCUUGCAACCAGAGAGGUUCUUUCAUGGCUUCAAUAGCUACUAUAUAUUCAGCUUCAGUUGUUGAAAGUGCCGCUAUCGAUUGUAGUUGUGACUUCCAGCUAACAGGUCCUCCAAAUAAGAUGAAAAUAUAACCUGUAGUUGACCUUCUCUUAUCAAGAUCCCCUGCAUAAUCUAAAUCUACAUAACCUAUGAUGCCAACACCCUUUUUAGAAGAUCCAAACUUCAAUCCUACACUAAGAGAUCCUCUCACAUAUCUUAGCAACCAUUUAAAUCCAUUCCAAUGUUCUCUACCUGGGUUAGCCAUAAACCUACUCAAAACACUUACUGAAUGAGCAAUAUCUAAUUGUGAACACACCAUUGCAUACAUGAGUGACCCUAUAGCAUUAACAUAUGGAACAAAAUCCAUCUCAUUCCUUUCAACUUCAAAUUGAGGACAUUGUGUCAUUGACAAUCUGAAAUGUCUUGCUAAAGGUAUACUUACAGGUUGUGAAUUCUCUAUGGAAAACCUCUUCAAAACCUUUUCUAAGUAGCCCUUUUGUGACAAGAAUAAAGCACGAUCCUCUCUGUUUCUUACAAUUUCCAUGCCGAGUAUUCUUCUUGCAUUCCUAAGAUCCAUCAUAUGAAAUUCUAACUUUAGAAUCAUCUUCACCUCUUGAAUUUGACUUAUCUUUGCAAGCCAAUAACAUAUCAUUGACAUAUAUUAGAAGAAACAUCGUCAGACUUCCUUGUAACUUCUUGUAAUAGAAACAACCAUCAUAACUGCUCAUUUUGAAACCAAUCGUUAGUAUAAAGGUGCCAAACCUUUUAUACCAUUGUCUUGGGGAUUGUUUCAAUCCAUAUAAGGAUUUUUUUUUUUUUAAGUAAACACCCUAGAUGUUUCUUUUUUGACUUUUCAAAACCUUCAGGCUGAGUCAUUAGAAUUUUUUCUUCUAAGUCUCCAUGUAAAAAGGUAGUUUUAACAUCUAGUUGCUCCAAUUCCCAAUCAAACUACGCUACAAUGGACAUCAAUACUCUAAUUAAAGUAUGUUUCACCACUGGAAAGAAUACUUUGAUGUAGUCAAUGCCCUCUCUUAGAGUAUAACCUCGAGCCACUAAUCUAGCUUUGAACCUUAUGGGUUCAUUUUCAGUGGCACCUUGUUUCCACUUGAAUGUCCAUUUACAACUUACCACUUUUUGAUUUGGCUUUCUUUCUACAAGCACCCAGGUCUGAUUUUUCUGUAAGGAUUCAAAUUCUUCCGUCAUUGCUGUGAGCCAUUUCAUUGAUUCAUUGUUGUGAGCCAUUUCAUUGAUUCAUUGUUGUUUAUAUAUUCUUGGUAAGAGAGUGGCUCACUCUCUUCAUACUCCAUAGCAGUCAAUAGAGCAUAGGUAAUCAGAUCUGCAAAACCAAAUCUAUCUAGGGGUUUUAUGUUCCUCUUAGCCCUAUCUCUUGACAAGAGAUAAUCAAGACCAACUUCUUAUGAGUUGGUUCCUGCACCACCUUCAACAUUUGAACCUAUCACCUUAGUAUCUUUUGUCUCUAAGCCACUAUAUGCUAAAUCAUUUUGUUGAUCAUGACCAUCUUAAGAUGAUAACUCCACCUCAAACUCAAAAUGGUCUAUGUCAAGUGUCAAGCUCCUGUUUUCAGAAUCUUCCUCUGUACCUGUAGUUUUAGUCCUCAUAGAAAGCAUUUCAUUUUCAUUAAACACAACAUCACGACUUAUUAUUAUUUUAACACCCGGAGAUUCCUUAUUCCAUAGCCUGUAACCUUUAAUACCCUCUGGAUAACCUAAGAAGAUACAUUUUAUUGACCUUUGUUCUAAUUUUCCUUCACUUUGGUGAACAUAAGUUGUACACCCAAAGAUUCUAAGGUGAUCAUAGUUAUAAGGCUUUCCAGACCAAAGCUCUUCUGAAGUUUUAAAGUCUAUUGCACUAUAUGGAGUUCCAUUUAAUAAAUGGCAAGCUAUCAUUACAACUUCACCCUAAAAAAGUUUAGAUAAUCUAGAACUAUACAACAUACACCUUACUCUAUUUAACAAUGUCUUAUUCAUCCUCUCUACUAGGCCAUUUUGUUGAGGCGCAUUCCUUACUGUUUUGUGUCUUAAAAUACCUUGAUUUUUACAAAACAUUUCAAAUUCCUCAUUGCAAAACUCUAGCCCAUUAUCCGUCCUUAACACUUUUACUCUUUUAUUAGUUUGAUUUUCAACUAAAGCCUUCUACUCCUUAACAUUUGUUAAGACAGUAUGUUCAUCUUUAGUUUUUAACAAGUAUAGCCAAACUUUUCUAGAGUAAUCAUCAAUCAAGAAUAGAAAGUACCUAUUUCCAUCGUGAGUAAAGACUCUUGUAGGCUGCCCCCAUAAAUUUGAAUGCACAUAUUCCAAUACAUCCUUUGACUUGUGUAUUGUAGCUUUGAAUGCCAACCUAUGUUGCUUGCCAAGAAUACAAUAUUGACAAAAAUCAAUUUUGUUGAUGCUAUCCCCACACAAUAGGCCCUGCUUGUGCAAUUCUUUUAGACCUCGAUCACUUAAGUGACCAAGUCUUCUAUGCCAAAGAAUUGUUUUAUCAGUUUCAAUUCUUAACACUGAUCCCACUAAACCUUUCAAUGUGUGACCUUCUAGGAUAUACAAGCCAUUUAUCUUCUGACCCUUCAUGACAACCAUGACACCUUUUAAAAUUGUUAAUUUCCCAUUUCCUACUUUGAAGCUAUAACCUGAUUCGUCUAAAGUUCCAAGAGAUAUUAUAUUUCUCUUUAGGUCUGGUACAUGCCUGACUUCUUUGAGAGUUAUUGUCAUUCCAUCAAACAUGUUAAUAGCCACCGUGCUAAUUCCAACCAUACUACAACUCAUGUUGUUUCCUAGUAGCACCUUUUCACCAUUAACUUCUUGAUAGGAUGAAAACUAGUCUCUUCUUGGACACAUAUGAUAGGUGCAACCCGAGUCCAAGACCCAUUCUUCAUGAUUUUGAUUCAAUGUAACAGUGAGUACCUAUGCACUGUCAUAACCAUCAUCUAUAAGGGCAACACUUCCUUGUGCUUGAGUUUUUUCUUCUUCUUGUCUAUCUAGACAAAUUCUUCUUAUAUGUCCCAUCUUGUUGCAAUGAUAGCACUUGACAUUCCUAUAAUCUUUCUUGCCUUUGGAAUUUGAUCUUGAAUGAGAUUUUCCAUUUUUUCCAUUGUUAUUUUUAUUUUGAGGUUUUCCUUUGACAGUUAAACUUUCACCACUAUUAGUUUUGUUAGAGGACUUCAUAUCCAAUACCUUAGCAUUCAAGGAAUUUUGAAUAUCAUCAAAUGUAAUGGCAUCUCUACCAUAUUUCAAGGUUUCUUUAAAGUACUUCAAAGAUUUAGGUAGAGAGUUUAAGAGAAUGAUUGUCUUAUCUUCAUCUUCCACCUUGAUAUCUAAACUCUCUAAAUCCAACACCAAUUUAUUAAACUCAUCUAAGGCAUCAUUAAUUGGCUUAGAUUCUUCAAUCUUGAAACCAUAUAAAUGUUCCUUCAGAAAAAUGCGAUUUGGCAAAGCUCGGGUUCUGUACAAUUCUUCUAGCGUUUUCCAAACCCCAACAACAGUUUUCUCAUGAGAUACUUUUCUCAGAACCUGAUUAGAAAGACUUAAUAUGAUCUAGUUGUUAGCCUUUCUUUGAAAUUCUUGCCUUUCAUUUUUAGUCACGCUUUCUGGAAGAUCUUUAUCAAACAGUAAAGCCAUUUCAAUGCCUUAUUGAAUCAAGAUGGCCUCCAUCUUCAUCUUCCAUAACCCAAAGUCAUUUCUACCAAUGACCUUCUCAAUACAUACUUUGUAGUCGAUGUUCUUCUAUCUCUGUUCUUGAUUUGGCUCUGAUACUAGAUGUUGAGGUUUUAUCCAAGUUCCUCAAUAAAUUGAGAUCGAACACCAAUUUAAGAAGACAAUGAAAAACAAUACCAAAAAUUAGAAAAAAACAUAACAAAACAAGCAAAAUUUAUAUGGUUCGGAUUCAAGAUUUGAAUCCUACAUCCACGGAUCAAGAUCACCUCCAAAAAUCCACUAAGAUUGAACCAUUUUACACCCUCAAGAAUCUCUGAGAAUUAUCAAGCUCUCUCUAUAGUACAAUGAAGAAGACUCACACUCUGAAAUCCUCACUUUUUUGUUCUAUAAUUUAGAAACUCACACACUUUUUUUUUCUCAAACUUUUAUACAAGUACAUGGAAAAAGCUAAGAAAAAGGGUAUGCUUUCAGUUAGUUAAUCAACUAACUUUGCUUACGUGGCCAAUCAAUUUUUGGACCACCAAAUUCCACAUAUAUUUUUCUAGAAAUCCACUGGAACAUUGUUGGAAAACUACAUCUUUUUUUAGUAAGAACAUAAUAUUCUAGUCAUUUCCUAAUUGCAAAGGAAUUGAUACAUUGUAGCAUUAUGUUCCUUCUCCACAGUGAUAUCCCUAUAAUGUUUUAACUCUAGAUGUAGGAUCGGAGAUUUCUUUUCAAACAUAAUGCAACUUUAAAAUGUGUUCCAUAUCCAACAUAUUACAUGUUUUGAUCAACAUAACUCAGUUAGUCUACCCAACUAUAGUGUUGCUUUUGUCCCUCAAAGACAUUAGUUGGUUUACCCAACUAAAGUAAUCCUAAGUUAUUUCAAAUAUUAUGAACCCAUAUGGGAAUCUUUAUCACGAGGCCAGCCAGCCAACUGCAAAUUUGGUUGGGUAUUCAAUGUGUUGUUCUAAGGGUAUGAAAAAAAACAAAGGAAUUGACCGAGCCCAAAACACGCAAGCAAAGAACAAAAAAAGGAAAUGGGAACUUAUCAGUAAAAUAGGCUGAGGUGUGACAAUGCAUUGUCCUUGAAAUAGAUCAACUCUCCUUGAAGAUGAGCUCAGUGCACUAGGGAAAUAGUGGUCUACCUUCAGGAUUCAACAACCAAUGAAUCUCGCCUUGGGUGCAUUUUGCAAACAAGAUGUGUAUAGCUUGGGUUUUGAUAUAAUCCUCCAUGAUAGAUGUAUGAAUGUAGCAAGCACGGUGAUGAACACGACUACUAUAGUGGAGAUGGAAGUAGACUUGGGAAUGUAGUAAGUCUGGCUACUAUAGUGAAGACAAAAGCAGGUUUGAGAAUGCAGGAAGACAAAAUACAAAACACUCGAAGGAUUAGAAAACUCUAUGAAAUUGAUGUGUUGAGAGCUGUGGGGUGAUAUGCUUUUAUAGGUAGAGACCCAACAUGUCUCUCCCUUAUAAUCAAAGGCACUAACACAGUCCCAACAGGUCUCUUCCCAAAUAUUCGGAUCCAUUGAACCACUAACCUAAGUCUCCUAAAAGAAACAACCCAUUAGAAGACUUGACCAAAAUAAAAGACUAGGUCAAAUAGUGUAAAAAAUAAUUGAACCCACAUGCAAGGAGGACCCUCCGUGCAUUACGGAAUUAUGACCCAAAUCACCCAAAACCCCAUUCAAAUGGGCUUGGGCCCCAUGGGUUCGCAAGGCUCUCCUACACCUCUCCACAAGCCCAUUAGGCUAAGGAAGUGGGUUAGAUAAUAUACCCACUAAAGGUGUCACUACUACAAAAAAUAUAUUCAAUGACGUUCAUUUCCUUAGCGCUUGCUAGAAACGUCAAGGAAUUGUAUUAAUAAUGGCGCUUAUAGAAAUUUGACUAACAAUGACGUUUUUUGAAUAAAUAUAUUGGCGCUUAUAGAAUUUAGCUGAAAGUUGGCGCUUCUUUAAAGGUUUCAUUGGCGCUUUAAAUAUGUUGAUACUUUUUUUAAGUGUCAUUGUUUGUUGGAGUAACAUUGACAUUUGUAAUAAAUGUCAUUAUUUAUGAGUCUAUAUAUACCCUUCUUUUUCCCAAUCUUUUCCAAUUUAAUGAACCCUGGAUAUCGUAGAUAGGAACCCUAGCCCUAAAUCUACUAACAACAGCCAAGACAAAGACCAUCGGCAAACUCAAUGGCAAAUAGAAACCCAUCUGUCACCGCAUCGGUGAUAACAUCAACUAGACGGGACACUCCUUCUACACUCAAGAGGAUAACCUCGAUAAACAUCAUUGGCAAGUUAAAUCUCUACGUUUAUUAGCCACUGCUGAUGACCUUUCAUCAGAAAAUAACUGUUGCGAAUAACAUCUGUAUCCAUCACUGGAGAAAUCUAGAACGAAGAAGCCCUAACCCUUCUUCAUAGAUGAACUCCACUGUCGAGAGGCCCUAAUUGACCUACCAUCACCAAGAUUUUGGGAACUUCUUCAAAUAAUCAACACAGGUAAAUCCCUCUCUUUAGGGUUUAUUUUUUUCUCAUGCUUUGUCUGGAAUUAAAGCUUCUAUAAUUCUUUUUUUAUGGUGUCACAGCCUUUGUGAUUUCGCACUAGAGAGAUAGAAGCCCCUAUUGCUUAUAGAUAUCAACUAUCAGGUCUUUAUGGUAAUUUUCCUUCAUUUUCUUCAACCCCCACCUUAUUUGACAUUUCGAAUACCUCAUCCUCUGUAAUUUCCAUGUAAAACUUUGUUCCUCACCAUCUGUUAUUAUCUAACCUAAGAGUAUGCAUGAUAAGGGCUAGGAACAAAUUUUAGCUCAUCCUCAGGUGCAAAUUUUAGUUUCUAGUUCUUAUUGUUUGUUUUGUAUGCUUCUUUUAUUUUAGUUUUUAAUGUGCUUGUGAUUUAAUAUUGGAAUUUGAUUUAUUUAAUUUGUAGGAUUGGAUAUUUAUGUUUUAUUGGUAUGUUAAAGGUUAGGAUUGUGGAUUAUUUUUCUAAUGUAAUGGUAGAACUUGAUUUUUUGUGUGGAUCACAAAUGGGGUUGGUGAUUCUAAUAUGAGACAGUUUUAGGUGUAAUGGGUUGUUCUCAUUUAUGGGUCCUACAGUGAGGAUGUUGAUUGUAGGGAAAUGAGGCUGCUGGUUCAAGGAUGGGAGAGAUUUUGGUGAACUGGGUUCCUUAUAUAUUGGUGUGUUAAAAUGUUUCUGUUUUUGGUAUUAAGUUUAUUAAAAUUUAAAAAUUAAGGAAUCAUUUAGCAAAAUUAAUCCUAAGUAUCUAUCAAUUUAUUGUUCUAGUGUUAGACUUUUAGAUUUUUAAUCAUUUGUUGUUGCUCCAUACUAGUGGCAUUGGUUUUCUCUUUUUUUUUUUCUCCUUUAUGAGUAUAAGAGUUUUCCUUUUUCCUAAAGUUUUCUAGUUCUUUAGAGAUUUGAUAAGGCUUUGGUUAUUAGAUUUGGACAUUUAGCAUUUUGAACUCUAGGAUUUUAAGUUCAGUCUUAUAGGUUUUUCAAUUCUUGGAUUCAAGUUUUCACUUUAAUGAAAAUUAUCAUGUUGGAUACUUAGAUGUUUGUCUAAGCAGUAGCAGAAUUUUUUAAAGGAUAGUGAAAAUUCAUCAAAAUCAUUUUGUGGGACUUUUGAUUUUGAGAAGUCUAAUCCACCAUCUAUAUGGCAACUUCUUGACAAGAGUUAUCCCUUCUGCAACUUAGAUUAGAGAAAAGAGAAAAAAAACUAGAUGUUGUUAAUGAAAAUUAAAAUACCUGCAAAGGGAAAGUUUGAGAAAUGAUCCAACUAGAUGGUGCUUUAGAAGCAGAAAUGACUUCCAUUAGUGGGUUUUGAUGGCAAAAAAAAAAAAAAAAAAAAAAAAAAAAAAACUGAAAAUUCAAGGAAUCAUGAGGAUUGCAAAAAUAGGAAUCUGUGGCACCUCAUCUAUGAGGUAAGUCUACAUGUGUAUAAUAUUUAUUCCAUAUCUAUUGAGUCACAGUAACUUUUUAAAAUUGCAUUAAGGUUACAGUUGAACCUCUUCCACUUUUUUCUUUCAUUCAUUGAAUUUUGGUUGAUGGUUUUUAACAUAUGUUUCUGGUUUCUGUGUUUGCUCUGUUAAUUUCAUUUUUCCCAAGAUUGUCAUUACUUUCGUUUAUGAAAUGUCAAUUUCUCCAUUAUAUAUAUUUGUUGCCCUAUCAAGUCUUUUUUUUUUUGGUAAAUCGUAGUUGCCUAAGAGACUUGUUUUGUAGUUUUAGAUUUCUUAUUCCCUUCAUUUUUGUUUUAUUUAUCUUCCGUAUUUUGUUUAAGAAACAAAUAGACGGAUUCUAUGUUCGGUAGUGGUAUUUUUAUAAUAAAUUGUCUUUUUUUUUCCUUGUCCUAUUUUAAAUGUGUACUAUAAUAAUAGUAUUGGUUGAUCACGGGCUUGCAUAUGAGCAUUGAGAAAUGUUGCUUUAAGGAAUUAAAGCUAUGAACCAUGUUUUUGGUGUUAAUAGUAUUCUAAUAUGAUUUUAGAAAAGAUUCAAUGGAAAAGUCCUUUCAUGAUUUCUAUGAGCUUUGUGGGUUGGAAGGAGAGGGAUUUCAAAUGGAAUGAGGAAAAUGACAGAAAAUGAUGAGUCUUUGAGAUAAGGAAGAUGUGGAAGAAGGUGAGCAUUUGAGAGGGGGGUUUAUGAGUUUUCAAAAAUUUAAGGUGAUGUAUGGGUUUGGUGAGGUAGGUAAAGAAAUGGGUCUUAAGGGCAAAAUAAGAGGUAAGAUAGAAUACCCCUUGGUAAUAUAGAUAGAUUGGAAAGUACAGGGAAAUCAAGUUACACAAACCUAAACCUUAAUUUAUUUUCUUUUUCUCCUUUCUUCUUCCUCUUCUUUUUCCUAAAUUUAACUAAUCUCACAAGUUUUACUUCUAACAUAGAUUGCAAUCACUAGCUAAUAGAGGCUUUUUACUUGUUUAAUGUGCCAGAGGAUUCAGGAUCUUGUUACUCAAGUGUACUUCCUGGUCAAGAAUAUUGUGUGGAAAUAUUUAACUGCUACUUCCCAGUCAAGAAUAUGGAAUGGAAAUAUUUAACUGCUAUAAAAUAUUUCUAUAUUUGAACUCUUUGAACAACCAUUUUGUAACUUGGUAGAGUAUGUCAGGGGAGUUUUACUGUCUGAUUGUCUUACUGAUUGCAAAAAAUAUUUAAGAAGCUGUCAUAUAAAAAGAUUAUGAAAUAUGUAUCAAGAGCACAAUGAUCACAAUAUACAGGGUUAAAAUCCUUCCAUUAAUGCUAAAAAAAAAAGGUAAAAUAACUUCCAUCUGUGUUAUGUUUAGUGAUAGCUUGGGUGUGAUAAAACUGAAGUCUUAUUGUUAUAAUUGUUGGCUUGGUCUUGUGAUAGUCUUGGCCUAGUAAAAGAACAGUCAUAGUGCUAUCAUUGUUUGGUUUGGUCUACCAUUUAAACUAAGGAACACAAUAAGUUAUCCUAAAACUUUAUUUUAUGUUAAUGAUUUUGGCUCUGUGCAAUAAUUAAGCGCCAUACAAUAUUUUUGGACAGGAGGUGACCUACCAAAAAUAUUUUUGUAUAGACUCUGGUCAUCUUUUCAUUCCUUGAACAAUUUACCAACCAAAAUCUCAUGAUGUAUUUGUUAUUUAAUGCUGAAUUAAGGACUGCUAUUUUGGAUUAUUUAUCUAUUUGUUUUAUGCAUUCAUUCUGAACCUAUGUCCAAUAAUUUUCUCCAUGUGAAGCAAUUAUAUAGAGAUUUCUGUUUUUGUUACUUGCCAGGGUCUAUUUGGUGAAUUUGAAAAAGUCAAGUGGCGUGGAACAUGGGUUGUUAAAACAGUAAUUAGAAGACAAAUUUAUGAUGAUCGUGUUACAAUGUUUGUUAGAUUAUACUUUCUCUUUCCUGUUUUCUCAGUUUGAUGAAUUUGUUUGAGUUAAUGUUAAAGAAAAUACUCUCUUAAGGGAGCUUCGACAUCCCAAUAUUUUGCAGUUCCUUGGUUCAAUUGUGCAUGGGGAAGAGAUGAUCCUGAUUACAGAGCAUUUGUCAAAAGUAGGUUUUAUUAUGAAUCUAUUGUGUGGUCCUUUCCAUAACCUUAUUUAUGGAAUUGAUUAAUGAUAUAUCCUAUUUGUGGAAGCUUAAUAUUAGUUUAAGUUUAGAUCAUUAUUGUGUGCAUUGUUUGUAUGGUCAAAUUAUAAAAUUUAACAUAGAAAAUUCUAUAAUUUGGUUUAAAAUUUGAUUUUGUUUAGAGUUGGUUUAAAAUAUUUACUAUAUGAUGCUUAGCAGUUAGAAAUUCCAUUGGCAAGGAUAAAGCUGAACAUAAUUUGCAUUGUUGCCUAAUAGUUGGGAUCAGGCCCAAUGGAUUAUUCUCUAGCUCUACUGUUUGUAUAAACUAGUAUCAAAUUAAAUUAGGCUACCCAAUUUUUAACCUGUUCCUUAAGAGUGUUAUUUGUACAAAGUAGGCUUAGUUUUUAGAUUUACGAGCUUCAAGAACUAGGAAAUAUGAGAAGACCAAUUGUGCUAUCUGUUUGUUAGAUAACAAUAUUCUUGCCUAUAUUUGCAUAAUCCUUGUAGCUGCUCACAUAUUGUGUUUUAUUUUAUCUGAAUGGUUGUUGGAUAAAGUUAGAAACACAAAGUGGCUGCAGGGAAGCUCUUGGAUUUAGGAGGUUCAAAGGUUUAGAAUUCAUGGUCCUAUUUGUUUGGGGGCUUGUUAAAUAACAAUAUCUUGCCUAUAUUUGCAUUAUCCUUAUAGCUGCUUGCAUAAUCAUGUCAAAUGGUUGGGUAGACUUUUCAGAGAUGCUUGAAUUGAUUCUUGACCAUUGAAUCUUUUUUGUCCCCACAAAAAUUUCUAUUAUCCAAUCCAACCUCUUAUUUUUAUUAUUCAAACCAGCCUCUUAAAUUUUUUUUCUAUUUUUUCUAUCAUUGUACAAGUUCAACGAACCUCUAGCAAAAGUAGCCUCUUAUUAUUUUAUUAAGGUGCUAUUUUAUUUUAUAUCUUUGAUCAGUGUUGAAGUAGUUAUUAACUUGUUAAUAAAUUAAGUGGUGUUACGUGGGAUCUUAUUUUAUUUUAUUUUUUAUUUUUUAAAGGAAAGGAAAAUCUACUCAAAUAAAUAUAUAAAUAAAUAAUAGUGUAAUGGUCUUCAAAUUCAAAACAUGAACCCCACUAAUGGAGUGAAUUGACAUCCAGGUUGCAUCGAAAAUGCAUGUAACAACUAAGAUGAGUGGGCUAAUUUUUAGUAUUUAGUAUUGAGUUAUUUUAUUUACAUCUCAAAUUUUCCAAAAUAUAUUGUAAACAUCAAAGAUAGUUGUAUUAUAGAGACAAGAAGAUCUCAAUAUCUUAUUAUGUUUUACCCUUUUUCUUUGCUAAGGAUGUCUUCUAAAAUUUUAUUUGUUUUUUUUUAUUCUCAACUCUUUGAAGUAUAAAUUUUUGUUCACAUUAUAGAAUGAAAAUUGUUUUUUUGUUACGACUUUCAAGAUAAGAUUUUCUAUAUCAUACAUAUAGUCUUAUAAGCUAUUUAAUUAUAUAUUAAUUUUCAUAGUUCUCAUAUAUGACUUACUUUUUCAUCAACUUAAUUAUCUUAUAAACUUUUUAAUGUUUUUAAAAUCAUGUCUCUUAUAGUAUAAUCUCGUGAUGAUUGUAUAGCAUAACUCUAAUACUUUUAUUUUUUCCAUGGAACAAUAUGUAUUUUGAUCCAUCCACUUAUUAGUAUAAAUGUUAAGGUAAUGUUAUUUUCUUUCUAAGUUUAGCUUUUCAAUUCUUAUUGUGGGGUGUAUUUCCAUCUAUUAGAAAAUUUCUAGUCAACCAUUUCUUAAAGUUCAUUGAAGUUGAGAUACUCCUAAUUUUAGGAGCUCAAGGACCUCUCUUCCUUUUUAUACAUUUUUUUUCCAUUAUUAAAAUAAAUCUCUGUGUUAAAGAAUGAUAAUCCAGGUUGUAGUAAAUUAGAAAAACAUAAAUUUUAGGAAUUGACUUAAAUGUUUAUUCAAUAAUUUUGUACUUUUAGAAUAUUACCAAAGUAAACCAAGUGGAAGCAUAGUAUGGUACAACAAUGAAAAAUAUUUAUUUAUUUUAUUUUUAUUUUUAUUUUUAACUUUAAAGUUUAGGUUAGUAAGCAAGCUUGAGUAGUCUAAAUUAAUUCUAUGAAGGUCAUAGUUUCAAUAAUGUUUAUUGGUUGUUAUAUGUAUAAUUUAAAGGUUUUUUUUUUCUACUUUUGUUUACAGGUUGCAAAUGAAAUCAAUAUGAUCUUCAAGGUGUCAAAAGAAGAGAAAUUGUCAUGUUGAAGAAAGUGAUUCCAAAAAUCAUGAAGAUUACGUUAAUGAACUCAUUAGGAGGUUGAACUAGGUUUUUGCAUAUUAUGGUUUAUUUUAAUGGUUUUUUUCCUUAGCUUUUGUUCUUAUAUUAAAAGAAUUGUAAAUUAUAGUCCAAUAAUUUGUAUGUAAUCAUUAUAUAAGUAGUUAUAUUAAUUGCUUAGAUUAGGUAAUUGUAUAUUAGUUUUUGGAAAUUUUAAUUGGUAAAGUUUUAUUCAAUUUUAUGGUGUAAAAUUGUUUUUUCUUUAAUUUAAUUAUAGGAAAUUCAUUAUUUUAAUAAAAAAUAAAAUCAUUUUUUAUUAGAACAUGUUCAAAAAUGACGUUUUUAUAGGUGUCAUUGUUAAAAUAAGUCAAAGAUGAGGCUUAAGUGUCAAGAUUGACAAUUUUGUAAAAAUUCUUUAAUAAAAACACUUAGAGAUGACGCUUUUAGAAGUGUCAUUGUUAACAUUAAUCAAAGACGGCACUUGUUAGAAGUGUCAUAGAAAACAUAAAAUCAAAGAUGGCACUCCUUAGAAGUGUCAUUGUUGAUUGAAACCUAUAAUGACAAGCUAGGAGAUAACAUUUGAGGGAAGCGUCAUCUUUUGCCUUCCUUGACACUUAAAAAGUGUCAUUAUUCCCUUUUUUCUUGUAGUGUGUUGCUAUCUUUUCGAUGUGGGACAAGUUAAAACACUAAAAACAUAUUUGCACUUGACUAUACACUCUUCCUACGCAAUGAUAAUGCAAGGCAGCUUUAAAAAGGCAAAACAUUCAUAGAAUCCUCUUCUUCAUUGUCAAAGUAGUGACAAAAAUGCUUGGUUUUGGCUAAUCAAAAACAUCUUCAUCUUUCUAGAAAAAUGAAGCUAAGUCUAAAUGCUACAUGAUACUAUGAUUGAAUAAUUGUAUUUUAAUUAGAUUCUUAAACACUCACUGACCAUUCUUUCUAUUCUCCCCUAUUGAAUAAGAUUAUAUAUAUAUAUAUAUAUAUAUAUAACUAUUUUGGUAUAAUUUGUUAUAAUUAAAGUAAAUGACAUAUAUCAUUUGGUAUCAUUUGUACAGAAUUGUCAAGAAAAGAUGUAGGAUCUAGAAGAGGCUAUAGGAAAGCCUACAAAGCAAGAGCAUCCAAUAGUUUUCCACGAAAGCAUCAACAAGGAAGAUCAUGCCUACAGGCAUUAUGAUUGUAACGCCUAUGAACACAUUGACAAUAGCAGUUGCAUAUGUGAAGCCAAGUUUCCAAACAUUUGUUAAGGAUGCCAUCAUCACUCACAUGGAGUAGCCAUCUACCGUAUCAACUCAUAUUAGAACUACCAUGAACAAAACAAGAAAGAAAAUGGAAAAAUAAUGAACGAAUAAUUUACAAACCUCUUGUUUUUGUACUACCAUUUAUGACAUGCAUUACAUUUUCAAGCAAUCAUUGUCAAAAAUAGCUUUCCAUCAACAUGGCUUAGAUUAUGACAAUUGGAAUUGGAAUUGGAAUCAAUCAAUUCCCAAGGGCAUCUUUAUUAGUAAGGACUAAGGAGAUGCAAACAAUUGAUUUACUUUGAACCUAUCAUUAGGUGUGCUAAAAUCAAUUGCUGACCAAUUAAAAUAAAUAAAAGACAGUUGAAAAAGAGACUUAGGUGGUUUUUGUUUUUUUACUUAGUUCUAAAUAGAACCUUAAUGCUUAAUAGUGUUAAAUAUUAAGUUAUUUGUUUUUGUAGUAUUUUAUUUCUAUUAAGUAUUAAAAAGUAAAGAAAAAUCAAUAUGUUAUUUUUUCUAUUUAGAAAAAACUAUAUAUUUUAGCUUUUUCUAUUUAGUAAAAAGUUUAUAAUAAGUUAUGAAAAAGUAGAAAAACAAAUAACCUAAAUUCUGAAAAUAAAUCGCUUUCUACAAAAAGCUAAAAAAACAAACACCACCUUUCCUCCAAGAACAUGUGAAUAUAGCUCUACAGCUUGAGCAUAGUGAAAUUAUCCUGCAUAUAGAGGAUGAGAGAGCACAAUAGAUUACAAAAGGAAUCUGAUAACAGGCUUUGAGGAGAACCAAUUUUGGUGACUGACAUGUAUUUAUGUAUUUUGUAUAUAACUCCAUUUUCUAUUUUUAAUAUUAGCUUAUUCAAUUAUGAUUCAGAUUAAAUGUAAUAUAGUAAUGUUUAUAAUUGUUUUUCAUUCAAUGAAUUAAAGUUUGGAAUUCAAGUAGUAUUGUGAAUGUAGAGAACCAACAAGAGUAGGCUUUGCCAACCAUUAUAAAAUUCUAAAUAGCCGUGCCUCACUUGAUGCAUACAUUUUCAUUGAAACAUAAGGAGAGCAAAAAUUACAAUAAUAAUAAUAAUAAUAAUAAUAAUAAUAAUUAAAAAUAAAAAUAAAAAUGACAUAACAAACCCUAAUUAACUCCUAUAACACCAUAUCAAUCACAACAAAGUGAAAAAUUAAAAGCAAAAAACACACAUGUUGAUCAAAACUCUUCAAGCCCAUGAUAGAAAAAUCAAAUUGUCCAUUAUCAAACACAACAACUCAUUGAAAAUCAAAUCUCACAAAAAGAAUUUAAUCGAAGGUCAAAAGAGCAAAGCUGGGAAAAAAAUCUACCUUCAUGCUCUAAAGAAAUUAUGAUUGUGGAUAUAAUUCAGAUCCACAAGCAAGUACAUGAGAUCCUCAACCACACCAACCAAACAAAAACUAAAAGUUAAACCAAUAAAAACUAAAACUUGCAUUUAGAAAGAGAAAAGUGUAGAGAGAGAAGUGAAGAAACUGGGUUAAGAAAAAGAAGUGUUGGGGGAAAGCAAAAUUUUCAAUUCACAAGACAUAAAACUAUUGUGCAAAUCAUAUCUGUUAUAUGAUAAAUAACUUGAGAUUUUGGAAAACCAAAUGACUAAAAAUGGAUUAAAUUAAUUUAAUAAAAAAAAUGUUCACUUGAUUUUAAAGAUUAAAAAUUGAAGAGAUUGAGUGAACACUAAGAAUUGCAGUAAAGUUUUUGGAGAAAGAUCUUCAAUUCUUACCAGAUCCUAAGAGUACAAGAACCCAAAGAAACUGUUGAACUUUAGGGCCUCUUCAUGGAAGCUCAAACCUCUUUCUACGCUAAGUAUUCUAGUAAUCUCCUUUUAGCGAGGAAGCUUGAACACAGUAAAUUUAAGCAACAUGGAAGUCAAACUUGUUUUUGAGAGCUUUGUUUCUGAGAGUUGUCACCAUGGUUGGGUGGGUGGCACCCAGUGUUAGAGAGAGGCACCCAUCAACAUGAUUAGGUUGCUUGGGUUGUUAGGGCCUAUUUGGGGUUGGGAUUGUGCUAAGUUCUAUUGGAUUGUCUAGGCUAUAUUGGGUUGGGCUUAGACUAGGCUUUAUUAGAUUGUUCAAUUGAUUAAGGAUAUUUUUGAGAAAAAAUUUUGACAAACACCUCCCAUUUUUAUAUAUAGUAUAGAUAAUUACCUAAAUCCAUAGAUUUUGAGAACUUCUAUAUGGGAUCAUAAUCUAAUUGCAUUCAACUUUCAAAAUAUAUCUAAUAUACUCUCACUUAUUAAAAAUAAAAAGAAAAUAUUUAUCUAAAUCUACUUAUUCUCAGAGAUUUAUGUGAAAUGUUACUCAAGAUUGAAUUAAUAUGCAUGAACAAUAAUAACCUAAUAACUCAAUAAUCCAUUCACGUUGCAAAAUCCAUCUGAUAUACACCCACAAACAAAUGAUCAAUGAAAUGAAUAAAAAGAAAAAAAAAAAAGCACAAACACACUCGAAUCCACAUAUUCCCAAGUUUGUACAUCGAAUCAUAGAUUGGUAACGAAUUGGCCUAAACAAAAAUAACUUUAUAACCCAAUAAUCCAUUAAAGUUUUUGAUUUAUCCAAUGUAACCAUAUAUAAACAAUCAAAUAAAUAAAGAGGAAAAGGAAAAAGAUUUUUCAUAAUUAAGAUUUGUAAAACCAUAAUAAUAGGGUUGAGGGGAAAAUUAAAUUCCUAUAAUUUCAAUAAUUUAAUAUUUGAAAAUAUUUUUUUUGCUUCUAAAUAAUAAAUAUGUUGUUUUUACAUUGAAUUAAAGUUAAAAUAACAUUUGUUUUCUACACUUAUCUAGACCUUUUAGUUUUCUCUAAUCACUAUUUUAAAUAAAUUCUUUAAAUCAAAAUUCAUCUUAAUAACUCUAAAGAUCAUGUGUAGAAUAUCAAUAAUUUAAUAUUUAAAAAUACUUUUUAAUUUUUAAUUUUUAAUAGUCAGUAAUAAUUUUAUCAUACCUCUUCAAUUUAACGUCAAUGCCAAUGGAAUGAUUUUUUUAAUAUGAAUUUUGAAAUAUCAUUUUAUGUAUUAUUAAUAAGACUUCCUAAAUGGGGAAAUUAAGUCAUUAUAGGUGAAGCCCAAGGUUGGAAUCGAUAAUGCUUUAGAAGGUAAUUACUAAUUUUGAAGAUUAGAUUUUAUUGUUUUAAAUGCAACAAACUUUUGUAAAAUAUUUUUUACCUUAUUUAAUAAAAUAAUUUAAAUUAAAUUUGAGAGUUUUCUAUACAUAUUCAAUAUAAAAACUAGUUUGAUUAUAAUUAUUUCCUUUAAAUAAUUUAAAAUUAAUUAAAAUAAUAUAUAAAAUGUCAUAAUAUACUAAUAAUUUAUAUAUAAAUCAAUAAAUAAUAUUUGAAAAUAGAUAUGUCAAAUGCAUUAUUAUAUUAAUAGAUAAUAUAUUAAAUGAUUAUUUUUUUUGAAUAAACUUAGUUUUUAUCCUUAUCAUAUAUUUGAGUCAAUAAUUUAUUAUGGUAACUUUGUACAAUAUCAAUAAUUCAAUGUUUAAAAAAUAAUUUUAAUUAUUAAUUUUUAAUAAGUGAUAAUGAUUUGUUUCAUAUCCUUUAUCAUUCCUAAAGAAUAUCCUGUCUAAAGAAUUUUAAAGUUCCUAUAGGUAAAUUUUAAGAAUACCCUUCUUUGUUUUCAUUUUUUUUACAACACAUUUCUCAUUUUUUAUCAAAAAGUUUUGUGAAUAUAAUUCAACUUUCCUUUAAUUCAAGGUAAAAGGAGAAAUGUUAAAUAAAUGAAUCAUAAUGAAAACUCUAAUUACUAUCAAUUUUUUAGAAUUGUUAUAUAGAAAAGGAUAAACAUUAUUUAAGUCUAUUUUUAUUGAAUAAAUUAUUCAUAAUGAAUAAAAAUAUUAGUUAUUUUUUUAAGAAUUGGAAGGUUUUCUACAAUACCAAGAUAUUGUUUAUUUUGAUAUAUGUUAUUUCUUAAUAUAUAAACAUAUUACUUAAAGGAUGAACACAAAUUAAGUGGAACAUAACUCAAUCUCAACUAAGCAAAUAAGUCUAUGGGACCAUAUCCUAUAGCUGCAAUACCAUUUUAUGAUGUACCCCAAACCUAAAAGCUAAGGGCACCAUUUCAUAUAUCAAAUCCUAAAGCCCAACACAUGAAUGACCUUACCUAGCAAAUCUAAUAUGUGGCUAGUUGUCACCUACCUCAAAUUGAUUCAAAAUAAUAAUCAACACAAAAUUAAAAUGUUAUAAAUUUUUAAAUCCAAAACCAUUUAAAACAUCUCAACAAUAAAUUCAAUGACUAUCCCAAAUACUUAAAUAUGUUAUAAAUGUAUACAGAUAAUUGUGAAUGACUUCACAUCCAUAGUCUUUUUCUAUUUCCCACAAAUAAUUGCAUAUUGUAUGUAAUUCUAGUUUUUCCAACUCCUAUAAAUAAGAGAUCUAGAUAAAUGAAAAAGACACCCUAAAGGUCUCUCAUAACUCUAUUUAUUUUCUUUUUCUUCUCCUUCACUUAUCCUUUUGCAUCUAAGACGUUAUCAGUAGGAAAAGUCUCUAUCAAAGAAAACUUUUAGAAGCUUUUGUAGAAAAGUGUUGGUAUAAGAUUGAAACUCUCAUAUCAGCUUUUGUAGAUGAGUGUUUGUGGAAGAUUGAAAAACUAAAAGGAUAAAUCUAUUACCAAAAAAUCUGAUAAUUUUCAUGUAAAAGGAAUGUGAUAAAAUUACACAUUUAUUUUAUUUUAUAUUUCAUUUAUCUUAUUUAUAUACAAAAACAUGUGCAAAUAUUAUGUAGAAAAUAAAAAUCCAUAACUAGAAAACAUGAAAAAUAUGUAAAAUCCUCAUUUCCAAAAGUUAUGUGGGAAAUUACAAAGUGAUACAAAAAAUUAUAAUAAUAUAGGUAGAAGUUAUGCAUCUAAUUCCUAAUUCCUUUCAAUUAUAUUGUAUAACCAAAAGUUAUGCAAAACAAAAUUGUAUAACCAGAAACUAUAUAAUAAAUAUUUCAUAGUCUGAAGAUUUGUACAAAUUUGUAUAUUUUUAUUAUGAUAAAAUAUAUAAAAUAGAAUGUAUAACCAAAAACUAUACAUAAAUUUUUUCAUAGCCAGAAGCUAAUUCAUAUUUUCUAUACUCAAAUUAGAAGCUUGAAAAUGUUGAUACUUUAAUUUUGUACAACUAGAAGCUAUAUAGAAUAUUUCUCAGGUAGAAGUUAUGAAAAUCUUCUAUUGAUAAUUAUUUCAUAGUAAAAUUUAUGUAGACAAUUUCUAAAAUAUUGUUGUUUAACUAGAAGUUAUACAAACCAAAAUUAUUGAUCAACAAUUCUGUAGCCAAAAGCUAUAUAUACAAUUUCUAACUAUGAUAUAACUAGAAGUUAAACAAACUAAAUUGUCAAUUAAUAAUUUUAUGGAAUUUUAUAACUUGAAGCUAAAUAGAGAAUAUUUCAUAGCUUAAUGCUAUACAUAGAUUUCAUUUUAUUAUAAUAAAAUUAUUUAUAGCCAAAAGCUAUGAGAAAUUUAUUCUUGCAUUUUUAUUAUUUAUUUAAUAUUGUUUAUUAUUGUGUAGGUUUCAUGAUUUUAUAAUAAUUAUUUUACCUUAUAAACAUAACAAAUAUUGUCAAGAUCAACCUAUCUAGAGAAGGAAAGUAUAUAUUUCUAUACAUUCUUAUAAUUAGAAGUUACAUAAUAAUUAUUUUGGUAGUCUAAAGCUACAUAAAAAAUUAUUUGUAUAUUAUCAUAGCCUAAAGAUAAAAUAAUUAAUUUACAUAUUUUUGUAGCCGGAAGCUAUAUGAUUUUAUAUAUAUAUAUAUAUAUAUAUAUAUAUAUAGUCCAAAGCUAUAUACAAAAUUUUUUACAUAGUCUUAUAGCUUGAAAAAAAAUAUGGAAAAUAUAUCUUUUAUAGCCUGAAGCUCUAUGAAAACAAAUAUAUAUUUCCUAUAAAUGAGAACUAUAGAGAUUAUUAUUUUAUAUUUUAUUAUAAUUAAAAGGUCUAAUUAAUUAAUAUUAUAUAAUUUCUCAUAGAUAGAAGCUAUGUAGAACAAUUAAUUUUAUAAUCACUCAUGGCUAGAAGCCAUAUAGAAAAUUUAUGACCUAAAGCUAUAUAUUUGAAGCAAUAUAUAUAUAUAUUAUGCACAACCAAAAAUAUGUAAAUAUUAUGAUAUAAAAUUAUUGUUUCACUUAUAGCCUAUAGCUACACAAUUAUAUAUAUAUAUAUAUAUAUAUAUAUAUAUAUAUAUAUAUAUAUAUUCAUAGCUUGAAGUUGUGAAAUGUGAUUUUUUUUUUUCAUUUUUAAGAAUUGAAUUAUUGAAAUCUUUAAUUUUUUAUUAUUUGGAUUUGGAUUUGGAUAUAUUAAUAAUUUAUUUUUUCUACUAGGUGUAAAGGUUGAAAUAUCUAGAAUUAUAAAUUUCAUGCUUUGAAGAAAUUAAAUCACUUUGCAAAAUGAAGCAAUAACAACAUUAUGUAAACAAUAUUUUAUUUCUAAAAUAGUGUUCAUGCUUCAUAAAAAUGCAUAGUUUUAAUUGUUUCACAUUUAUACAUUUACGUAAAUAUUUUUAAUUUUUUUUAUUAGCCUGUUAUUAUAUGUAAUUUUUAUGUAAUCAGAAUAUAAUACUUGCUUGACUUAUUAUGUGAUCAUAGACCAGGAUGUGAUCUAAAUCUAGUAUACAAUAACUUCUCAAUCUAUGAGGGGUCAUUGUUUUCUCAAAAAGAAGUUCACACCUCACCAACAAAAGUAGUAAAAUGUUAAAUAAUGAAAAUCAGGUUUGCAGAAUAAACCUACCAUAGAUGAUAAGAAAAUGAUUUUUGAAGAGUUAUAUGUAAUGACACUUGAUGCGUACCAAUCAUACCAUUGAACAUUUUGCUAACUUUUAUCAAAAUUAAAAGGAAAAUAUUAGUAGAUAGAAAUGUUAGUUAACAUAUCUUAACCUAGAUUAUUAUAACUUUUUUUUUUUUUUGAAAAUCCUAAUGGUAAAAUUGACUAAUUGAUUGAUGAUGAAAAUGUUUAUUAUUAGAUUCUCGCCCAUGAUAUUUACUUUCUUACAUUGUGUCUUUUUAUUUAAUAUAAUACAUAUCAUAUUUGCUAAAACAUGACCAUAUUUUAUUUAUACAUAAUAUUAAUUACUUAAUAAAUAUGUUCCAAGAUGUUUGUCUCAUUAAUUGCAUAACAUUGACAAUAAUUUAUGUUAUUACCAUAUAUAUCAAGUUAGGAAGCCUAAUUAAAGGUUGUAGAAGAGCUCAUACUAUGUCACAAUGACACACAAAUCCAUAUGAAUGACACUUAAUAUUAUAUCAAAUCUAAAAGAAUUUGAGAUGACCAGCUUGGUCCCUUGGGAUGAACAAUGAUGUAUCAACUCCUUGAAAUGUCAUAAGAAUAUCCAUUAAAGAAUCAAAAGUUUCUUCAAUUAGAGACUAGUAUAUUUAAACCCUUGAAUGGUAUUAUUACAUGUUAUGCAAAUUUCUAAUUUAAUGAGAUAAUUUUCUUACUAUUAGGGGAAGGCAAGCUGAUUCUAGAAGAAUGACAUGAAAUUUUGAAUAUGAGUUAAUGUCCCUAAAGGAUAAUUAACUAAUAUUACAAAUGAUCAAUCUAAAACUCAUUGAAGUGUGAUGUUCUUGUACUACAAUUAUCACUAUAAUGGCAAAUGAAUCUCAGACAUGCAUGAAGCAUGAUAGAUCUGUAUGUUCAAAGUCCCGAAGCAUGAUAAAUCUGUAUAUUCAAAAGGUUGUAAUCCUCCAGAAAAGAUUGACAUAAAGAAAAGCACAUUGAAAUAUUAGUUAUUCUUGAAGAGACUACCAUUAGUCUUACUAAAGAGGGUACAGUCCUAAGCAGGGCAAUAAAAUGACUAGUCGGUCCAAAAUUAUAAAUAAAUAGCCCUUGAAAAACCAACAAGUUAUACAACAUCCCUUAAAGAGGAAAGUGGUUCCUAGAAAGGCAAUAUUCCUUAAAGAGACAUAGAUACCUAAAAAUAGUGAGAUCUCCAUAAGUCAUAUAAAAUGGGAUUAAAAUAAUAUUUUCUUUCCAAAGUGACUUAACAUCAUUAAAAAUGAUAAGGAUCUAAAUUGAAAAAAAGGGUACCAAACCAUUAGUCAAAGUGGAAAGAACUAAUCCAAACAAAUCUAAACUCGCAAAAUGAGAAAUAUUAAGACUUGAGUCUAACGCCUAAAGAUGUAAAAAAUAAAAGGACCUAAAGUUUAAAAUCCUGUUUGAUAAAAUGAGUAUUAUAAACAUGCUAUGAAAAUGAGAUCAUAAGACAUUAAAUAUUGCUUAUAGUAUGACAUUUCUAGAAGAAACCAUGUAUUUGCUCUCGUAAUAACUCAAUUACUUAAUACAUAUUUUCUAAAUGUUGCUACAAGUUAUUUAUAUGAAAAUCUGUGGACUCGCAUUUUUCACAUGCGCCCCCACUCGAUAGGCCAGACUCGCUUUUAUUUGGUGAAAAAUUAAUUUUGGAAAAAAGUCAAAGUCACCACUUAUUUUAUUUUAUUUUAAAAGGGAAAAUAAAACAAGAAAGAAAACCCUAAAGAAGUGACUCCAUAAUUUUUGGAAAAGCUUGUCUUUGAAAAACCCGAGUCUUGGUUCGAGGAUUAGGUUACCUAUUAGGAAGGUACCUCUAAAAGGGAGCAUCCCUCUAAGCCCUACAAAGGUCUCUACUGACUAAGUUGAGGGAAAUGGGGUAAUUAAUUGGUUGAUUGAGGGAACCUAAUUAGACUAAGGUGAUUUCAAAAAGUAGCAUGCUAAACAAAAAAAACCAAUCACAAAUCAUAAAAAAGAUUUAGGGUGCGUAGCUGGAUUGUUUCUUAAGCACUAUCACAAGACAUCAAAGUUAGUUCACAUAAUAUAUCAUUAAACAUGUGCUUUAUAAAAAAUAAUCGAACAAUGAAGCAUAUGUAUCAAGACACCCAAGCACUAUCAAACAUAGGAGCAGUUCAUAGUGACAAGCAUAUUCACAGAAUUUAAAAGAUGGUGAUAGGAGGUGUACUUGGAUAGUGUAGAUAACUUGUAACGUGCUUCCGUAAGACAUGAGGGGUUAGAUAAUAAAUAAUAAAAUAAAGAAAUCCUAACAUGCUUGUUAUCUAAUUAGCAUAGCAAAAAUGAUCAAAGUAUACGAAAUCAUCAAUUAUUACUUAUAUCGGGUGUAUAAUUCCUAAAAAAUAGAGAGAUAUGAUUACAACAAGUAGUAAAUGUGGUAGCAAAGAUGAAUUUGGAAAAGAUUCUUUUAUGUUGGGGUUUCACCAAUUCCCCAAUUGAUAUACACAAAUCUAGCCUAGAAUUAUCCCAUUUAUUUUGGACCACAAGCUUGGAUUUGUGUCUUACUCAAAACCGUAGUUUUAUUAAAAACCGAGAAAGAUGCGAACUGAUCAAAACAUGGUUGCAUAUUAUUUUUAAAAAAUGAGAUUUUUUAUUCUAAGGACUAUAAAUGAAUUUUCGAAAUGCACUUUAAGGAGGAACAUUUUAGAAAAGGUUUCUUUUUUUUUUUUUAAAAAAGGAAAAGAAUAAUUUACAAAGGACAAUAUUCAAGCAUCAAACAUAGGCAACCCAAAAAGAAAAUAAAAUCACAAAAUAAAGUUUUAGACAACCAUGCCAAUUAAAGUGGUGAGAGUAGGGCCAACCUUCAUGGGUUUCCAAUGGCCUUCAAAAAAGGGGAUUUGACCAACAAUCACUAAGACAACAAACUAAUGACUUCCAAAUCAAACAAACUAACAAAAACAUUAUCCAAGACUAACAUCUAGAUUUCAAGAAGCGCAAGAAUUAAGAUAGAAACCAAUCAAGGAUUAAAACCAACAAACUUAACAUAUGGAGAUAAUAACAUGAGAUCAAUUAAAGUAAACUAACACUCUAACAAAAUAUUGAUAAAUCAAAAACCAAAGUUUAGCAAACUUGAAAAUAUGAAAACAAUAAUAUGUAAUUAACUAGAUUGAUUAGCUAAAAUUCCAAAAAACUUAUACUAAAUAUUAAUGAAUCAAAGCCGAAAUUACCAUACUUAAAACGUAAAAAUAAUAACAUGCGAUUGACUAAAUGGAUUAACCAAAACUCUAAAAACACUCAAACCAAAUAUUGAUGGAUCAAAAUUAAAAUUACCAUACUUAAAACAUGAAAAUAAUAACACAUGAUUAACUAAAUUAAUUAACUAAAAUUAUAAUCAACUACAAAAUUUAAUAUAAAGGGAUUAAAAUCAAAAUUAACGAAAUCAGAAACACACAAGCUCAUUCAAGCUAAACUAAAAAAUAAAUUAAUACUAAAUUAAAUUGGAAUUAAAAACAUCAACUUCAUCUAAUAAGAUUGAUUAAACUAUCAAAUUAAAAUUACAAAUGCAUUUAAACUAAAACAAAUUGAUAAAUAAGUAACUCAAAACUAAACUAAAUCGAAAUUAGAAACAAGAUCUUUACCUAAGAGGUUUAAUUAAACAAUUGAAUUAAAAUCACAAACACAUUUAAACUAUAGACUAAAUUAAAACUCAACUAAAUUGAAAUUUAAAAAAUAUUAACUUUAUCUAAUAAAAUUAAUUAAGCUAAUGAAUUAAAAUCAACAAAUGCAUUUAAACUAAAACAAAUUAAGACCAAACUAACUGGAAUUAAAAACACAAACUUUAUUUGACAUGAUUAUUUAAACUAAUGAAUUAAAAUCACUAACACACUUAAACUAAAAAGUAGAUCAAAACUAAACUAAUUUUGGCUUAAAAAAAAUAACAUAAACUUCAUCACAAAGAAUUAAUUGAACUAUUGAAUUAAAAUGUAAAAAAAAAAAAAAAAAAUCUAGGCUAAAUAAAAAUGCUAUAUUGAAAACUAACCUAUGAAGUGAAAGAAAAAAUCCUCUCUUAAUGCGUCCAAGUGACAACCUGAUCCCUCUCCGAAUCCCUUUACUGCUCUCCAAAAAUUCUGCACGUCCUCUCCUACAAUUGCCAUGAGAUCUUUUGAUAGUGAAACACCUGUUUUUGCUACAUCAUCCUAGUUCUGGUAAACACAGCUAAAUGCCUUCUCAUUAGCUCCACGAUGUGUCCUCAGGACAUGAACAAGCUCAUACUUAGUCCGCCUCUUGUCCUUAGACCUAUUAGAAAGUAAAAUGGCAACACCUCCAACCCGAAACAAACAAUUGGGUAUCAACACGGACCUGUCAUUCCCAAAAUACCAAUUUUGAGUGAUGUUCUUAGUGCUGACAACAACAGCAUAAGUAUUCCUAUGAACUUGCAACAAGUCCCUAGCGAGAUCAAUUGUAAUGACUCUAGCACUACAUCCCAUACCCCUUAGAUUAAAACUCCUAAUAUUACCCCUAAAUUUGCACUUAUUCACAAUCAUGGUAGAGAAGGAAGGCAUGGGAUUAAACCAACUACUGUUCACAACAAGAAUGUCGAUGUCCUUAGGAUUAAUACAAGUAUCACAAAAUAGAGCAUCCAAAGCACCAAAUAUUCAGCCUCCUCUCGGGCCGCUAACAUCAAGAAGCGCAUGGGAGACAAUGCAUUGCUUGAAGCACAUAAGUCUUUUUCCCAAAGCUAGAGCACUCUAAGAUUUUGCGUUGGAACUCGAGCGUCGACUCGGUGAAGUCACCGAUGAGUCUUAAGUGGUCCAUGAACUACUAGAAUACGACUUGGAGGUGAUUAGGAGGUCGGUAGAAGGCAUACUCGAUGAGGAAAACUAGAUGAGGAGGGCUCAUGAUGUAGACGGUCAUUGCGGAGACUAGAAUAGCGGAGCAUAUGAUGACACUCACUAGAUUGUAUUGGAGAUGAAGCCAUAGGUGGCGUAGAUCAUCAAGGUUGGUUUGGGAGGCUUUAAGUUGACGCUCUGUAGAAAAUCUAAUAAUCUCUUACUACAAUGGAUCUGAACCCCCACCGCAACUCCACCAUCGGGAAUCUCCGCAAUUUCUCAAAUUGAAUUCCAUACCAGAUCAAUGAAAUUAAACCCCAUAGAAAUCAACCCAAUUCUGCAACUUAGGUAGGAUCGAUCGAUAUUGGAACAAGUUGACUUGUAGUAGUUGUGACAUAGAUUAGCAGACAAAUGAGAGAGAAAGGUCUGGAUACUGGAGAAGGCAGAGAGGUGCAUGGGCUUAAAGAGAGAAAAGAAAGGUAAAAUAAAUCCUAGACGGAAACCACUGUUAACUGUUUUGGGGAUGCUCACCGGUGUUGCCACUUCCUCCUCUUUCUUGUAGUCGUGAUAUCUAUGAAAAUCCAUGUCGUUCUGAAUAAUUGAAUCCCCCCUCUAUCCUUGCGUGUUCACUUCUAUAUAGACGACUCAUUCUUUCAAGGAUGGUAGCGUGUUGUCUCUUUUUUGGGAAGUCUUGCCAUCCUGAAACUCAUGGAGAAUCAAAUCCCACCCAUCACUCGUUCCUGCUUUUGGAAAAUCUUUUUUUUAUGCGAGCUGUAAUCUCCUCUUUCCAUCUAGGUGCAACCGCAUCCCUUUUCUUCCAUGUAUGUGUGGCCUUUUACGUGUAGUCUAGAAUUUUUCAUGGAUUCUCCAUUACACAACCACUUUCAUUUCUCAAAAAUUCUGGUGAUCCUCCUUCUAAAAUAGAUGCAGCCCGUUUCCUCAUGCAAAAAAAAGCCAAGAAAUAUGAGUUAGAAAACUUAUAAUAUAAUGAGAUAAAAUAAAAAUAAAUAAAAAUAACAAAGAAAGCCAUUCAAGCCACACAAGUCAUCUAGCCCAUGUAAUCAUACAAGUCAUAUAAAAAGUGAGUAUAAAAGUGCCUAAGUGAUCUAAGGUGGUGCCUAAUGGGCCAAGUGCAUCUAAAUGGACCGAGGGUGCCUAAGUGGGCCUAAGUCUAAAUUAGGCCUGCCAAGAGUCACAAUGGGGUUAGAUCAAUCCUUCAACCAAAAUCCCCAAAGUGGCUUAGAAAAGAUAGGCUACACAAGUAGCAAUGGGCCACUAGGGAAUUGUUGUAAAGUAUCGAACAAGUAUCUAAUAUGGCAUGUGUUAGGAGGACAAAAUGGAGGGUCUAUAAAUAUGCCCCUUUUCGGUAGUGAUCAUGAGUGUAGGGAAUGUGAGUAAAAAUACGAAUAAUGAGUGGAACAAAGUGAACUAUACCGAAGAACUAAAAGAAAAUGACUAGAAAUUUUGUUCUAGCACACGACGAGAGUAAGCUCGGAACACGGGGUUGCCAUCACAAAAAUAGAACAACUCUAUGGUGUGAGCUCAAGGCUCUAUGUGGAAAGCAUGACUCUGGGCUUUAAAUGGAAAAGAAAUGACUCUAGGUCAUAAAUGAGAAAAAUGACUUUGGGUCGUGAGCUCUGGGCUCUAAAUGGAAAAUAAAUGACUCUAGGUCAUAAAUGAGAAAAACUACUCUAGGUCAUGACUAGGUCAUGAGCUUUGGGCUUUAAAUGGAAAAUAAAUGACUCUAGGUCAUGAGCUCUAGGCUCUAAAUGGAAAAGAAAUGACUUUGGAUCAUAAAUAAGAAAAAACGACUAUAUGUCGUGAGCUCUAGGCUCUAAAUGGAAAAGAAAUGACUUUGGGUCAUAAAUGAGAAAAACGACACUAGGUCGUGGGCUCUAGGCUCUAAUUGGAAAAAAAAAUGACUCUAGGUCAUAAAUGAGAAAAACAACUCUAAGUCGUGAGUUCCAGACUCUAAAUGGAAAAAAAAUGACUCUAGGUCAUAAAUAAGAAAAAUAACUCUAAGUUGUGAGCUCUGGGCUCUAAAUGGAAAAGAAAUGACUCUGGGUCAUAAAUGAGAAAAACUACUCUAGGUCGUGAGCUUUGGGUCAGAAAUGAGAAAAAGGACUCUAGGUUGUGAGCUUUGGGCUUUAAAUGGAAAUAAUGACUCUGAGUCAUAAAUAAGAAGAACGACUUUGGGUCGUGAGCUCAGGGCUCUAAAUGGAAAGAAUGACUCUGGGUCAUAAAUAAGAAGAAUGAAUCUAGGUUGUGAGCUUAGGGCUCUAAAUGGAUGGUCGAUUAGGAUGCUUUCCGGCUCAUGGUGUCAGGUCAAGGCCACUCUCAAGUGGCUAGAAUGAUGAAAAUGAAACAUCUCAGGGAUAUGAAGGAUGCUAACGACUCUGGAUCGUGAGCUCAAGGGUCGGGAUGCUAUGAAUGACUCUGGGUCAUGAUGCAAUGAGUAACUCAGGGUUAUGAUGAAUAGCUUAGGGCUAUGGAUGACAUGAAUGACUCCGAGUCAUGAUGCAAUGAGUAACUCAGGGUUACAAUGAAUAGCUCAGAGCUAUGAGGUCCGAGCUCUAUGACUGAUAAGCUAGAAGGAGAAUGCGAUAUGCAAACUCCAGGUCAAACCACUCAUGGGUGACCAAAUGAUGAAGGCUCAGCUCUGGGCUGGAAAGACUCCUGGUCUUAAGGAAAUGAUAGCUCAAGGCUACAAGGCUCAGGGCCUAAGAGAAAAAGGAUAGCUUAAGGCUAUAAGACUUAGGGUCUAGAAGGAAAGGAUAACUUAAGGCUAUAAGACUUAGGGUUUAGAAGGAAUGGAUAGCUCAGGGCUAUGAGACUCAAGACCUAGAAGGAACAGAUAAAGAAGACCAACUUGAAAGUGGCUAGAAAGUAAAUGGGCUUAAAGUUGUAUACUCAAAAUGCUAAGAGUCGGACUACUGAACUGAAGAAGGGAAAUAUGCUUCAGUAUCUGGGGUACUCACACUGUUGAAACAACUAGUAAAUCAAUCAUCUACUGGAAUCAAUGGGUCAGAAAUCGAUGCAUCACGACAAACCUCUAAAAAAUAUAGAUUGAAAGAACUCUCUGUGUUUGAAAAACUGCUCUGUCAACGAAUCUCAAAAGGUAAAUCUCGGAGAGUGUAUAUCGCGACUCAUCUAAAAGAAAAUCUCAAAGUGUCCAAAAAUACUGCUCGUCUGGAUAACCCAAUCUACAAGACAACAAUGGCAAAAACAAUCUAUCUCAUGAGCAUCUGGCUAAAGGAUCCACCCAUGUUCCUCAAGAGAAACCUGAUGUGAUCCAUCUCUAUCUCAACAAAUCAAUGUAGGGAGGUCCUGAUAUAGUCAAUCAUCGGAAGCUCUAGACUAGUACUCAAUCUAAAACCAAGUUGGCCGUUGUCCUAAUCUCAAGGUUACUUAAAGAAAAUGGGAAAAUAUGCUCUAGUAUAAGAUCUGAUGUCAAAGUCAUGAGGUAAACAACCAACACCUAUCAUCCAUCCUCGUACUAUUGCCUAAACACAAUCUUAUCAAGGAGAAGGGAAUAUGCCCCAGUAUGGAUAUCUGAUGUAUAAUAAAGAAUAUGUCAAAAUCAAUCAAACAUCUCUAUAACCAUAAAUAGGGAUAACCAUACCGUCUAACAACAACUAGGAACCUCGGAGAAAAUGGGAAAUAUGCCCCAGUGUGGAUAUCUGAUGCACAAUCAAAAGGAUGAAUCCAAUAUCAUCAAUCAAUUGUCUCUAGCUCAACAAUAAUCCACUAAGAAAUCAGAAUGAAGUAUCAACCAAUGCCUCAAUGGAGACACUCUAAAUCUAAUCUCAAAGGAAUAACCAAAAUGAUGACGAAUAUGAUAAUCUAGAGAGUAGAAGCACGUCUCUGAUGAAUCCCUAACUAAAUCUUAUAGGAAUCUAGUGACCUCAAAAUAGGGAAAUAUGCCCCAGUAUAUAAGAUCUAUACACUGCACUGAAAAACUGUCACCAACUCAGUAAUGAUCCACCAGUCUAUCUCAUAAAUACUCCGUAAAUGGAAUCUAGAAUCAUGAAAAUUGUCAAUGAGCUCAACAAUGCUCCACUAGAAUUGAUAUCACCUCAACAUACUCCACUAGGGAUCUCUUAUCGAUGGAAAUGCCUAGGCUCAAAGAAAGUGCUCCUCUAAGGGCUCAUCUCAACUAAAUGAAAGGGGAAUAUACCCCAGUAUGAUAGUUGAUGCACAAUAGAAUGAAAAUCCGAAUAGCAUCAAAUAUCAUCCAUAAAAUGAAGCAAUCGUCUGCAUAUCCAUCACUAAAUCACCUCCAAGCUUAAAAAAAGCAUCUCCCAUAAGAAGAAAUGGGAUGACGUCUAUAUAUCAACCAAAUCCCAAACAUCAACCUACGUAGAGGCUGUCAAAGAUAGCAUCUGAUCUCAUGGCCUCAAGGUGGUCUUAAGACACAGGACAUAACGUAGGCCAAGGUGAUAGGAUGAAAGAAAUGAAGGAAAACUAAGCUUAAAUACCCAAUGAUCAAACCCAUACCCUCGUGUACAAGAUGUAAUGCAUAGAAAAAUCUCAUGAUCCAUGGACCUAAAGGUAACUAAAGGAAAUGUCGAUGGAAAAACAAGAGAAAGGAUAAGUGGUCAAACUAUCAAUGAAACAUGUGAAUGAUGUACAAAAGGUAUCGAAUCAGAAAUGUGUAUCAAUAUGUAGGAAAUGGAUAAAUGGUGGAAUGAAGAUCUGGAAAGAGGUAAUGGGAUACAAAAGAAGGCAAUGAGAAAGUGGAAUGAAUGAUGAAAAACUCAUAUUAGUACAAUAAAGGAAAGUCAUAUCACCAAUGAUGGAAUGGUGGAUAAGACAAUGAUCAGGAGACCUUAGUAAAAGGUCACUCUUCUCUCAUACCUAACACAUAUAAACCAUGAUCCAAGAAGCGUAGGAUCUCAUAGAACUCUCACGUGAACCCUUGACACUCCAAAUGCAUAACAAGGGUGGCUCAAGGAGUGACAACUCAUGAAAAUCUCACAGGAACCCACAAUUGCAAAUAUACCCAAUAAACAGACCUCAAAAGGUGACAUAAGUGCCCAAUGGAGCAAAAUACCAUACACAAACAUAUCAUUGCGUUUUUUUUUUUUCAUCUCAUAGAACUCUCACAUGAACCCUUGACACUCCAAAUGCAUAACAAGGGUGGCUCAAGGAGUGACAACUCAUGAAAAUCUCAAAGAAACCCACAAUGACAAAUAUACCCAAUAAACAGACCUCAAAAGGUAACAUAAGUGCCCAAUGGAGCAAGAUACCAUACACAAACAUAUCAUUGCAUUUUUUUUCUUUUUUGAAUGCACAUGCUCUGAUCAUCAAUAAAUCGAACUCUAAUGGGAAAGAUAGAAGGAACAAACAAACUCUCUCAAAUCACUGAUUAAUACAUGAAUCCCAUCCUACGAGACAACCUCUCAAACUAAAAUCUUUGAAUCAAUGCUAGAUGGUGGGAUGAAUGGAGUGAUAUGACUACCCUCUUUUCACCAAGAUGUGAAGAAUCAUCAACCCAAAGAAGAGGAGAGAUAAGAUGAAACAAAUAAUCAUAAAAGCAAGAAAGAGAAUGAAAACGUGAUAAUAGUAAUAUAGAACAAACGAAGUGAUAAGGAUAUGGUAACAAGAAUGAGAAGAUAGGCCUAUAAGUCUAAGGCUCAUGAGACUUUCCUAGCAAAGCAUGAAUAUACAUCAAAGGGCCCCAACUCGAGUGUAGAAAUGGUAAUCAAGGCUAUAGAAAAGAAAAUGAUAUAGCAUAACAUAUGAGGCUCAAUGGGCUAGCAACGAUCUAAUAUAUAAAUAAAGGUGAUAAGGUGUGAGGCUAACCAAAAUGAUGGCCGCCCAUCCUGCGACCAUGGUCUCAAAUGUAAUACUUCUCAAAUGUCAAUCAUAUUUCCUCUCUAGGGUCAACUCUCUAAUGACAUGUGGUGUAUUCCAAGUAAAUCCCUAGUCUCCUGGAAUAUAUGAAUCUCCAUGACCAUAACUAGGCUAACACCGUCCUCAAACAUAUCAUCAACAUAAGUGGGAUGCCCCAACAUAAAUAAACUGAAUCUCUUUUGAACUCUCAAUGAUGAAGAUCUUAAGCAUAUCAAGAGAGUGAACUAUCCCUGGCUAAUAUGUGUUAACCAUCCAACCAUCGUCCAAUAUGUCCAUCUUAGGCUCAUCAUGAAGAAAACCAUGUCAAUCAAAUCUCCAUUUUAUAGAAAAACUAACAUCCUUUAUAAGAAUUCUCAUCUAAUAAACUUUGACCCAUAAUCCACUAAACUCAUCAUAUGUACGAUGUCACUAGCUAACUAGGUGGUGGGAGUGGGAGGCAAUGAAUCACACGACAUCUCAUCCUAAAUUGGAUGCUAUCUAUCUCACUAUCCAUCAAUCCUCUGGCUCAAACCUGCUAAUCCCUCCUAAAUAGAGUCAUGGUGACUAUAAGUUGGUCAACUGUAACAUGUCGAGGAUCUGUACCUGAUUGCUUUGAAAUCCUAAUCAAUUUAUUUCUAACUCUAAUCUAAGAAGUUGAAUCCAAAUUGAAACAAAUAACACUCCUAUAAGGUACAAAGACACGAAGAGAGAAAUGACAUGAAUGAAGCUCAGGAGAGAUGGAAAUAUACUAAUCACAAUGCAGAAAGGUGGCCCAACUGAAACUCAAACAUGUACCAAUCUCUAAUCACACCAAAAGAGGACCAUGAAGAGGAUAACUGAACCCAAUUAUGACCAAGGUAGCUUUAAAGGUCCAUAGAUGCAUCCACGUGUAGGAGUGAAAUCUUAAUUGGGUGAUUCAUGCCCAGUCGGUGUAUCAGCUGAUUCAUGUCCAGCUUCUACUCCUUGAUUGAGGGAGUAAUCAACAAAAUUUAUAACCUAUUACACCAUGUACUAGGAUAGAAAAGAUAAAGCUACUAUAGCAUAGUGGCUCUAGGAUCGUUCACUGGGAUGAGUUUUCACUUCACAAAUGAUAUUAAUUCAAAGCAGAAUUGGUGCCUUUUCAUUUCAAGGUUAGCUUUAAAAGAAAACAUAAUUUUUGGUAGAAAAGGUUGGUUUUAAGCUAACCAAAAAUAAUAACUAAUUUUACUUACAAAGAAAAGUGUUUCUUGGAGUUUAGAUCACUAGGCUCAGAUUCCUUGUACAAAAAGGAAAGUUCCGGUCACUUGUUUAUUUUCCUCACAUUGGGGAUUUAACAUAUAGUUAUUUCCCGAACCGGUGUGGUACAGAUGCUUCCCUUUAAUGGGUUCAAACACUAAAUCCCUCUCACUGAUGCACCUUGUAAUGGCUCAUAUCUCUCACCUAGCACUUGCCAUUCUAGGUGAUCUUUAACCUUGGACUUCCUGUCAAAAGCUCGCAAGAGAUAACUAAUGGAUGUCUCCGUGGAGUCCAAAAGCUUAUCAAGUGUUGGCUAUUCUAGAAAAUCCUACCUUCAAACCACUUCCCAAAGGCUCGCAAGAGAUAAACUAGUGCAUCUCAAUGGAUGGAGAUCACUUGCCUUAUCAAGUGUUGGCCCAGGUGAUUUAAUGGCGUUUUAAGUUAACUAAAAAGAUAAAAACCAUUAAUGGGUCACACUUUCUCUUCAUUAAAAACUAAAACAACAAAACUUCCAAUUUAUGGAUGUGGAAACUUACCCAGCUUUCCUCACUCCAAGAGACGAAGAGUCUAGCCUCUCAUCCUCUUAGGAAAAAUCCUCAGAGUUUGAUUGGCUAGAAAUAAAAAGAAUGAGAAAACAAAAGCAAAGCAAGUGCUCUGUAUUUUACUUCCUUCCCAAAACUGUACAAAGGAUAGAUCGAUAUAUUUUCGAUCCCUUCUAUAAAGGAAAUUACAAACUAUAUAUAAGGGCUUAUUUACCCUUUUUCCAAACUUAAUAACUAAGGAAUCCUAUCAUUGGUGGGUUACAAGGAGACUUUGGGAAUUUAGACAUAAAAUAUCUAAAGCAAAAUAUCCCAAAGUGUCGGUCGCAAAUAUCUGGAAGCUUCAGGAGAACACCAUAGCACUGUGCAAAAUAAUAUCUCAAAAUGUUGGUGGCACAUGUCGGGAAGCUUCAGAGGAUCCAGAUAUAUCCAACCGGAGAAGUUGAAACGCCUUCCUCUCCCAUCCGGCGUCAGAAUUCCGGAUGUGAACAUCCGGGUGGAAGUGCGCGACAACCGGAUGCAAUGAUGGCAGCCGGGUGCAAAUGGCGGCACACAUCCGGUUGCAAAUGGCGGCAGCCGAGUAUAAUGGCAGCGCACAUCCGGGUGCAAAUGGCGGCGUGCAUCCGGGUGCAAAUGGCGGCAGCCGAGUAUAAAGUGGCGGCAGCCGGAUGGAAUUCCUACACUCCUUGUAUUCUGGAUUUUCUUAUGGCAAAGGACUUCAAAGCUUCGGCUCUUCAUGUUUCUAAGCUUUCCAUUGCUUUACCAUGGAUUCCAAAUAACUCUCCUCAAUCUCAGAUUGCUUUGGUGAUAAAAAAGCUAUCAAAACACCAAAACUUAACACAAUUUGAUUAGAAUUGAUUGCAAGGGUCCUUAAUAUGUUAAUUGGGUUAAAAGGUGAUAACUACUACUCAAAAGUGUUUAAAAGAGUUAGUUACAAGCUAUGAAAUAACACUUUUUGAGUAGUAAUCAUUGGGUCUAGGCUAACCUACAAGGUUGACGUGGCUCUAUAAGAUAAAAUGGGUGGGUUAAAGGAUCCCUAGCAGAAACGAUCGUACCCUUCGGCGGUACACAACCCUUGCACGCCUCCAAGGAGACGGGGUGCUUACAUGCAAGGUGGUCACCACCUCCACACAUGUGCUUCCUCGCAUUCCUAGGGUGUUUUUUUAAUGGUGAAGGCUCUCUCAUAUCUCAACACUCAAGGAUAAUCUAAAGUGUACAGUGAAGGAUGUGGGUGCAUCAAAAAAGCCUAAGAUAUAAAGUGAGAUAGUGAACAAAGACAAACAAUCAUACAAUCAUGCAAGAGAAAGGGUUGUCAUGCAACAAGCAGUCAUGCGAAGCAGAUAAAUAUCAAACAAUCAAAGUCCUAUCUAACAUAUGUGAGGGCGAAUCAUGCUAGAGUGAACAAAGUAGUUAAGUGAUCAUUCAAGGCAAUCAAACAUGUUAAGAUAGCAAGCUAAUCAAGCAAAUAAACUAAAUCACCUUCCUCAAAAAAGGAGGUACCCUAUAAUCGACCAAUUAAAUGCCAUAUUUUUCUCAAUUAGUGUUCAAGCUUGAUCUUCAAAGCCCCCAGUGGAGUCGCCAAUUUGUGGACACGCAUUUUUCACGUGCGUUCCCACUUGAUCGGUGAGACUCGCUUUUAUGUCGUGAAAAUUUAAUUUUGGAAAAAUGUCGGAGUCGCCACUUAUUUUAUUUUAUUUUAAAAGGAAAAAUAAAACAAGAAAGAAAACCCUAAAGAAGUGACUCCAUAGUUUUUUGGAAAAGCAUGUCUUUGAAAAACCCGAGUCUUGGUCUGGAGAUCAGGUUACCUAUUGGGAAGGUACCUCUAAAAGGUAGCACCCCUCUAAACCCAACAACGGUCUCUACUGACUAAGUUGAGGGAAUUGGGGCAAUUAAUUGGUUGAUUGAGGGUAUCUAGGUAGACUAAGGUGAUUUCAAAAAGUAGCAUGCUAAACAAAAAAAAAAAAAACCAAUCACAAAUCAUAAAGAAGAUUUAGUGUGUGUACCUAGACUACUUUUUAAGCACUAUCACAAGACAUCAAAGUUAGUUCAAAUAAUAUAUCAUCCAACAUGUGCUUUAUAAAAAAUAAUUGAACAAUGAAGCAUAUAUAUCAAGACACCCAUGAUAGGGGGCGUACCUGGAUAGCAUAGAUAACUUGUAAUGUGCUUUCGUAAGACAUGAGGGGUUAGAUAAUAAAUAAUAAAAUAAGGAAAACCUAGCAUGCUUGUUAUCUAAUUAGCAUAGAAAAAAUGAUCAAAGUAUACGAAAUCAUCAAUUAUCACUUAUAUUGGGUGUAUAAUUCCUAAAAAAUAGACAGAUAUGAUUACAACAAGUAGCAAAGAUGAGUUUUGAAAAGAUUCUUUUAUGUUGACACAAAUCUAGCCUAGAAUUAUCCCAUUUAAUUGGGACCACAAGCUUGGAUUCGUGUCUUACUCAAAACCGUAGUUUUAUUGAAAACUAAGAAAUAUGCGAACCGAUCAAAACAUGGUUGCAUAUUAUUUUAAGAAAAUGAGAUUUUUUAUUCUAAGGACUCUAAAUGAAUUUUCGAAAUGAACUUUAAGGAUGAACAUUUUAGAAAAGGUUUAAAAAAAAGGGAAAAGAAUAAUUUACAAAGGACAAUAUUCAAGCAUCAAACAUAGGCAACCCAAAAAGAAAACAAAAUCACAAAAUAAAGUUCUAGACAACCAUGUCAAUUAAAGUGGUGAGAGUAGGGCCAACCUUCAUGGGUUUCCAGUGGCCUUCAAAAAAAGGGAUUUGACCAACAAUCACUAAGACAACAAACUAAUGACUUCCAAAUCAAACAAACUAACAAAAACAUUAUCCAAGACUAACAUCUAGAUUUCAAGAAGCGCAAGAAUUAAGAUAGAAACCAAUCAAGGAUUAAAACCAACAAACUUAACAUAUGGAGAUAAUAACAUGAGAUCAAUUAAAGUAAACUAACACUCUAACAAAAUAUUGAUAAAUCAAAAACCAAAGUUCAGCAAACUUGAAAAUAUGAAAACAAUAAUAUGUAAUUAACUAGAUUGAUUAGCUAAAAUUCCAAAAAACUUAUACUAAAUAUUAAUGAAUCAAAGCCGAAAUUACCAUACUUAAAACGUAAAAAUAAUAACAUGUGAUUGACUAAAUGGAUUAACUAAAACUCUAAAAACACUCAAACCAAAUAUUGAUGGAUCAAAAUUAAAAUUACCAUACUUAAAACAUGAAAAUAAUAACACGUGAUUAACUAAAUUAAUUAACUAAAAUUAUAAUCAACUACAAAAUUUAAUAUAAAGGGAUUAAAAUCAAAAUUAACGAAAUCGGAAACACACAAGCUCAUUCAAGCUAAACUAAAAAAUAAAUUAAUUCUAAAUUAAAUUGGAAUUAAAAACAUCAACUUCAUCUAAUAAGAUUGAUUAAACUAUCAAAUUAAAAAUAAAAAUGCAUUUAAGCUAAAACAAAUUAAUAAAUAAGUAACUCAAAACUAAACUAAAUUGGAAUUAGAAACAAGAUCUUUACCUAAGAGGUUUAAUUAAACAAUUGAAUUAAAAUCACAAACACAUUCAAACUAUAGACUAAAUUAAAACUCAACUAAAUUGAAAUUUAAAAAAUAUUAACUUUAUCUAAUAAAAUUAAUUAAACUAAUGAAUUAAAAUUUAAAAAUGCAUUUAAACUAAAACAAAUUAAGACCAAACUAACUAAAAUUAAAAACAUAAACUUUAUUUGACAUGAUUAUUUAAACUAAUGAAUUAAAAUCACUAACACACUUAAACUAAAAAGUAGACUAAAACUAAACUAAUUUGGGAUUAAAAAAAAUAAUAAUAUAAACUUUAUCACAGAGAAUUAAUUAAACUAUUGAAUUAAUUUUUUUUUUUUUAAAAAAAACUAGGCUAAAUAAAAAUGCUAUAUUGAAAACUAACCUGUGAAGUGAAAAAAAAAAAUUCUCUCUUGAUGCGUCCAAGUGGCAACCCCAUCCCUCUCUGAAUCCCUCUACUGCUCUCCAAAAAUUUUGGGCGUCCUUUCCUACAAUUUCCAUGAGAUCUUUUGACAGUGAAACACCCAUCUUCCCUACAUCAUCCUGCUUCUGGUAAACACAGCUAAAUGCCUUCUCAUCAGCUCCACGAUGUGUCCUCAUGACAUGAACAAGCCCGUACUUGGCCCGCCUCCUGUCCCUAUACCUAUUAGAAAGUAAAAUGGCAGCACCUCCAACCCGAAACAAACAAUUGGGUAUCAACAUGGACCUGUAAUUCCUAAAAUACCAAUUUUGAGUGAUGUUCUCAGUGCUGACAACAACAGCACAAGUAUUCCUAUGAACUUGUAACAAGUCCCUAGCGAGAUCAAUUGCAAUGACUCCAACACUACAUCCCAUACCCCCUAGAUUAAAACUCCUAAUAUUACCCCUCAAUUUGCACUUAUUCACAAUCAUGGCAGAGAGAGAAUGCGUGGGAUUAAACCAACUACUGUUCACAAAAAGAAUGUCGAUGUGCUUAGAAUUAAUACAAGUAUCAGAAAACAGAGCAUCCAAAGCACCAAAUAUUCAACCUCCUCUCGGGCCGCCAACAUCGAGGGGCGUGGGAGAGGCAGUGCAUUGCUUAAGGCACAUAAGUUUCUUUCUUGAAGCCAGAGCACUCCAAGAUUUUGUGCUGGAACUUGAGCGUCGACUUGGUGAAGUCGUCGGUGUGUCUGGAGUGGUCCAUGAACUGUUGGAAUCGGACUUGGAGGUGAUCGGGAGGCCGGUAGCACGCAUAAUCGACGAGGAAAACAGAACGAGGAGGUCUCGUGAUGUAGACGGUCGUUGCAGAGACUAGAAUAGCGGAGCAUAUGAUGACACUCACUAGAUUGUAUUGGAGAUGAAGCCAUAGGUGUAACGCCCAAGUAUUUUUUUUUAAGGGUAAUUUAGGAAAUUACUAAUAAUAAUUAAAUUAGUUAAUUAAUUAAUUUAAUAAAGUGGAAGAGGGGUAAAAGUGUAAUUUUAUGAAUAAAUACCCUAGGUAUAAAUUAGAAAUUCUGUUUUUCCUGUUCUUUUCUGAAUAGAGUUCCUGUUCGCAGAAUUUCAGAGAACGUAGGUUGGAGUCAGAUUUCAAGGUUGAAGAACAGAUCUCUAUAGGUAAGAUUCUAACCCCUAGUUUAAUAUUUUAGAUUCAUUGAUUAAUUUCAAACACAUCAGAUAUCUUUUGGAAAACCCAAAUCUAGAUUAGGGUUAGUUUAUUUUAUUUUUAAUUCAUUUUAAUAUCAAAAUAAAAAAAAAUUAAGAUUUUGAUUUUAUUGUUGGAAUUUGGGAGAUCUUAAGUUUUAUUAGAUGAAAAAAAAGAUUUCUGGAAGGUUUCGAUUUUAGGCUAAGGUUAAUUUUAUAUAAAUAAAUAAAUAAAUAAAUUUUAGACUAGUAGUGUUUGGUUCCUUCCACCAGGAACAAUUUGAGGCUAGCCACCCAUUUGAAAAGUCCCACCUAAUUGGGCAUUUGAUAUUUGAUAACCAGAGUAAUGAAAAUUGAAUGGAUUUGAUUGAAUCUUAUGUGAAAGUGUUUGAAUUUGAUAUGAAAAUGGUUGGUUGAAUUUUGAAUAUAUAGUAUUCUUGAAACUCUGAUAUUUGAUGAGAAAAAAAAAUGAUAUCUCCUAUUUGAAAUGAAAAUAUUUGAUCCAUGAACUGCAUUAAUAUUCCUUAUUGGGCUAUGAGCUCAUUCCCAAUUGUUGAAAAUUUUUCAGGUACUCUUAGUUCGGGUGAGGAGUGAUGGCUAGGCUGAGGAAUGGUCAUCAUUAGGAUUUGACUUAGGAUUUUAUGUUGGAUUUUGUUUAACUUUAGUUAUGUUCAUUUGGAUCUUUUGGUAUUUGGAAGCUAUUUGGAUAUUGAUCCUUUAAAUUUUAUGUUAGUUCAAAGUUGAGUUUUGGAGAUUUUGAAGUUUGUUUUAGUACUUGAAUUGUUUAAGUUUGCAAUUUUUUUUUGGACAAUGGAUUUUGGAUAGUGGAUGUUUUAGUGUUGAAAUCGAAUUUUCAGGAUUUUAGAUUUUGUUUCGCUACUCUGAACAAGUACUUGGUAAUUGGUAACUUCCAAUUACAAGAUAAUUGUUUGGGUCAGGUUACACUGUAAGCCUUCGGGUUUGAAGUGUGAAAUGACCGUCACGCCCUUGGAGUGGGUCUUGGGGCGUGACAAUAGGUGGCGCAGAUCAUCAAGGUUGGUUUGGAAGGCUUUAGGUUGACGCUCUGUAGAAAAUCCAGUAAUCUCCGACUGCAAUGGAUCUAAACCUCCACUGCAGCUCCACCGCCGGGAAUCUUCGCAAUUUCCCAAAUUGAAUUCCACCCCAAAUCAAUGAAAUUAAACCCUAUAGAAAUCAAUGACUUGUGGCAGCUAUGACAUAGAUUGGCAGAUAGAUGAGAAAGAAAGGUUUGGAUACUAGAGAAGGCAAAGAGGUGCAUGGGCUUAGAGAGAGAAAAGAAAGGUAAAAUAAAUCCUAGACGACAACAACUGUUAACUAUUUUUGGGAUGCUCGCCGGUGUUGCAACUUCCUCUACUUUCUUGUAGCUAUGAUAUCUGUUAAAAUCUGUGUCAUUCUGAAUAAUCAAAUCCCCCCUCUAUCCUUGCGUGUUCACUUCAUAUAUUUACUCAUUCUUUCAAAGAUGGCAGCAUGUUGUCUUUUUUUUUUUUCGAACUCUUGCCAUCCUCAAACUCAUGGAGAAUCAAAUCUCACCCAUCACUCAUACCUGCUUUUGGAAAAUCUCUUUUUUAUGUUAGCUGUAAUCUCCUCUUUCCAUCUAGGUGCAACCGCAUCCCUUUUCUUCCAUGUAUGUGCGGCCUUUCACGUGUGGUUCGUAAUUUUUCAUGGAUUUUCCAUUACACAACCACUUUCAUUUUUCAAAAAUUCUGGUGAUCCUCCUUCCAAAAUAGAUGCAGCUCAUUUCCUCAUGCAAAAAAAAGCCAAGAAAUAUGAGUUAGAAAACUUAUAAUAUAAUGAGAUAAAAUAAAAUAAAAUAAAAAUAAUAAAGAAAGUCAUACAAGCCACACAAGUCAUGUAGGCCAUGCAAUCAUAUAAGUCAUAAAAAGUGAGUCUAAAAGUGCCUAAGUGACCUAAGGUGGUGCCUAAUGGGCCAAGUACAUCUAAAUAGGCCUAGGGUGCCUAAGUAGGCCUAAGUUUAAAUUAGGCCUACCAAGAGUAACAAUGGGGUUAGAUAAAUCCCUCAACCAAAAUCCCCAAGGUGACUUAGAAAAGAUAGGCUACACAAGUAGUAAUGGGCCACCAGGGAAUUGCUGUAAAGUACCGAACAAGUACCUAAUAGGGCAUGUGCUAGGAGUACAAAAUGGAGGGUCUACAAAAUCCUUGAAGGAUUUUGAUUGUUUAAAGCAAAUAAAUUAAAAUCUCAAAUGCGUGAAAUUCUUGAAGAAUUUAAAAUGCCUCAAAGCAAAUUAUUCAAAACCUCAAAGCAUGUAUGCAAUCAAGCUAUAAUGAUCCUUAUAUGGAUUGAAGCAAUUCAAAUGUAAGUGGUGUAAUCAUCUUAGUGAAAAUCUUCUAAAAGAAGGUAUGUGUGGAUGAUUUUAAUCUUAUAAGAACUCAUAAAACAACUAAUUAUUUAAAGAAGGGAUCUAAAAUGAAAGAUAUGAGAAAAAAAAAUAUUAUCUCAACUUGCAGAUUGAACAUUGUUCAAAUGGCGUUUUAGUCCAUCAAUUAACAUACAUAGAGAAAAUAUUAAAGCACUUUUUUUUAUAGACAAAUCACAUCUACUCAAUUCCCUCGUGGUUGUUCAUUCACUUGAAGUGAACAAAGACCCGUUUCAUCCUAAAGGAGGAAAUAAAAAAUGACUUGUUCUAGAAGUACCAUAUCUCAAUGCAAUUGGUGCACUGAUGUAUUUUACAAAUUAUACUAGACCAAAUAUAGCCUUCUCUAUCAAUUUACUAGCAAAAUACAAUUCUACCCCAACUAAAAGACAUUGGAAUGGGGUUAAACAUAUAUUACGAUACCUUUGUGGAACAAGUGACAUGGGGUUAUAUUAUUUAAAAGAAUCAAAAUUACAAUUAAUUGGGUAUGCAAAUGCAAGAUAUCUUUUAGAUCCUCAUAAAGCUCAAUCUUAUAUAAGUGAUGUAUUUACUUAUGGGAGUGUUGCAAUAUCAUGGAGAUCGGUUAAGCAAACAAUGGUAGCUACUUCCUCAAAUUAUUCAUAAAUUUUGGCAAUUUAUGAAUCUAGUUGUGAAUGUGUAUGGUUAAGAUCUAUGAUAAAGCAUAUUUGAGAGUUUUGUGAAUUAUCCUCUAUCAAAGACACUCUAACAAUAUUACAUGAAGACAAUAUUGCAUGUAUUGCAUAAAUCAAAGAAGGAUAUAUUAGAGGCGAUCAAACCAAGCAUAUUUUACCAAAGUUAUUCUAUACACACAAGCUUUAGAAGAGUGUUGAGAUUGAUGUUCAACAAAUAAGAUCAAGCAAUAAUCUAGUAGACAUUCACAAAAAGCCCUACCUAUUGCAUCAUCUAAGAAGUUUGUAUAUCAAAUUGGAAUGCAUCAACUCAAAUAUCAUAACAUUGAACCAUUAAAGCAACAUAAUCAUGCUAUCAUGAAGGGAAGCAUCAUCAUGGAAUGUUAGCAUACUGUUCUCUUUUUUUCCAUUGUCUAAGUUUUAUCCUAUUGGGUUUUAUUGGUAAGGUUUUUAACAAGGCAAUUCUAACAAUAAACAUCUACCUUAUUCUUCUUCAGUAGUGAUGGUCAUUCAAGGAGGAGUGUUAUAAAUGUAUACGGAUAAUUGCGAAUGACCUCAUAGUUACCCAUAGACUUUUUCUAUUCCUCUUAAAUAAUUAAAUAUUGCAUGUAAUUCUAGUUUUUCCAACUCUUAUAAAUAGGAAACCUAGAUCAAUAAAAAAGACACCCCAGAGUUCUCUUAUAACUUUAUUUGUUUUCUACUUCUUCUUUGUCACUUAUCCUUUUACAUCUAACAAAAUAAAAAUUUUAGAAAUUAUAACUGAAUUUAGUCUUAAGUCAACAAUCCUAAAAGGAAAAAAAAAACAUUUUUAAAGUUGUUUCUAAUAUAAAUACUUUUCUGAUCUUGAUCCCUCAUCACUAAUAUUACUUGUACCAAAAAAGGGGAAUAAUAAAAAAGGGUCACUUAAUAAUUCAAUAAGGAAAAAUAGUUCAAUAAGAAGAAUCAAGUAUAUUAUAGAAUUAAAUCAUAAUAUAUAUCACAUCUUUAUGAAAAUUGAACUAGAAGGUAAACUCUUUUAAGUCAAUAAUUAAAUUGACUUUCUCCGUAAAAUAUACUUUGCAUAAUUAGUUCAUAUUUAGAAGAAUUUCGUAAAAAAACAUUUUACUUUGACCCAUCGAUAAUAACACUCUGCCUAAUAUAGUGGGACGUGCAAUAAAUGGGAAUUUGUUCUUUUAUAGGUGAACGAAACGAUUUCCAAUCAAUAGUACACCAAAGGUCAAUAACACCCUUAUUGGUUAAGGUUGCACUAUAUCACUAUCCCAUCAAAGGUAGUAAAAGACAACAACUUAUCUCCCGUUGACCAGGAGCAUUAAUAACUAGAGUUUUAAAAAAAUAUUAUUAAUAAAUCAUAAUAAUUAAAGAAAAAAAUUCACUCACACAAUAAUCAACAAAACGUAUGAUAUUCCCAAGUUAUUUUACAAACCAAGAAACAUAUCUGACCAUAUUUCAAAAAAUACUACUUGAUCUACCUUAGAGAAUUCAAACAUUUUGGUGCUUUAAAAAUAGAUGAAAACCACUAAUGAAUUAAAAAAAUUAUCCAUUCUAGAAUAUUAAACCUUACUUCAAAGAAGUUACUCAAAUUUCUGAAAAAACUUAAUCCACACCUAACAUAAACAUAAAUAAAAAUAAUAACUUUUAUUAUUGAUUAAUUAUCUAUAACAAAAGUUUUGUCACUAUAAAUAAAAUAAUAAUCUACAAACUUUCUCCUAAGAAAUUUUUUUAAAUUAAAUAUUUUAUUAACAAUAUUAUUAUCAUUUCAUUUUCCACAAUUACAUUAAUUAUAUUUAUUGAAUUAAUAAUAUUAAUAUUAUUUUGUUCUAUUUUCUAUUUUCUUUUCCUUACUGCUCCAUAACACAAAUCUCAUUAUUACUUUAUCAUUUUCUUCACAUACAACUUUUCCUUGUUCCCUUUUUUUUUUUUUUUUUCUUCUCUUCUUGAUCACACAACCACUUUCCUCAUUUCCUUUUUUCUUCAUCUUUUUUUUUUUUUUCCAUCUGUAGAUAUGCAUAAUAGUCAUCGCAUUGCAACCAUAAAAAAUGCCUUAUUUCCAUCAAUCCAACCACUAGGUAACACUGGACUUUUUUUUUUUUUUUUUUUUUUUCCAUUUUCAGUCAAUUUGUAUGACUAAUUCAAUGUUUAGAAACUCGAUGACCAUUUAAGCUGAUUAAAAUCACCUAUUUAAUUUAAUUUAAUAUCCAACAGUAAUCUUGUUUCUAUAUAUAUAUAUAUAUAUAUAUAUAUAUAUAUAUUACAAUAAAAUAAUUUUUUUACAUAAUCAUUAAAAUAAAACUCAAAUAUUAAAUCUAAAAACACUACUCUCUUUAAGCAAAAAAACCUAUGCAUAAGAGUCACUAGUAUAAUAUCUAUAUUAAAGUUUUUCUUUCUUUUUCCUACUAAUUUCAUAUUUAAACAAAUAUUAAUCUCAUAUUUAAAGAAAUAGAAAAGAAUCUCAAAAAUAAAUAACACAUGAAGAACUUACCUUGAAUUUUAGAAUGAAACAAAUACAAAAUUUUCUUCUUUUCUAACUCUAAAAUUCAAAGUUUUCUAGAGAACUUUCUAUUAAAGUGUUUGGGAUAUUCAUUGAAUUUAUUGUUCAAAUAUUUUAAAUAGUUUUGAAUCAAUUUGAGGUAGUUUACGACUAGCUUCAUAUUGUAUUUAUUAGUUAAGGCCAUUCAUGUAUUGGACUUUCGGUUUUGAUAAGUGAAAUGAUCCUAGUGCCCUUGGCCUCCAAGUUCGGGUGUCACAAAUAGAUACAUAAGUUUGAAGAAUUCGUAAUGUUUGGUUCUUGGAAAGUUUAAGGGAAAAUGUGAGGAAAUAAAACAUAAAAAGAAAGAAUAAAAGGAAGAAAAUGAUUUAAAGUCAAUAAAAUAUUUUUGUGUUACUCAUUUAACUUAUUUUAAUAUUUUUAUAUAUAAAUAUUAAAUAAUGUGAAAAUGCAUAAGUUUUGAAGUAAUUUUAGUAAUAUUUGAUUUUCUUUUGUAUUGUUAUAAUAAAAUCAAACCUCAGAAAAUCAUUUUUGUUAUAACAAAUGGAAAGAAGAAGAAGAAAAUACAAAAGAGAUGAUGGAUUGCAUAGGAAAAACUGAAUUGAUUUUUAUUAGGGGUACCUCCCUUUUAUAAGGAGUCACAAAAGAUAUAUAUGGAUGAUCAUCCACAAAUUACUGUAUUGUACAAAAUCUCAUAAUUUAUAACACUCCCCCUUGGUUGAUCAUAAGAAUAUGAUAACUGCUUCAUUAAAAACUUUGCCAGUAAAACCUAGUGGGACAAAACUUGGACGAAGGAAAAAAAGAGUGCAGUAUAUCCAUAUUAGUUUUCUCUCCCUCAUGUAAAUAUGAUUAUGAUUUAUUCAAUACUUUAAUUAGUAGAUCUCUCAAUCUUCGUUUUCAAUGUCAUACCUUAACAUUUUCAAUGUGGUCAAAGGUAACACCUUUGUGAAUUGAUCUACUAGAUUAUUGCAUGACCAAAUCUGCUAAACAUCAAUUUCACCUUUCUAAUGGAGCUCUUGGUGUAGAAGAAUUUAGGGAAAAUAUUCUUAGUUCUAUCAUCUUUUAUGAAUACUCUUUAAUUUGUGCAAUACAAGUAGGAUUAUCUUCAUGUAACUUGGUUACAUUGCCUCUGAUGGAAGGUAGUCCACACGUUUCUUGAAUAUGUUGAAUCAUUGACCUUAGUCAUUCGCAUUUGCGACUUGCUUCAUGAAUUAUAAGAAUUUUCAAAUGAUUUGAAGAGGUGGUUACCAUUGUUUUUUUACUGAUCUCCAAGAUAUUGUCGUACUACCAUAAGUAAAGACAUAUCUCGUUUGAGAUUAAGCUUUAUAAGGAUUCGAAAGAUAUCUUGCAUCUACAUAUCCAAUCAAUUGUGAUUUUGAUUCUUUUGAAUAAUAUAAGCCCAUGUCACUUGUUCCACAAAGGUAUCACAAUAUAUGUUUAAUCACAUUCCAAUGCCUUUUAGUUGGGGCAUAAUUAUAUCUUGCUAGCAAGUCGGUAUAGAAUGCUAUGUCUAGUCUAGUACAAAUUGCAAGAUACAUUAGUGCACCGAUUACACUGAGAUAUGGUACUUCUGGACCAAACAAUUUUUCAUUAUCUUCUUUAAGAUGAAACAAGUACUUGUUCACUUCAAAUGAACGAACAACCAUAGGGGAACUUAAUGAAUGUGAUUUAUCCAUAUAAAAGUGUUUCAAGAUUUUCUUUGUAUAUGUUGACUAAUAAACUAACAUUUUAUUUGAAAAGUACUCGAUUUGCAGGUCGAGGCAAAAUUUUGUUUUCCAAGAUCUUCAUUUCAAAUUUAGUUUUCAAAAUAGUCAACUAUUCUUGUAAGCUUUUCAGGAGUUCAAACAAAAUUCAAAUAUUCCACAUAUACCAUAAUGAUUACAAAUAUUUAACAUAAUAAAUACGCAUAGAAAAAUAAGAUAAUAAAGAUAUACUUCCCGUUUCAAAUAUUCAUUGAGGUAAUUGUACCACAUGUUUUUGGAUUGCUUAAUUGAUACAAGGAUCUUUGUAGCUUAAUUGAGUAUAUGUUACAAUGUUUGGAAUUAGUUACUUCAAACAUUUGAAAUCCUUUAGGAAUUUUCAUUUGUAUGUUAUUAUCUAAAGAUCCAUAUAAAUAUGCAAUAAUGGCAUCCAUGAGACAUAAAGUUAGUCCUUCUAAGAUUGCUAAACAAAUUUGAUAUCUAAAUGUGAUUACGUCCAUUAUAGGAGAAUAUGUUUCCUCGUAGUCAAUACCAAGUCUCUACGAGAAACCUUGAGCCAUGAGUUCAUGAUUUCAUUUUUUAUGGUAUUUUCUUAUAAAUACCUAUUUAUAUCUAACAAGCUUGACAACAUCAGGCGUAUGGACUACUGGUCCAAAUACUUCUCAUUUUUUUUUUAACAAGUUUAAUUUUUUUAGGAUAUAUUCUUUCCAUUUUGGCCAAUUUAUUCUAUGUUGGCAUCCUCCAUACUCUAUGGUUCAAGGUCAUUAUCAUUUCUUAUGAUGUCAAUGACCAUUUGGAAAGAGAAUACAUUAUUUAUAAUAGAGGUAUUUCAAUUCAAUUUUUCUCUUGAAUGUAAAUAACUAAUUAAGAUCUAAUCAUUAUUAGGUGCUUAUACCUUUUCAGGAGCUAUUUGUAUAAUAUAUGCCUCUCCUAGGGCUACUUUUUUAAACUAUGUCUCUUCAGGGGCCACUUGAGACUAAUCAAUCAUUUUAAGAUGCAACUUCUUCCAAAGUGCUACCUUUUUAUAUAUCUUUCCUUAUAUUUUCCUCUUUCCUUGUGUUUUCCUCUUCUAGAGAAUGUGUUUGUCUCUUCAAGGUCUACCACACUUCAUGCGUACCUUACACUCAUUAUUUAAUUGUCCUUCAGGAACAUCAAUCCAUACUGGAAUAUUUUCAAUCGAUAAAAAUCAUUUUGUUACUUUCUUUAUAUCAAUGAAAGUAUCUAAUAGUUGAUUUUCAAGUCCAUGCAAAUAAAUAAUAUUUUGAACUUCCAGUUCACAUUGAUUAGUGUGAGGAUUAAGUUGAGUUGAAGUCAAUGCAUUCCAAAUAAUUCACAUUGAUCUUUUCGAACAAGCUCUUCUCCCCCUAACGGUGGGAAAAUUGUCUCAUUAAAUUAGAAAUUUGCUUCACAUGUAAUAAUAUGCUUUAAAUAUUCAAAUAUACUAGUCACUAGUUAAAGAAACUUUUGGUUUUUUUAAUAAAUAUCCAUUUGACAUUUCAAGGAGUUAUUGGAUCAUUGUUUACCCUAGGGGGCCAAGUUGGUCAUUUCAGAUUCUUAUAGAUUUGAUAGAACAUCAAGUAUCAUUCAUAUACCACUAGUGAUGUAAUAUGAGCUCGUCUGGAGCUUUCAAUCAAGUUUUCAUAAAUUGAUUUGUGUAAUAAUGACAUCAAUCAACUAAUGACAUAGUAUGAGCUCUUUUGGAGAUUUCAAUCAAGUUUCCAUAAAUUGAUAUAUGCGGUAUGAUAUCAAUUAUUACAUAUUAUACAAUUAAUGAGACAAACAUCUUAGAAUAUACUUAUUAAGCAAUCAAUAUUAUGUGUAAAUAAAACAUAAACAUGUAUUAACAAAUAUGCUAUGUACUAUAUUAAAUAAAAAGACACAAUAUAAGAAAGUAAAGAUCUUACAUGAGAAUUUAACAAUAAACAUUUUUCUUCACCAAUCAAUUAGUAAAUUUUAUCAUUAGGAUUUCUAAAGAAAGUUAUAAUAAUCUAGAUUAGAUAUGUUAACCUUUUAUUUACUAAUCUUUUUCUUCUAAUUUUAGUAAGAGUCAAUGAAAUGUUUUAUUGUACAACUAGCAUGCAUCAACAGUCAGCUUUUUUUCCAACUAUGGUAGGUUUAUUCUGGAAAAUUAAUUUUUUUUUUUUUUUAAAUUUCACCACUUUUGGUGGUAGGGUUUGAAUUUCUUCUUGGGAAAACAAUGAUCUUCAUGGAUUAAGAAGUUAUUGCAUACUAGAUUUAGACCAUAUUAUAGUUUAUAAUCGUAUACCUAAUUGGUUACAUUCAUUUUGGGAAACAAUUCCAAUCCAAUUAGAAAAAAUUGGUGGUUAUUAAUGAAAAACUCACUAUUCUUAAUUACAUCUAGUUAUAGUGAACUUAGAGAAGGAUCAUAGUCUUUUAGUGGGUAUAUCUUUCUUUUAUAUUAUUCUAAAGAACUAAAGAGCUAUCAUAUUUCAAUGAAUAGAAAUUACAUAUAAUAACAAGCUAAAUAGAAAACUAAAAAUAUUUAAAUAAAUUUAUAAAUGUGAAACAUUUAAGUAUGCUUUUUCAUGAAACUUGAUGACUAUUUUAAAAAUGAAGAAUAAAAAUUAUAGAUCUAGAUAUUUAGACCUUCAUAUCUAACAAAAAGAAUACCAAUGAUACAUUCAAAUCCAAAUCAUAGAAAAUUAAGGAUUUCAAUAAUUGAAUUUUUAAAAAAGAGAAAAAAUCAUAUUUCAUAAAGGCUAUAAAAUAUCUAAAAUUCUUGUACCUCUGGGCUAUAAGUAAAACAACAAUGUUUAUAUCAUAAUACUUAGAAUAAUCUCUAUUUAUAUAUAAUAUAUAUUUUAUUUCACAUUUAUGACUUUAGGUCAUAAAUUUUCUAUAUGGCUUCUAGCCAUGAAAGAUUAUCAAAUUAAUUGUUCCACAUAAAUCUUAGCUAUGAGAAAUCAUAUAUUAUUAACCCUUUAUAUAUAUAUAGUUUAUAGGUAUAAUAACAUAUAAAAUAAUAAUCUUUAUAGUUUUCAUUUAUAGGAAAUACCUAUUUUAUUUUAUAGAACUUUAGGCUAUGAAAUUAUUUUACAUAUAUAUAUUUUUUUCAAGAUAUAAAAAUAUAUACAAAAAAAAUUCCAUAUAGCUAGCUUCGAGCUUUGGGUUAUAAGAAUAUAUACAAGUUUUUCAUAUAGCUUUGGGCUAUAAGAAUAUGCAAAUUAAUUAUUUAUAUAGCUUUAGGCUAUAACGAUAUACAAAUUAUUUUUCAUGUAGCUUCAGGCCACCAAAUACAAAUUAGCAUAUAACUUCUAAUUAUAAGAAUAUGUAGAAAUAUAUACUUUUCUUCUCUACAUAGGUUGAUCAUGAUAAAAAAUAUUUUUCAUAUUAUCAUAAAGUAAAAUAAUUACUAUGAAUUCAAGAAACUAACAAAGCAAUAUUAACUAAAGAAUAAAUUUGUCAUAAUUUCUAGCCAUGAAUUAUUUUAUUACGAUAAAAUGAAAAAUUUGCACAACAUCAAACUAUAAAAUAUUCUCUGUAUAGCUUCUAGCUAUAAAAUUUCAUUUAGUUUGUAGAACUUUUGGUUGUACCAUAGUUAAAAAUUCUCUAUAUAGCUUCUGACUAUACAAAAUUAAAAUAUCAAUAUUUUCAAGUUUUUACCUUAAGUAUAAAAAAGUAUGGCUUAUAUAGCUUCUGACUAUGAAAACAUUUUUUGUAUAGUUUCUACUUUACAUUCUAUUUUAUCAUAACAUAAAUGUAUAAAUUUGUACCUAACUUCAAGUUAUGAAACAUUCAUUGUAUAGCUUCUGGCUAUAAAAUUUUGUUUUGUAUAACUUAUGGUUAUACAAUAUAAUUAAAAGAAAUUAAAAGAUAAUAUAUUUCAUAGCUUCGGGUUACGAUUAUUUGUCAAAACAAGGAAAUGUGCUAUUUUGUGCAUAACUUCAAGCUACAAACUUUUUUAUAUAUAUAUAUAUAAAUGUGUGUAUAGCUUCAGGCUAUAAACUAUUCAUUUUAUAGCUUCUAGCUAUAUAAUGUUGUUUUGUAUAACUUCUAGUUAUACCAUAUAAUUAAAAACAAAUAAUUAGGAAUCAUAUACAUAGCUUCUGGCUAUGUAUUUGUAAUUUUGUAAUUUUGUAAUUUACCCCAUAACUUCUAGUUAUAAGGAUUGUUUGGUUAUAAUUUUUUUUUUCAUGAUUUUUGACUAAAAAGAAAAACAUAUUCUCUAAGUAAUAUUUAUGUAUUCAAGUAAAAUAAACCAAUUAUAAAAUCAAAGCUAAUUUUAUCACACAUAAAUAAAAUAGAAAAUCAUGAUAUAAAUUUAUGACAUACCUUUUUAUGAGAAAGAAGAGAAAGAAAAGUCUUUUUAUUUCUUUUGUAGAGACGAUUCUUACUGAUAACGAGUUAUAACAAAGUGAAAAAAGAAAAAGAAAAUAAGAAAGAGAUGAUGGAAUGUAUAGAAAAAACUAAAUUGAUUUUCAUUAGGGGUCUCUCCCUUUUAUAGGGAGCCAUAAAAGAUAUAUAUGAAUGAUCAUUCACAAAUUACCAUAGUGGUACAAAAUCUCAUAAUUUAUAACAAAUUUCCUUCUUUUUUUUCCGCAAUAUCUUCUUGGAUCCAAAUAUAGCAUUACCAUUUGUAGAUUUUUUUUUUCCAAAAAUACCUUUUUUUAUAUUAAUUAUAGAGAAAAGUCACUUAUGAUUCCCUAUUUGUAAAAUAAUACAAAAUGAGAAUUUACUUAUCUACAAACAUAUGUAUCUUCAUAAAUUUCAAACUAUUUGGAAAUUUAUACACUAUGACUUACUUCUCAAAAGAUUUCCUAAACUUGUCUUUAUAUGUUAUGACAAGUAUUAUCUAGUAGAUUUCAAUAUACACUAAUUCUCCUACUUUCACUCUGUUUAGGAUCUAAGAAUAAAUAUCCCUUACCUUCUUCAACAUUGAUGAUAUGUUGCAUAGUUUGUAUGUUUGAAAAGAUAUCAUGUUAAAUUAAAUUAUAUUGUAUUUAACUUAUCACAUAUGGAUGGAAAUGUAAAAUAUAUGCUAGAAUAUUUCAUUCAUUUUGUAACAAUCAUAAUGAAUUCACACAAUUUCUCUAUUCCAAUACUAUAAUGAUAAUAGUCAAUUUAGUUUUUAGUUAUUCCUUUAUUAUUUGAAAUUUCCCAUUUAUGUUGAAUAUUAUAAUUCCUAUUAUUAAAUGUUUUAAAUAAUUUGUUAAUUUAUUAAUUACUCUAGAGCAACAUAUGUUAAUUACUUAUUAUAGUAUGGAGAAAGUCAAUAUACACUUCAAAUUCAUAUUCUAAAUAAUGAAUUCAUAUCACAUUCAUAAUAAUUGUUACAGUACAUAUCUAAUUCAUUUUCUUGAUAAUAAAAGCAAGAAACAAUUUACUAAUUAAAUGAUUAAGAGUCUGUUUGAUUGUGUGAGUUAAAAAUAGUUUUCUAUUUUUGACUUUUUAAAAAUAGAAUGAAAUAGAGAACAAUUUUUAGAGAAUAAGUAGAAGUCAUUUUCACCAGUUUUUAAAAAUAAAAGGAAAGUAUAGAAUUUUUUUAAAAAACAAAAUCAAAAAAAAAAAAAUUUUGAACAUAAGAUCAUUCUGUUUUUCUUUCCACAAACUAAUAUCAAUACUGUAAAUCUUAAAAUAUGAUAUUUCUUUAAAUUACAUGUACUUUUUUUCAUUUCUUUUAACUUUUCUAAACAUUUUCAUUAAACAAAUCAAAUUCUAUUUGAUAAAUAAAAUUUAUUAAUUUUUAAAAAUAAUUUGAAACACAAAAACUAAUUUUAUUAAUACUAAAACAUCAUGGAACUCAAUAAUAUUAGUAAUUCAUAAACCAAAAUUUAUUUUAAAUAUCUAAGUUGGUUUCUUGUUUACACACACACAUGGUAAAUCUUAAAAUAUGAUAUUUCUUUAAAUUACAUGUACUUUUUUUUAAAAAAAAAUUUAACUUUUCUAAACAUUUUCAUUAAAAAAUAAAAUUCAAAUCAAAUUAUAUUUGACAAAUAAAAUUUAUUAAUUUUUAAAAAUAAUUUGAAACUCAAAAACUGAUUUAAUUAAUACUAAAACCUCAUGGAACUCAAUAACAUUAAUAACUCAUAAACCAAAAUUUAUUUUAAAUAUCUAAGUUGGCUUCUUCUUCACACACACACAUGCACACACACACACAAAUGCACAUACAUAUACAAAAAUAAGUCUAAAAUGACUUUAUUGUUUCUCUUUUACAUAGAAUAUUUAUUUUUUGCUUUUUUAACUAGGAAAAUGAACUCCAGGUUAAAGGAGACUUAAUGUGUUGGAUUCAUUAAUGAGUCUAAUAAUUUUUAUAAAUAAUUUAAAAAUCAAAUAAUGAACCAAUUAAUAUUAAAAAUUUAUGGACAAAAAUUGGUUUAGAAUAACUUUAUUGUUUUCCUUUUAUAUAGAAUCCUUAUUUUUAAAUUUUUUUUCACUAGGAAAAUAACCUUCAAAUUAAGCAAUACUUAAUGUUUUAAAUUUAUUAAAUGAAUCUAGUAAUUUAUUAUUUUUCUUCUACAUAGAAGCAUUUAGUUCUAUUUUUUUAAUUAGGGAAAUAAGCUCUAAAUUAAAUAAGACUUAAUGUGUCGGAUUAUUACUAAGUUUAGUAAUUUUUAGAAAUAAUUUGAAACUUAAAUAAUAAAUUCAUUAAUACAAAAAAAUUAUGGAUAAAAAUUGAUUCGUAAUGACUCUAUUAUUAUUUUUUAACACAUAAUUAUAUUUUUAUAAAUUUUCUUAAAUAAAAAUGAAUUUAAAAUCAAGUGACACUUUGCAUUGAAUUUAUUAAUGAGUUUAACAAUUUUUAAAAAUAAUUUGAAACUCACAAAUACAUUAUAAGUUAAACUAAUCUAUUAUAAGUUAUGACUUUACUAGUUCUCCUAUAUACACAAAUACAUAUUAAGACCUAAAUAAUAAUUUAAAUUCUUUAAUGAAUUUUUAAAUUUUUAUGAAUAAUUUCAGACCAAAAAAGCUAAUCUAAUUAAUUUCAAAUCAAAUCAAAACAUUCUAAAAUAUUAUAUACAUGAAAUGAAAAACUUAACUCAUUUACAUGGUAAAAAAGUUAAACUUUAUUCAUUAUUCAUUUUAAAUAAAAUAUGGUUAAAAUUAUUGUUAUUCAAUUUUAAAUAAAAAAAUUACGAAGAUGUUAAUAUCUUUAUAAUAAGACUUCAAUUAAAUUUAAUUUAUAUUAUAUGAAUUGAAUUUGUAAAAUGUUUCUACAAAACCAAAACUAAAAAAAAAAAUUAAAACAAUUCAUCCAAACAAGUUUAUUUUAUUUAUUUAUUUAUUUAUUUUAAAGAAACUUAUGAAACACCCUUAUUUUUAUAAAACACUAAAAAACUGUUUUUUGUUCUUUAAUUUAAAAAUAGUUUCUAAAAAUAUGGCCAAACGGGCCUAAAUAUUUCAAAUAAUUUCUAUUUAACUAUUACCAUACAUGAUAAAUGAUCCACUUAGCAUAUUAAAUGUAAUUUAGAGGUUUCAUUAUAUUGGCAAGUUCAUAAAGAAAAAUUUAUGGUCAAGCUUUUUAUUGCUCCAGAUGUAUCCAACUUAUUAAACCUCUAAAUUAAACAACUUUAGUUUAGUAUGGUAAAAUAAUUGACUUAAGAAUCUGAUUUGAUACUAUUUCCUUUUAAUUAAAUGUUUUUUUCAGAUAGCCAUGUAAGAUAUUGGUUGUCCAGGUAUACAAUAAGCACAAAGCCUUGUAUAUAUAAAUGAAAGAAACUAAACACCAAUUCACUCCCAAAAAACGAAGAUAUUACAAACAUGUUUCCAUUCAGUAGAUAUUUGUUUUCAUUUGUGCUGCUUGUGCUUCUUGUUCGUUUGUGUGAUGGAGGUCCUUGGGUUAUAGAAAAUAAAGUGGAUCUAAGGAUCACCAAUGACUUAGGCACCGGCGCAGAUCUUAACCUCCACUGUCAAUCCAAAGAUGAUGACCUUGGCACUCAUGUCCUGGCCCCUAAUCAAUUCUUUGAAUUCCGUUUUCGACCAAACUUUUGGGGGACUACCUUAUACUUCUGCAAGUUCUGGUGGGGAGGAGAAUCCCAUUGGUUUAAUAUAUAUGUUGAGAAGAGGGAUACGAG